CCCCGUCUUUGUCAUUUAUUACCACCUCUGUCAUUGCUCUGCAUCCGUAUACACAAAGUGAUACGAGUCGCACUAGAGUUUUUGCUGUGGAGGAUGUUACUAAGUGUAUCAAUUUCUUGCAAUCGAAAGCUACAAGUUUUGUUAGGUUCCCAAAAGAUACCGAUGAUGUUGGCAAUAGAAUUAACAGACUUUGACAAUGAUAUACUCUUAGAAUUUCAAGAUACUGAAAAAUGGGGCCAAAUUUGGAGUCUUGUUUGCACAGCUGCUUCAGAUGAUAGUGCCGGUACAGCUCUAAUUCUUUUAUCAUUGCCAACUUCCCCACAUGUUUCUCUAAGCAUCCUUCCAUCGAAAAUACCUCUUCGUGGAAUGAAAAAUAACACAGUACGAGCAUUUCGAGAUUGUGAAAUCUCUCCAGUACAUUCCAGAUUGGAAAACAAGCUGAGUCAUCAGCAGCAAUCCCUAGAUCUCUAAGACUGCCAAAAAGGUGUUGUGGGAAAUCGGCCUGCAAAAUCAUCUUCACGUCUUUUCCGCAUAGUGAUAGUUCCGUCAAGUUGGGUAAGAUCUGAUCAUCAUCAAUCAUAAUAACUAAUAAGGUCAAUUGAUGUUUUCUCAAAUGAUUUUGAGUAAUCCAAUCAUAAGCAGUGAGUUUAUAGUAUUUGUUUUAUAUUAUAUUUUAAAAAAAAUUGUAUUAUUGAUAAAAUUUAUUAAAUGAUUUUUUAUAUGUUAAUUUUAGAGGUAAAAAAGAAAUUAGGGAAAAAAGGUUGAUUUAUACUGACUCGAAAUUAUUUUAUUGCACAAUAAUAAAUUACUAAUUUAUUUUGUAAGUUCUUCUAUAUGGAAAGACUCAAGAUUCUUUUACAAAUGCUAUACCUAAAAAAGUUUAUAUAAUCAUUAAUCUACCACAUUGAUCCCUUAGUCUAGACUAGCAAAGAUUAUUGUAUAAUAAAAGUUUUCAAAUUUAUUGAGCAUUAAUUUAUCAAAGUUAAAAAUAAGCUAUAGAUAAAAAAUCUAGAAAAUGGCUUCAUACCUUUUCCAACGGCAAUAGGGGCUGUUGUGCAGGAAUACCAAGUUGAUCAUUCCCAUUAUUCUGCGAUAAAUCUGCCGCGAAUAUCUUUAAUCUGUCACAACGAUACACUAAAAGAAUUUCUAGGGCGGGCCAUUCCGAAGUAUGCAUUCCAGGGUACAAACAUCUAAGUUUUGGUAGAUCAUGGAGUAUCAAAGUGGUGAGCUGUGGAAAGACAAAAUAAGGGAUCACUUGAUCUGCUCUGUUUUCAGAAAUGAUCUCCUGUAAAUCCUCACAGGAGCGUAUUUCUAGGCGUUGGAGCUGCUUAAGGCUUCCGAUCAUAGACGCUGAAAAUAUGUAUUUUAAUUUGUGACAACCCCACACAAUCAAUCGUGUUAAACUUUGAAAGUGAGGAAACACUGCAGCUGGAAUUUGAUUGUAGUGCCAAAUCUUGUCGACAUUAAUUUCAGAUAUCUCCAAAGCCUCCAAGUUAGGCAACGCAACCUAAAAAGAUAAGAAUUUCUUGUUGAAAAUUUCUCUUUGAUUACAAAUUAAUGCAAGUCAGAAUCAAUUUCCAACUGACAGCUGAGUAUGCAUUCUAAUUCAUACUACUUGUUAAGAGCUCAAUUAGUGAGUGCGUGAGAUUAUUUUUUUCCCCAUUGUUUUCAUUUUCUUUCAAUUCUCUAAAUGAUUUAAUUAUUUUCCACGUUUGACAUAAGAGAACGCAUGAUAGAAUAAACUCUGUUAUAUAUAUAUAUGAAUAAAAUGUUAGCCUACGCACCUUCUCAUUGAAAAGCAAAGUUGAAAUAUCCAAAGUGAUUUCGCUGGAGCAAUACAUAGUCGUCGAUUCCUCUUGCGACACUUGUCUGUUCGGUGAUGCUGAAGGAGUCUCCACCUCACGGCAAAAACUUGUAACCUCUGGAAGAUUCCCCAGACUCAAAGAUCUUAAUUGAGCAAACUCUAUCUUCUCAAUUGCAUUAUCAACUUCUUUCCCAAUUGCAAAAAUCUCUUUCAUCUUGCUGCAAUUAAUAACUGCAAUUCUCUCAAGUCUUGGAAGGCAUUUUGUAGUAGAGAGCCAAAAGAUAUUACUCAACUUAUCACAAUUAUAUACUUCUAUGUUUUUUGAGUUCGUUGAAAGACUCUACUUUGAGCCGAUCAAUACAUAUCCUCUCCAUGUUGAUCAAAUUGUGAAGGGCAAGUGACUCCAAAAGAGGAAAGGCAUCACAAGCGACCAUCUCCCUUGAAUCGACGAUACAAAAGAAGUCAGGAUUAUUUUGAACCCAGAGGACCUUCAAUUGUGAAAAGCCCUCCGUGUCCAAAUUGAAAAGAACAUUCUCGAUGCCUUGCAGCUUGUCCAACCGUAAGUAUUGAACGUUAUUGAUGCCUUGCAAUUUCAUGGAGCAAAUGUCCAUAAAAUCAAGCUUGAGCUUCAAUGCUCUUGAAAUCUUGCGAUUACUGUCGAUCAAAAAGUGCAGCUGACUUUUAAACCAAUGUUGUCCAAAAAGCAUGGGAUGCAUGAAUAACCCAUUUCCAAUAUGUAUUUUGAACCUUUCGAGCUUUCUGGCCAAAAGCCUUCUGGUAACAUACUCUCAUUUUUAACAUCAAUUUCUAGAGUAGUUAGCCGAGGUAAAUGCAUCAAUUCGUCAAGGCUAGCAUUACUUCUUUUGCUGUUGGCUCUUUCAACCUCCCAUUCAAUGAAGCAAUUACCAUAUACAAUUCUUCUAAUCGGAUUAAGCUUGAUAUGACAUUUGGGGCAAUAACUUUCAGACGGAAACAGUGUUAAAUCUAACAGCCUUAGCUUAGUCAGUUGACCCAGUGCUUUAGGCAACUCUACAAUAUCAGAUUGCAAAAAGCUAAGGAUUUCUAGAUUUUCCAACUUUCCAAUAAUGGCUAUGUCUAUGCCUCCGAAAAUGCUUUGAUUAAGACAAAGUGUCUGAAGAUUUACUAGAAGACCAAUUGAAGAUGGCAAUGACAAUAACCGCAUUCUAGUCAAAUCCAAAACCCGAAGCUUUUUCGUCCUUUUGAAGAAGUUCUCGGGAAUAUUAGGCACAGCAAAAGAGUUCUUGGGAGACCAUGAAUAGAAGUUCAAGUUGUAGAGAUUCCGACCCUUCAGGAAUGUCAUUAACAAUACUAUCUUUUAAAAGAAAUUGCAAAAUAUUUUUUAAUUCAUCUGCAUUUUGGCCAUUUCAAUCAUCCUCAUUUUCACCACAAAUGCAUUCAUGUCACGAAAUGCAAUUGAAAUGGCAACAUCGCGAACAACAUCGUGCAUAGAAAUGUAUUUACUGCCACCAUCCUCAAGCAACAAACAAGAGUCUCUUAGUUGAUGGACCCAUGCAUGUAAUUUGUUAUGUGCAUCUUCUAGCUUAUGGACACUUUUAAAUACACCCAAGCCCAUGCUGUAUUUGAACAAAUCCAUAAUUGGUGCUGGCGUAAUAAGACUACACAGUAAAAAAGUUUUCUUGAGUUGCUCACCUCUUAAGUACUUGUAACUCAGCUCAAUUGUUGAGUAUGCCUCUGCUGGUACUCCUUCGUCGAAGCUUGCCUCUGAAGGCGUUUUGGAGUUCUUGCAAGGCAUUCUUCCACACAGGCAGCUCUUUUUUUCUCAGUGCCUUUGCUACUGUGGUUAGGGCAAUAGGCAAACCUCCGCAUGCCUUGGCUACACUUGUUGCUGUAGAUUUUAACUCACGAUUUUCAACAUAAUCACCAGCCAUUAUCUUGAACAAUCUCCAGGCUUCUUGUUCAUUUAAAAUGCCAAUCGAGAAGUUUUUUUCAGAUCCCAUCCUUAACAGCACAUCAAGAUCUCUUGUUGUGAAUAAUAAUUUACAUCCUCUGUGCUCAACUCCAAAAGGAAUGCCAAUAGUCCCCAAAUCAAGAGGAUUCCAGAUGUUAUCGAGAAUCACAAGGAUCUUCUUCUCAUUCUUCAAUCUUUUCAUAUAGUCUACUAGCUCUUCUAGACUCAGCUUCCUCGGACAACUCUAGGCCUAACGUUUCCGCAAUUUCCUCUUGGAUCUUUCUUAUGUCUGGACAUUGGGUAACCUCCGAAAAAACCACCAUAUCGUAAAGCUUGUCUUCAAUGGCUCGCCUUGCAAACUCCUUCACCAGUGUCGUCUUUCCAAUGCCGCCCAUGCCGUACACCCCAAUGAUGCUGACAUCAACAUCGAUCAAAUGCAUUUUGUAUGGCCUUCAAAGUAGAAAGUCUUGAUUCGAAGGCUUCGUAGCCUUUGUGAGACUUGAGCCAUAUAUCCUCCGGGAAUGGUACGGUAGAAAUUCCAUCAACAAAUCUCCCAGCUUCUUCUCGGAGUUUAACAAUGGCCUUCACCUUUGUUUCUGCUUUCUUGCUAAGCUGAUAGCGGGUCUUCAAAUUAGGACACAAGCCCAUGAGACAUCGUUUAUUUGUUGUCUUCUCAUCAUCAAUGAAUUUGGCUGCCUGCUCAAUGAUGAUGUUCGCACUAACCAGCCACUUCUCAACCUUCUCUUCAAUAUUUUCCCCUUUUCUUUCAGCCUCAGAAACCCUGUGCUGAAUGCUUCUCCUUUCAUCCUUGAGCUUGUCUAUUUCUGCCUUGAGUUUCUCAACGUUGGCUUUAUAGUUACGCAAAUAACCAAGUCGGCGUUCUGUUGAGGAGCCAAGCAUUUCACAAAUUCUAAAACAAUAGUAACAAUGCUUUCCACCAUCCUGGAUCCCUUUUCUUUUUUUUCGAAGUUUCUGACAAGAAAAUAAACAAUGAGCGAAACACAGAGAGAGUGAGGAGAAAAAGAAAAAGAAACGCAAAGAUGGACAGUUUAUCUGGUUGUGGAAGCGGAGAAAUGAAGAAAUCGUAAUAGCUGUUAUGGAUCUGCUGAGAAGAUGGAAACAAGGAAAAGGUUUCUAGUUCAACAACUGGAUUGCGAGCGGAGAGACUAAUUAACAAAGACUGGAGAUUACAACAAAGCAGAUGCCAAGAGAAAAGUUGAUCCAGUGAAAUUCAAGAAGUUGACAGCAAAAGGGAGCAAAGAUUAAUAACAAAACAGCAGUGACUACAAUGAACAAAAGCAUAUGCGUUUCUUGAUUGAGAAUGAGUGCAAAGAAUGAUCCUUAAUCAAUAAAAUAUCUAACAAUAUCUUCACCGAAAGUUUGAGACAUGUGAUCCUUAUUCCACUUCGUCAAUUACACUCCAGACCAAUGCUGCCGUCAUUAUCGAACGGUCGAUAUCCAACACUUGCACGAAGAUUCCAAGAAGUUGCGUGGCUGCCGACUUUUAGAUGCAAAGCCUCAUUGUGUCGAUGUUACACGAAAGAGAGCAGUCCGGGUAAUUGCCAAAACUUAGAACUAAACAGUAGCUUAGUCAGAAAAUCAAACGCCCAGUACCGGUAAAAUGACCGAUAAAAUAUAAAAAAAACAAAAAUUUUAAAGUUUUACUUCAUUGCUUUUUUAAUCUUAUUACUAUUUCUCCUUGCACUUCUAAAGAAACCAAAGCUUUAAAAGAAAUCAGCCAAAUCACGAAGAUUGAAAACUAAAUCUAUGGUUUUAGAUUUUUAUUUUAUUUUUUUAGAUAAUAGAUAUUGUUGAGUAAUGAAAAGUACCAGCUCAGCUAUCCCCGCUUCCCUCACCUUGGGGCGAAUCCCCAGAUGAAUGGCACAAGCAGAUUCCUGGUAAUACAUCCUGUACGGGGCAUAUGCCAACUAGAAACGAGUACCGACCAGAUGUACAUACCGACCAAGUACUCAUUAUUCAAAGAAAGAGGACACGAACUCAACAAACUCACGACAAUUUUGUUAUGCCCCCAAACCGUUGGGGAGAACAUGACGCCCCACGUUUACCCACGAUUCGGUGGUUGGAGACCCAUGAAGGUUUGUCAUCACCCGAAAAUGAGGGGCAUGAAUAAGACUCAGAAAACAGGGGAUGAUUGCCUAUAAAAGGCCAAGAAAUCGAUGAAAAAUGGGAGACACAAAUUGAGAGUAAAGGGGAAACUCUGUCAAAUUAUAAUCAGAAAUUCAUAUAUCCAAAUCCUUGAUACAUUUGGUAUUGAGAAUAUUGCAACUAAUAUGUACAACACAAAUCAUUCACUUUUCUCGUAAACACCUUGUACUAACUUAAGUAUCGAAGGGUUUAUGCCCAAAAAACCAUCGGCGUCUCUGAUUUGUUUCUGUGAACGCAGGCCUGGAAGGAAGAAGACGGGUGAUUUGGGUCCCAGAAGCUCGGGAAAUUGCUGAAGCUAAUGGAUCGCAGCCUCUGUUCCUUUGCCAAUACAAGCGUUGGUGAACCAAUCUGGUCGGUCCAAAGGCGACUAGAUUUCAGCAUCAACAGAUAUUAUUUUGAUGAAUUUUUUAAUAUUAGAAUAAUGUUAGGAAUUCCAAUAAUAAAAUUCUAACUUGAGACCCAAUUGUUAUGUGUUAUUUUUUUAUUGAAUAAUGAAUUUCACAACUAAUAAAAUUUAUAUUUCCAUCAUCUAAUAAAUGACUACCAUAUCAGUUGGGACUCAAUUAUUAGGAUCCUUAACAUUGCUCUUAGUAUUAAAUUGGACAUCUUAGCUAAAUCAGAUUAAAAAUCAAAUUAGUUUUUAAGCUUUUAUUCAACAUCUCUUUUUUUUUUUUUGUCUAUUGGAAGUGAACGAAAUAAAAAUACAACAGGGUCAACGACUGGGCAAUUGGUAGUCAAGUAGAAGCAAAUCAAGGCUAAAUGGGAAAGAGAAAUGAUAUUUGUGCAAAAUAAGGAGAAAAUCAGUGUAACAGAAGAGAAUCAAAGUGCUUUUGAGAUAAAAAAUUGAAACAAGAAAAGGGUCGCUUGAUCCAAUGAAAAUGCAAAGAGCUGAUGGCAAAAGGGAACAAAGUUAAAUAAGAAAACAGCUAGCGCUAGCAGCGACCACAAUAAACAGAAAAUUUGAGAUGGAUUUACAAUAUUUCUGCCUUUCUUUAUGCUUUAAAAAAUAUUGCUCUAUCAAAAAAAAUAUUGAACAUUUUUAUUAUUGGAGUCACAAAUGACCUACACAAUAUAGCAAGUGACUAGGAAUAAAUAAGAAUAUAUAACUCUCUCUAAUUCUCACUCUGGCUUUUAAUUGUCACUCAAAACCCAGAAUUCAUCCUUAAAGUGUAGGCAAAUCAAGGAUGACACCGUUUGGUUGUCAUACGUGCCUUUUAGUUUUCGGAUGACAUGGCGUACACUUCUUCUGUAAACCCAACAAGACAUGUCGUACUCUUUUGUUUUGAGAUUCUAUUUCAAACUUUUCAUGCUAUGAAUGAAAGAUAAACUCCAAUCAUCAAAAUAUUUAGUGUUUGUUUGGUAAUGUAAUGUCAUAGUUGUGAAUUGAAAUUAUUUCUAUAAAAUAAAAGGAUUUGGGUCAUUGUUUGUUAUUUUCUGACAACAUUUAUUAAAUAUUAAAAAAUAAAUUUAUAUUUAUUAGGUAUUAAAAAUAAAUAAACAAACAAAAAUAAAAGUAAAAGUUUAUACAUUACGUAAAAUAAUGACAAUAUCAAUAUUUCGCACUCUAUAAUUGAGUGAUGUGUUGUCCAACUGGCAUACAUUGGUCCCAAACGGAGACUUAAAUAUCAAAGUCCAAAGUUAUUAUGAUGAUGACUUAUAAUCGCCAAACUUGACAUACGGGUAAUCAUGCAUUAUAAGGUGCUAAUUUCUUCCGAUCGGAACCUUAUUUUUCAUUUACAAAUAAAUAAAUGAUGUGACUUCACGGUUGGCGGGGUCCUUUGUGUCAUUUGGGCAUUUCACUAAAUGAUUGAUUGUAGCAGGAAGAUUCCUGGAAGUUGCCAUUUGCCAAUGCUACUAACAUUUUCAAACUUGGAAAACCCUUCAAUCAAUCUUUUAGUGGUAGGCUCUGGUAACUUGGUUUGAUUAUGACGUAUAAUUAUUUGAUAAUAAAGUUAGAGGAUGUAUUAAUAUAAAAUUUGUUUAUUGGUGUUGAAGUUAAUUAUCUCAUUAAUAAUAGUAUAAAAAGUUAAUUACUAAGAAACACAUAGCAAUAGUUAAUUGGUGUCAUAUUAUUGGGAUUCUGGGAUAUAAUUUUAUAUCAUAACUUUGUAAGUGUAUACUUACUCAUCAAACUAAUAAAAUUAUUUAAAAAUUUCAGUUGGAAAAAAUAAAUUAUAUUAUUUUCAUUUCAAAUAAUCUAUAAGUUAACUCAAAACAUAAUCAAGCUGAGAAUUAAAAUAAUGCUACUGUAUGAGAGGAUUUUUAUUUUUUCCCGAAGUUUCACUAGGAAAUUAUUGAUACAUAGCUUUAUUCGGAUCAUCUCAGUUCAAACGACAAAUAAUUGAAAGACUAAGCUAAAUAGACCAGCCAACAACUUUGUACAAGAGAGUUCAAAAAUUAAGGUCAUGGUAUUAAGGUGUUCUAUCUUGAAAAGUAUAGAGUAGUAAUAAAAUAAAAACUAAUAGUUUUUGGUAAGAUAUGACAUUUAAAUAAUAAUUUUCACAAAAAUACAAGGAAUAUUUAUAAAUUACUUUUAUAGUGAGGGGACCCUCACUCUGUUAAAGUGAAAAUAUCAAUAAUAUACAAAAGACAUAUAUUUUAACACAUUAAAAAUUGUAUUUUUUUAUCUAUUGGUGUAUUGAAAUAUGUGUUAUUUAGUUUGUUAGUGAUAUCAUUACUUUGUUAAAAUGAGAAUGUCGUUACUAGAGAAUCAUUAUGUAUACAUAUAUAAAGUGCUUCUGUCCAAGACCUAGACUUUAUUAAAAUUUGAGAAAGCAAAUAUAUUUUAUAUGGUAUAAUAGUGUAAUAACAUCACACUAUUAUAUCAUAUAGAGUAAUAGUUUUUCGAACUUUAAUAAAAUUCAAGAUUAUAGAAUGAAUGAUUUUUAUAUAUUAUAAAUUUUUUUAUCAUAAAUGGAGGACAAAAUUAACAUAUUUUCAAAUUAUAAUAAGCAUUUAUCAAAUAAUUUAACAUUGCAAUUUCUCCUAACUAGUAUAGUAAAUAAUACGACCUAGGAGAUACAUUCAAAGCAUUUCAUAAGUUAGUUGUUAAUAAUAAAUUAUAUAUGCAGCUCCAAUCAUCAUUGUACGGUGAGUAAUUUCCAGUUAUAAAUAGAUAUUACUCCCUUCCCAGCAAUUUUUGAUGACUUAAUUUAGUGGGAUCAAAAUCAACAUUGAAUUUUUGACCAGCUGCCAACAACUUGUGAGCAGUUCACAGUGGGUACUGCACAUGAUGCCUGUUUCUCCUUUUGCAUCUAUUUUUGUUGUUAACAUUAAUUUCAAUAGCAGCUCGUUAAUCCCAUUUGUUGAUUUGGGACUAGAUAAGAAUUUAUCUUGGAACUCCAAUUCUCCAAUUAUUUUAGUUGACAAUAUAUUUAACAUUAUUAAUUGCAUAUUAUUUAAUUAUCAGUAUAUAAUAUUCUUUAAUUUUCUAAUUUUAUAGGAUUAGACACAAAAUUGAUUAUGCCUUUUGAAAUUUAAGGGUUAUGUCAAUUGAAUAGAAAACUUGGAGGUAAACUUGUGGAUGUUUUUGUUGAUUAUCAAUUUAUGCAUGAAUUUUUGUACGUUUACUUUGGUUUAUAAUUAUUACUUUUAAACAUUUUUAUUGGUUUGAUUUAGGGUCAAUUUGGUAAUCCUGUAGCUUUAAAAUAAUUACAAUUAGCUAUGCUGUAGAAAUGAUCAAUCGUCAAGAGAAUCAGCUGAGCAUUUAGUAAAAUUUAUUUUUAAAAGUACUUUUAGUUUUAAAAGCGUUGUAUGAAUAAAACUGUUACACUAAAAAAUUAAAUGUAUUGCCCACUUGGGUAAAUAAAGCUAUAUAUUACAACUGUUACACUAAAAUUAAAUGUAUCUUAAACCCAAACUUCUUCUUCUUCUUUUUUGACUAACAAAAUUAAAAACAAUAGUGAACACAUUCUUUAAUAAACAAUAAGUAAUAAAUAAAAUCGUGUUAAAUUUCUUAAAAACUUUCUUUCACGGUUUGCUAAAUAUUUUUAUUAGUAUUUUAAAUAAAUAAAAAUAGUUGAUUUUAAUUUUUUUAAAUAAACUUAUUAGGUUUCAUGUAAAGAUGUUUUUGUUAUUUUAAAAAGUGUAGAAAGUACUCCUAAAAAAAAGCGUAGAAAGUAAAACUUAAUUUUUUAAAUUUAUUAGCUGAGUGCAUAAAUAAUUGAGUGUUCAUAAUGAUUUUUAAAGUAUAGAUAGUCGGACCCUAAUAUUUUUAAUAAAUGGAAAUUUUGCUAAUAUGUUAAUGAGAAUUAAAAAGAUAAUUAAGGGAGGCAAUCGAGACAUUCAGGAUAGUUAGGAUGGGACAUGAUUGUGAGCGGUUAGAUAUUGGUCCUAAUUUUGAUCACAAAUAUAUAAACAGGACGAGUUUAUCUCUACUUACAUUCCAUUUGAUAAUUAAGAUGAGAGUGGAAUUGUCAAAUCCCAAAUCAUCCCGGACCACUGCCACCAAGGGUACUCUCACUAAUAAUAUCUAAAGAAAAAUCUACAUCUAUUUCAUACUUUUUUUAAUGGAAAGAGCCCUCAUGGGGCUUGAAAUGGUAUCCUAAAUAAUAUUGAGAAUAUCAGGUCAUGAUUGGGUUUGUGACAAACAAAUACUACAUAGUUGGGAUACGUAGUUAUAAUGUCCCAAUUUAUGUAGUAUCUAUCAUUUAGCGCACAUAUAAAAUAUUAAUCAGCUUAAUUAAUUUAUAAAAUUUAAAUCUAAUUAAUAAGUGAUACAUAAAUGCCAAGUGCAAUACUGUAUAUGCAAAUCAUGUUUGUGGAUCAUUACAAAAUUGGCUCUUGAAAACAAGCAAGAAAGCUUAAUUAAGAACUUAAAACAAAAGAAUUAGAUUGAGAACAGUCAAGCCUUAUUUUUUCAAGGAUGGAGCUUAUAAAUCUUCAAGUACCAACAUACGCUUGGCCCAAUUGUUGUUAUUAAAAUUUCAAUAUACAUAUAUAAGUAUGAUAUAGCAAAAAUUUGAUGGUACAUAUGUCGGAAUAUACUAGUUCAUGGGUGCAUUUGAUUAUUGUUUCCAUAAAUUUGAACCAGGAAGGACGACACGAUAAAAAUUUGAUUUAUGGUAUGGUUGAUUUCAUAGCUCAUGCACUCAUUUCUUAAGAUAAUCAAAUUUUCUCUGACAUCUUUUUCAACUGUCGAAAUAUCAAUUAUGAUCAAUCAAAACGAUUUCAAAACCUUUCAACGAGACAUAUUUCUAAUACAAUAUUGUGAAAAUUACACUAAAAAAUAAUUUAUUAUAUAUUAUUAUCCAACGAGCACACAAAAAUGAUUUCGUACAAAUCUAAAAUACUAAGCAAUUUUCAAAUAGAAUUUACCAUGUACUACAAGAAAAUAGGGUAUAUGUGACCCCUACUGUGAAUGCAAAAGCAGCCAUUACGCAUAACCCCGAGUUGCUUUUGUUACCCUUUAUGUGACGGCCACACUGCUGUCACAUAUGUUACGACCGCGUGACGGUGAAGAGCCGUUCGGUAUACUAAUAUUUUAGAAUUUUAAAUUUAUUUCCAGUUAGAAAACUAUUCGCUGGACUCCGUGUUGCUGGCCACCAUCGUAAACAUAACUGGUUGCCAGCGAACGGCGUAAAACGCCGGCCAUCUUCUUCUUCAACGUAUUCUCCCUUCAUCUUUGAGGUAAGCUUGUGAUUAUGAGUUUCUUCUCUUACUUAGCUUGUAAUUAUAGAUUUUGAUUUUUUUUAAUUCGUAUUGUAGCCGUUAUUGUCAAUUUUUGUCCCGCCAGCAAUAUUUUUUUAUUCCUACAAGUUGAAACCCCUGUGUUCUUGUUCCAUUGGUGAGUUUGCUCACUCAAAUUAAUUUUGUUCUGCGGAAUUUACAAAGUUCAAAUGGAUUCAUUUGAAUUACUAUUGAAUUUAGCUUUAAUUCCAACAUCCAUUCUAAUGUUUUGCAAUUAGAUUUAAUUUAAUUUUAUGUUUAAAGCUUCUACAAUGAAUAGCGGAGCUUGGGUUUUAGUUUCAUUUUCUGGAUAACUUGUUUUUAGUUUAUCUUGUAUGCUCACCAAAUGCUUGUUAUAUUGUCUGAUAAGUUAUAUACAUUGCUGAUUCUACAUUAAUAAUGUUACGUUGUAUUUUCAGAAAUUAUAAUACAAAAGUUUUUUGCAAUGGCGUGCAUCUACAAACUGAAUUGACUUGUAGAAUAAGAGCUCGGAGUAGUGUUAUGUUCUUGAAUAAUUGAAAGUUCAUAUUGUGUAAGAGCAUUGUAGAUGUAAAGCAUCAUUACCAUUUCUACAAAGUGCUUUCAUUCUGUUCAUAUGCUCUUCUUGAACUUUGAAAGGUGCCUCGUUCAAGUCCUAGCUAUAACUACUAGCUUUGAUUAAUUAAGUUCCUAUACUAGCUGAAACAGAUUUAUUUAAUUAAUUAAUUGUGUAUGUACUAAUUAUAUUGAAAGUAUAUGAAUUUUUUUUUUAACAUGAAUGACUUCUAAAUGACUUAAAAACCUAAAGGGAUGUGUGAAACAAUGCUCAUUUCAUUUGAAUGAGCCCAUUAAUACUUUUAUGUCUAUGAUUUUCAAUAUUGGCUAAAGCAUUUCAGUUAAGUGGUUUACCUAACAGAGAAAAAAAUUUAAUAGAAAACUUCAGAGUUUCUAACAGAAAUAUAGUUCACUAUGCAGAUAUAGUUAUUUUACGGUAUACAAAUCAAGUUGUCCUAAUCUCAAUGUCCUAUGACCGAUUUUAUUUUAUAUAGUCAUUAAUUUUUUUCCUUGGUUUUUUGUGUUUAUGAGUAUGAAAUAGUGGGAUUUGGUGUACCUUAGCAUCUUUUGAAAAUUCUCUUUCAGUGUGGCCAACAGAAAUAUACAUAUAAUCAAGUUCUUAAUCGUGUAUAUUAGUUUUGGGUAUGAAUGUUCUAUUCUAGUUCGAGGCAAAGCUUCUUCGUUUUUGGUCUUCAGAUUUCCAGUAGGUUAAGUUAAUCAACUAUCAUAACUGGCUAGCUAGUUAUUGUCUGCCUUGGCGCCAUUACCAGGCCAUUAUAUUGCAUAGCAUAAGGAAUAGUGAUUAGGGGAUUAUUAGUGAUUUGUUGAGCUUAUUAUCGACCAAACAAACAUAUUCGCCUUUGCCCACAACUUAGUUUGAUUAGUUAUUAGACCAUAAAGAGCCUUGAUCUAUUCAUUGGCUUUAUUAUUUUUAUUUGGUUUUUCUUUCAACAAUAUUGUUGAUUUCUUAUAAAAAUAUUCAUUGGUUUUUAAACACCUAAUCAUUGGCUAUAUGAAGCUAAUUAAAACUGAGGCUUUGGAUCAAUUUCUUCUAACAAGAUACAAAUGAGCAUUAACCUAUCUCCUAUGAGUAAAUUUUUUUAAUAUCCUUGAUUUGUAAGGAUCUGGAGGCCUGAAAUCCUCUAGAUUUUUUUUAACACUGUCAAUGUUCUUUUAUUUCUGAGAAGGAAAUAAAAGGUUUUAUCUUUCAUACCCAAAUAGUAAGCUGGCCUUGUCUUAACAUGGCCUCCGAGGACUUGCAAGAUUCAUAGUGCCCCCACCCCAAAAAAAUAAAAAUAAAAAAACACAAAUAGGAAGAUUUUGCAAGAUUCACCACCAGGUUUUUUUUAAUUUGUUAAUUGUGUGUACGUGCUAGUUAUAUGUUGAAAGAAUAGGAAAGAAGUAUUUCAACAUGAAUGACUUAAAACUUAUUGCUCAGUAAACAUAAUCUGCAUGUAUUUAUCGUUUGUAUUUUUUAUGGUUUUGCUAAAGAAAUGAUAUGUGAAAUAAUGCUACAUUUGCAUCAGGAAUAAAUUGAAGAGAUUUAUGAUAUUUAUGUGUUAUUCAAAUUUCAGAUUCAAUUUUAAACUUUUGAUACGUGCAUUGAAAGCUUAGACUUGUUUAAGAAAUUAUUAAUAGACACAUGUUUUUAUUAGUGUCAUCUUUGGAUGAUAGUGAGGAUCAUAUGUCUAUUAAUAAUUCUUGAAUUGUCCAGGCUUGGACAGUUUGGGAAUGCAUAGUUCACUCUGGUAGCUAGUAGCUGAAGUUUUUUCCCACGUAAAAAUGGGUUUUUCAGUAGCUGCUCCUCGUGUUCUCUGGGUACGUACUAGGUGAAUGGGUGUCAUGUGUUGUUUUGGCAUAACGCAUAAACACUUAUAUAGCUAUGUCGUGUGCUUGGAGAAUUAUAGGGAGAUGGUGCCGAAAUUUUUAUAAACGUGGAAGAAAACUUUAGGUACUUGAGAUUGAAGAAACUUAUGCAUUCUUGAGUGGGAUAUGUAGGAUUACUUACCUUUUGUAAAUAUGAAGGGAAUGUUGGAUAUAUUGGGGAUAGUGUAGGAGCUGAGUUGGAUGAAUGUAAUUGGUGAUGAUUUUUGCUGAGCUGACCUUGGUUUUGAGCUUGUAAUUUUGUUUGUAAAUGGAGUGCUAUCUCCAAUGUUGGUUUAUAAAUAUGUUUCAGGACUUGCUGACCUAAUUUUUUGUUUCUAGGUUACAGGCUUUAUAUAUCUGUAAUUGAUGGCGAAGUGAAGUUCCCAGAACUUGGCGAGGAUGUUUCUUUACAGAAGGUAUUGGAAACUGUUUUUUACAUUAAUUAUUGUUGUAUAUAUACUUUGAUUUUCACAUCUUUUUCUCUGAUUCUUGUGGCUUUGCUUGCUUUCAUAUAUGUAAAUUCUAAUGAAAAUUAACCAUAAAAUUGUUUAAAAUGAUCUUUUUAUUAUAUUGCAAAACUGUGCACACACGAAAAUAUAUUGUUUAGUAGUAGAAAUGAAGAACUAAAAUGAUUUACUUAACUAAUUUUUGUAGCGCAUUAAAAGGAGAUAGUCAUGGACAUGUGUUGGGUUGGUUUGCCAAAUAGAUAUCCAAGUCAUAUACUGAUGGGGAUGAAAAAUUUAUAGAUUUUGCAUUUGAGAAUGUUGUUGGUGGUACAAGAAUUUAAUGUCCUUUUAAGAAGUGUUGUAAUCUAUAUUUCGUUAUAAAGGAAAGUGGCUGAUGAUGAUAUGGUUGGAAUGAUACAAUGCAUCACGUAAUCAAAUGUUCAAGUUACACGGAGCAUUGUUAUGGACUAUCAGUGACUUUCUAGCAUUGCCAACUUGUCUGGGUGGAGUAUUAAAGGUAAAUAAGCAUGUCUUGUUUGCCAACAAAACACUAGAUCUAAUUGGUUGAUACAUAGUAGAAAAUUUUGUCACGUGGGUCACCGUCGAUUUUUACCAACAAAUCAUAGGUUUCGAAAAUAUAGUGUCUUUUGAUAAAACUAGAGAGUAGGGACCAGCACAUUCUCGGUUGUCUGGAUCUGAAGUGAAAAAGCAGUUUAAUAUACUUACUGAGUAUAAGAUUGAAGACUUGAAAAUAGGAGAAUGAAUAAAAUGAGAGAAAUGAUAAGAUUACUUGGAAGAAGAAAAGCAUAUUUUAUGAACUACCGUGUUGGGAGUUCAAUUUGAUUCAUCAUAUCUUGAUCUCAUGGGCUGUUUUGAUUUUUGUUAUGAACUCAGAUCAAAAGUUUAAUGUGAUCAAAAUUUCUUAAAAAUAGUGAAAACGACUCCUAAUAAUAUGGAAGAUGGCUAUAAAAAGAUAAAAGGAAAGGCUUAAAAAGAAAAGCCAUGCCUGUCCAAAAAAAAAAAAAUCAACAAAAAUCAAAACGGUGCGUUUGAGAGUGUAUAAAAUACAUUUAGAGUGGGAGUUGUGUUGUUGCUUGAAGGCAGAAAGAUAUUUGUCGACGAAGCCAAAACCAAAGAUGAAGCCCAUAAAGCUCAAACUCCACCGGAGCAAAUUCAGGACAAUUACGAGGGUUAUGUUUGACAUAGUCAAGGAAGACGGUCCUCUCACCGUUGCCGAAACUUGGGAACGCGUCAAGGUGUGUGUAUCUGUUAAAUUGAAUUUCAACCGUUUGAUCUGUAAUUAUAAUUAAUCCAAUCGAUCUGACAGUGAUCACUGACCAUAAUACUAGUAGUUGUUUUACAUUUUCAGCAGGCUAGAGCGGGUGGAUUGACGGGCAAAAGCUCAGGCUCGUCUGCAAUCACAUGGGCCCUCAUAAGCAAAUCCUGUACACAACUUGGUUCACUAAACCCAACAACUUGAAGCAGCCAAAAUCAGGGAAUGAUCCUUCUCCGUCACAACCCUAGCUGCCUUAACCUUGUAGUGACACGGUGAAGAUGGAAGCCCCUCAGCAUGUAAACUUUUCAACAGCGACAGAGCUCUUAUUCCAGAGGCUGCACAGAAGAGCGACCUGGAAUCCUCUUCAAAACUUUCAAAUUUUUAUCAAGUAAAGCUUUCAAAAUUUCUCAACAAACUGAUUAUUUGGUGUGGUUGCCACAUUUUGUGCAACUGCUAUUCGUCUUCAAGUACAAAUUCCUUGCCUUCUAAGUUAGGGAACAUAGAUGUGGAGCAAACAGGGAAAUAGAUGUGGAGCAAACAGGGAAACAGCAAUGAUGGCAAUUAACAAACUAAUAGCAGUAUUACAUUUGAUUCUUUAGCCCAAUUUUGUUCCUUCUGUCAGCCAUUCUUCAAAAGUUUUUGAAAAUUAGAUGUGAAGCAAAAAAAAAACAAAUUUAGACAACAGAAGCCCUGUGCUCAACAUCAUAUAUAUACCUUGAAUACCUAAUAUACUAAAUUUCACAUAUAAAAUACUAGAGAUUUCAAACAGUACCAGCAAUAGAAUAAUGACAACGACAACAAUAACAGAAAAUUACAAGAUUGCUGACAAAAUUUAUGUGAUUUACUGUGCCUUUAUGCAUGCAAAAUGAAACUGAAGAUAAAAAAUUUAGGGAAAAGGACACAGAGACCCCCAACGUUUGAAUAAGGGACACAAAAUCCCUUAAUGUUUCAAAAAAGACACUCAGACCCCCAUUUGUUAACAUUAAAUUAUAAUUUUACCAUUGUACCCUUAUAGCAUAUUAAAAAAUAAUUAUUCAUUAUCCAAUUUAUUUCUAUAUUAUUAAUAAAAUUACGAAUAUAACUUCAUUACUCAAUUUUUCCAUUUAAUUUUUAUCAAAUUUUAUCUUCAAACUAAAUAAAUUUAAUCCAUUGCUCAAAAAUAAAAAUAAAUUAAAUUGAUUAUUAAUAUAAUAAAAAUAACAAUUCUCCAUAUGUUAUUUCUUAUAAUUUCUUAUAUAUAAAUUAAAUUGAUAAUUUCUUAAAAAUAACAAUUCUCCAUAUAUAAAUUAAAUUUAUUUUAAUUUAAUAUAUGUUAUUUUUAUAUUAAAUAUAUGUUAUUUUUAUUAUAUUAGUAAUCAAUUUAAUUUAUUUUUAUUCUUGAGUAAUGGAUUAAAUUUAUUUAGUUUGAAGAGAAAAUUUGACAAAAAUUAAAUGGAAAAAUUGGAUAAUGAAGUUAUAUUCGUAAUUUUAUUAAUAAUAUAGGAAUAAAUUGAACAAUGAACAAUUAUUUUUUAAUAUGCUAUGAGGGUAUAAUGGUAAAAAUUAUAAUUUACUGUUAACAAAUGGGGGUCUCAGUGUUUUUUUUGAAACAUUAGGGGGUUUUGUGUCCCUUAUUCAAACGUUGGGGGUCUCUGUGUCCUUUUCCCAAAAAUUUAUAAACUAGAAAUUUAUAAUAAUCUAACUUAUUCUCGUUACUAUUAAAAAAUAAGUAAACAUAUCAAUAACAAUAUAGUUUAUUAUGAUUAUAAUUCAUUCAAUUAAAAUAAAUAAUUUAUUCUUAUUUCUAUUCUCUAUUCUAAUUUCAGUAAAUUUUGAUUUUAGUUUAUUUUAAUUAUUGAUUAGUUGUAAACUUAACUGGAAAUUUAUUGCAUAUAUUACGAGAAGCAGUACACACCAAUGGUAAAUUGAUACAUCGUUUUUGAGCUUAAGAUAGUCAAAUGAAAGAAACACAACGUAGGGUUCAUGAAACACUUUCAAAGCUGCUGAUGACUUAAAGUGAAUAACCUCAGCAUGUAAACUUAACUUCAAAGGACGGAGCACAAGUUUCACAGAAAAACAGCUCUUAUUUCUGAUGCUGCGAACACAGAGGAGUGACCUCAAUCUUCUUCAUCACUUGGGAAUUCUGCAAUUAUAGAGCACGACAUUGAGCAUGAACUAGAAAAAAUAUUUAUUUUCUACAAUUUUCAUAUAACCUCACUAACCAAGAUUAAUUUUGUGGUAAUGUAUUGGGUCAUUAAUUCAUAUGUUUUUACUGUCAUCACUUUAGAAAAAACUAAUUUCUCAAUGUGAAAUGGCCCAUAAAAGGUAUUCUCAUUUAAAAACUAAAUUUGACAAACCCUCGAUUAAAGCAGGGGAGAGAAAAGAAAAAAAAAAGAUCUGAAGGCUUUCCACAUGAAAAUGUUGUCACUUUGGAUGAUAUUUUCAAGGGAUUUCAUUCUAAAAAUAAAAUACCUGGGACCUUAUUCUUCAAAUUGACAGCUCGCCCAGUACUAAACGCGUAUGAGAUCAGUACUGGGACAAGUAACGAGACGACCCCUCCAACAGCUGAAAAUAAAAUUCGCAUUCAUCAAUUUAAAUUGAAAUUCAUAUUAUGAAAUUAAAACUAAUGAUUAAUGAAUUUUCAAGGAAUUUAAUAAGAUUCUCAUAUAUAAACGUGAUAAAAAAUUCACUCAUCAAUAACAAAUAUUCUAACAUUUUGUUGAUGUAAUUGUUGUAUGGUUGUGUUAAGGUCAUUAUUAGACCAACGCAGUUUGUCAUCACUCAUUCCGUACCAGACGUUUACUCUCGGAGGCGUGAUUGAUUCUCCUUUGGUGAAAUCUUCAUCUUCGGACAACCAAUCACAGUAAGAUAUUCCAAAGAUGGGAAUUUGAAGGCGUAAUUGCCAGAGGAGAAGCUUGUGAGACUAUCUAAAUCAAACAGGGACAACGUAGUCAGUUUGCUGAAAACAAUCUCUUCUUUUAAAUAUGCUGUUUCAUUUCAAGACUGGCAAAAUUCAUUGUGUAAUCAAAGUUUUCAAUGAUCCAACUAAUAUAUAUAUAUAUGUAUGUAUAUUCCUUCUCUAGUGCAGACAUUCUCAUUUUUUUUUUUCAUGUGGACCAGUUUUUAGAUCCCCUGGUUUAAAAGAGUUAGUUUUUAACUCUUUAAAACCGCAUGGCUUCAUAAUUUAUUUAAAAACUAACUCUCUUAAACCGCACGGUUUAAAAGCGUGUCCACAUUAAAAAAAAAUACGGACCCCCACACCUGAGAAUGAUUAUAUAUAUAUAUAUAUAUAUAUAUAGACACACGCUCUUAAACCGUGGGAUUUGAAAGCUUCUCCGCAUGAAGAAAGUAAAAAAUAAGGGCAUUCCCACUAGAAACAAACUCCAUAUAGGUAUUUAUUAAACCUCCUGAUCUGUGAGUGAGGAACAACAAAUAUAAUUGAUAAAAAAAAUCUAAAAUUUGGUUUCAUACCUUCUUGAACGAGAACAGGGGUUGUUGUGCCGGAAUACCAAAUUGAUCAUUCUCGUUAUUCUGGGACAACGUUAUUUUAUCACAAUUACAGGCCUCCAAUGUUUUUUAGUGCUGGCCAUUCUGAAGUAUGCAUUCCAGGGUAUAAACAUCCGAGUUCUGGUAGACCUUCGAGAUUCAGAGUGGUCACUUGUGGAAAGACAAAAUAUGGGGUCACUUGAUCUGCUCUGUCUUUGGAGAUGAUCUCUUGUAAACCCAUACAUAUCCGUAUCUCCAGGUGUUGGAGGUGCUCAAGGCUUUGGAUCAUAGAAGCUGAAAAUAUGUAUUUUAAUUUGUCACAGCCCCACACUAUCAAUCGUGUCAAACUUUGAAAGCCGCAAGUUGAUUGUCAUGCAAAAUCUCGUCGACAUUAAUAGCAUUCAGCUCCAAAGCCUCCAAAUUUGGCAACACUACCUGAAGAUAAUUUUCUCUUUAGAUCCAAUAUCCGUAUGGAAAGCACUUGUUUUGACACAAUAUCCAUAUAAGAAGCACUUAAUUAAGAGCUUAAUUAGCGAGUGUAUGAGACUUUUUUUUUUUCAAAUGCCAGUGCAUGAUAGAACUAAAAAAAAAAAAGAAGCAUUAGCCUACGUACCUUCUCGUUGAAAGCAGAGUUGACGUUUCCGAACUGAUCUCGUUGGAACUGGCUGUCAAUUCCUCUUGCGACUCUUGUCUGUUUGGUGAUGUGGAAGAAGUCUUCACUUCACCGCAAAACCUUGUAACCUUUGGAAGCUUUCCCAGACUCAAAGAUCUUAAUUGACCAAACUCUAUCUUCCCAUCAACAUCAACAUCAGCUUCUCCUCCAGUUGCAAAAAUCUCUUCCAUGCUGCUGCAAUUGAUAACUGCAAUCCUCUCCAGUCUUGGAAGGCAUUUUGUACUACUAGAGAGCCAGAAGAUAUUACUCAACUCAUCACAAUUUUCUACUUUUAUGGUUUUGAGUUCAUUGAAGGACUCUAUUUUGAGUCGAUCAAUACAUAUCCUCUCCAUAUUGAUCAAAUUUUGAAGAGUAUGGGACUCCAAAAGAGGAAAGGCGACACAUGGUUCUCUCUCCAUUGAAUCGACGAUACACAGGAAGUCUGGAUUAUUUUGAACAUGGAGAUGCUUCAAUUGUGAAAAGCCCUCAGUGUCCAAUUCUAAAACAACAUUCUUGAUUCCUUGCAACUUAUCCAAACAUAAGUAUUCAACGUUAUUGAUGCGCUGCAACUUCUCGGAGCAAAUGGCCAUAGAAUCAAGCUUGAGCUUCAAUGUUCUUAAACUCUCAUGAUUACUGAUCAUAAAGUGCUGCCGACUUUCAAACCAAUCAUUCUCAAUAACCAGGGUAGAGUCGAAUGAUGCAUCUCCUAUUGAUAUAUCAAACCUUUCCAGCUUUUUGGAAAAAAAGCCAUCCGGUAAAAUGCUAUCAUUUUUAACAUCUAUCUAAGGUGGUCAAUCGCCUCAUAUGCAUCAAUUCGUCGAGGGUGGCAUUACUUCUUUCACUAUUGGCCUUUUCAACUUCCCAUUCAAUAGGGGAAUUACCCAUAUACAGUUCUUCCAAUCGAGUGAAGCUUGAUAAGACGUUGGGCACAAUAAAUUUUAGUUGCAAACAAUCUGUUAAAUCUAACAGCCUUAACUUAGUCAGUUGACCUAGUUCGCCAGGCAACCGUACAAUAUCAGAAUUUAAAAAGCUAAGGAUUUCUAGAUUCUUCAACUUUCCAAUUAUGGCUAUGUCUCCCAACAUGCUUUGAUCUAGACAGAGUGUUUGAAGAUUUGCUAGAAGACCGAUUGAAGAUGGCAAUGAAAAUAAUCGCAUUCGUGUCAAAUCUACAACUCGAAGCUUUUUCAGCCCUUUGAAAAUGUUGUCAGGAAUAUUGACCUCAACAAAAGUGUUUUGGGAAAUAUGUAAAAAUUCAAGUUGCAGACAUUCAAAUUCCUCAGAAACUUCAUGAAUGCUACUAUUUAGUAAAGAGAUUGCAUAGCAUUUUUUAAGUGCAUCCUCAUCUGGCCACUCCCACACAGCCUCAUUUCUCACCAAUAAAGCAUGUUGGUCUCGAUUUAAACUUUAACUCAAUUUGAAAAACUGAGCAAGUAUGCGUUACAGGAAAUCAAAAAAGCUCCACAUACCCAGAUCAUGAUCUCACGUUGAAUCCAGGUGGGAGAUAUAUUUAUGAUCAAGCCCAACAUCGAAGGGGCAAAAAAAAAAAAAAAAAAAAAAAUCUACCAGACAUAUGAUCAUAUUGACCACGAGCUUCAUACGCCGUGGAUUUAUUAACAAAAGUGGGAAUUAAUUAAUCAUGAGCAUGUGUUCUAGUUAAGUCAAAAGAGAGACUUAAUUAAGAACGCAUAUAUAAUUCAUAAUCAGCACAUAAAAAGAUCACUAGUGCUUGCCCCUCCUGCCCUUGCCGUGCUUGCCGUGCUUGCCCCUGCCCUUGCUCUUUCCAUGCUGGUAGUAGCCGCCGUGCUUGCCGUGUGUGUAUGCACCGUGAGCUCCAGGAUAUGCGUUAUUAUCUGCAACAAAAUAAGAAAUUAAAUCAUAAGCUUAUAAUUAGCUCGCUCGCUAAGAGUGAUUAAAAUAAUACCGUGCGGAACGGAUGGGCCAGGAUAUCCCGUUGGUGUGUAACCACUGGCGAGUGCUGCUCCUGUAGGCGGGUAGCCGGCACCGGCUGGGCAGCAUGAUCAGCACCUUCCAUGAUUUUGAUGAUCACCUAAUAAAUAAUAACUUGGUCCAAAAUAAACAACAAUAAAUAAUUGUGAUUAAUAAAAAGUAAUAUAUUCUCUAAUUAAAACAUUAAUGAUCAUUGGAGAGCAAGCGAGAAAUACUUACUGAAUGCGAUGGGACAGACAACAUCAUGCAUAGAGAAUUGUUCAUCUUCAACGAAUUUGGCUGCCCGGUCAAUGAUGCCGUUAGCACUAACCAGCCACUUCUCAACCUUCUCUUCAAUCUCUUCCCCUUUUUCUUUUGCCUCUGAAACUCUGCGCCGAAUGCUCGUACGUUCAACCUUCAACUUCUCCAUUUCCGUCUUGAGAUUCUCAAGGUUGGCAUUGUAGUUCCGCUUGCGCAAAUAAACAAGUUGGCGUUCUGUUGGAGGAGCCAAGCAUUUUACAAGUUCCAAAACGAGAGUAACAAUGAUUUCCAGCAUCUUGAAUCCUGACAACAAUGUAGAAGUGAAGAAGGCCAAAGGACAGUCAAAACAGAGAGACAGCGUUACGACAAGCAGUUAUGGAGCUAAAAAUAAAUAACAAACAAACAGAAGCAAAGUGUUUUUCGAAUGAGAAGAAGGAAGCAAGAAAAACUUAAAACUAGUAUAAUAAAUUUAUACUAAAACUAGUAUAGUAAAACAAGAAGUCAAGAACCAGCAACUUUUACACACAAAAUAAAACCUUAAAACUAGUAUAAUAAAUUUAUCAUCAAGUUGCAGCCUUCUUAUUCAACAAUUACAGCAUUAUCUUGAGCUCUGUGUUUCUUUUUUUAAAAAUUAUUCAAAAAAAUCUGCAUUUGUUUUUCAACGAUAAAAAUUAUAUUUUUGUCUCAUAUAAUAUAAAAUUAAAAAAAAAACAAACAUAUAUUAAAGGUCUGUUUGGGAUUAUUUUUAGAGGCUCAAAAGUAAUUUUAAAAAGUUAAAUGCUAAUUUUGGUAUUUAAUAAAAUUUUUAGAAGUCACCUUUGGUAAAAUCAUCAAUCCUACAACAAAUUUUGAAAGCAAAUAGUUUUUCAAAUUUUUAUUUUGAUAAUUAAUUUUAUACUUAAUAUAAUUCCAUAUACAUCCCUACAUAUAUUAAUUAUCCUUAUUAAUUAGAAAAUAAAAUUAUUAACUUUAAAGAUAUUAUCAACAAUUACAUUGAGAUAACAAACUAAAAAAUAAAAUUAAUAAUAUAAAAUAUUUAUUUUAGUAAUCAAUUAUUAUACUUACAAGAUAAAAAAUAUUUUAUUUAAAUGUUUAUAAAUGUACAAAUAAAUUUUAUUUAAUAUUAUAUUCAAUUUAGUCAUUUACAUUGUCAAUAGGACUUCUAAAAAUAAAUUUUCCUAAAUGUUUAACUAAUUCUCUUCAUAGUGAUUAUUUCCAAACAUAACUACCAAAAAUUACUAUAAUAGAUACAACAUUACCAAAAAAAUAUUGAGAUAGAUUUUAAUUAGGUAAUUGACUUAAUUAUGAAUCAAUUUAUUAUUUCCAUAUGUGUUAUCAAAACCAGCUCAAUAAUGAGAUCACUCUUUUUCUUAAAUAAAAAUAUUUGUGCCAAACAAUUGUUGCAAAAUUUCAAAUAUAAAUUACAAACAACAAAAUUUUUCUAAAAUCAUAACAAUAAUUUAUGUUGUGAAUACAUGUAACUAAACCACAUUGAAAUUUUAUUGUUAGUAAAAUUGUUUUUCACGCAAAUGCAGUGACGGAUUCAGUUUCAUGUUUCACCCUCAAUAACUUAAUUUUCAUAUCUAACAAAUCAUCCAUAUUAUUAACAAUAUCAUCACCAAACAUAAUCUACCUAAACAUAAACUAAACAUAACACAUACAUAUAACUAUAUACAUACCGAAUCAGGAAAACAAUGAAAGCUACACGUAUCCGGCUCUACAAUUCCUUCUUGAUACCCUUGUGCUUCUGAAAUAAUCAACCAAUUAUAAAAAUUAGCUUAGGCGCAACUUUACCCCUUUUUUGGAAAACUUAACGAUAAAUAAAGUAUACAAAUCUCUAAAUUAACUUCGUCCCCAUGAAAUUCAGCAUAAAUAGAAAUAGAAUUAUAGAAACCUUACUACCUUUUAUGAGAAAUCCAACUUAUAUAUUUGAGACCUCUCUCUCUAAACACGCGCUUCCUCUCUCUGUACACUUUCCACCUUUGAAUUUUCCUUCACUAAGUCUACCUAAAUGAAUUUAGCAUUCUUCCAGUUUCUUUAGCAUUUUUUCUCCGUGAAAAUAGGUGAAAAAGAGAAAGUGGUUUGAUUAUUUUAAUGUAUGACAGAUCUGGUUUCCAUCUCUGUAAUUUAAGUUUGUCAAACGAGAUAAUCAACUCUUUGUCGAGUCAGUCAAAUAUAAAAGACAAAUUACUAAACCAAGCAGAGCCCAAAAAAAAAAUAUUUCCAAUUAAAUAAUCAUCAAGUCUUUUUCAAUUAAAUUAGGGAGUGCAGAACAACUGUCGAGAGAUAAUCAUUGUUUAUGGAGCCAUAUUAUAUUUUCGAUUAAAAUAGUUGCGCGUGAACAAUUGGCAGAAUUCGUAUAAAUUGUUGUCAGGUCUAUUAUAAUUAACAAGCGGAAUGGCCAAUGGAUGAAGAACCACUGUAAUUUCGUUUAUGAAUUCAAAAUGCUAAAGAAACUGGACAUCAACGCUAAAUGUCAGCCUGCGGCCCUUGCCUCAGUGUCUUUCAGGCGUUACUCUGGGUAGUUGAUAUACUGACCGUCCCUUUAUCAAUUAAUAAUCGAAAUAGGUUAAAAAUAUGAAUGGAUUGAAUGGUAUGACUUGGAAUUAAAAUAUGGAAUGACGAUUAGAUUAAUUAAUUUAUUUAAAUUGAGAAAUUAGAAUCAUAAUAAAUUAUAUUGUUAUUGAUGUAUUUGUUUUAUCUUAAAAUUGCGAUGAGUUGUUACAAAUUACUAAUAUGCCUUUGAUUUUGUAUUAUGAUAAUUAUUAUUUAUUAUAACAUUUGUCAUAUAAUAAUAAUAAUAAUAACAACAACAACAAUUAAUAUUGAAAAAUUUUUAUUGUUAAUAAUAAAUAGGCAAUUAUCCACCGAUCAUGUGAUCUUUUGGACGUUUUAAAAAAUAUACAAACACUUUUUUCUUUGCAGAAAUCCACCUGAAAUUUACAAGUGUUUCAAUUGUUCACUGUUCAUCUAAAUUUUGUUAGAAUUUUCUUGACGUUGUAAGGAUAAAAUUGUUAUUUUUACCUUGACUUCCAAAGAGGAUGUCUUUCAAACAUGAUGAAAAUAAAAAAAAAGGAUAAAAAAUUAUCUGUAAACUAUCUGAUCUUUUAGCCAUUAUACAAAAUAUUAAAAAAAUAUACGAACAUUUUUUAUUUUUUUCAACAAUCCAUCUGAUAGUUAUGAAGUGCAUUAGUGCUCCACUACUAUCAUAACCCUUUAAAAAUAUCGCUUAAACACGAGAACCUAUUGCCUAAAAUUAUUUUUCAAGAAAUGUAACUACAGAUUUGGUUUUGAUCUUCAUGACUUUUAAGUGUACAAGAACAAGAUGAACGAACCUUUGUCGAGUUGAUGAAUUAAGAUAAAUCAAUUACAAAUCGAGAACAAACUUACGGGUGACAUUUUAGUAUUAAGCAAACUAUAAUUGAUCAUCCAAUGAUAGGCUUAUUUUCAAUUAAAUUAGAGUAAAGAUAGACAUUCCAAAUUUUUCUCUCAAAUUUAAUCUAGAUAAUGUGUUAUUAAUUGAGUGCUUGGUAAUUCUUUCAAGAUCUAAGUGAAUUAAUUAUAUUAUCUCUCCAACCAAUUGAUGAAUAUUAUAUUAUUUGAGAUAAUUUUUUUUUAUCUCAAAUCCCAGCAAAGAAAACAGAACAAACGGAGCAAAAAUAUUUUUAGAAACCUAAAAUAACAAAAAAAAACUUUUUCUUGUUUUUCUUAUUUUCCACUGUUAAACUUCAAAAUGAACAACUUUAUUCUACCAUCUCUCAAAUAAUAAUAAUAACAACAAUGUCAUCAUCAUCAAUAAUAAUAAUAAUAUAUUAACUUUGUAGGAUGGAGCUCUCGCAAAUCUUCAAGACACAAAAUGUGCUUGACCCCAUUGUUGUUAUUAUAAUUUCAAAAUCAUCUGUAUUAUAUAAUAUUAGGGAAUAUGACAUAGCAAAAUUGAUGGUACAUAUGUUGCAAUAUACUUGUUCAUGUGGCGACACAUUGAAGUAAAGCACAAGCAAAACAACGAAAAAUGUAACGGGAGAGCUCUCAUUAUGUAGAUUUUCAAUAGAAGUAAUGCAAAUUUCACAAGGAAUGGCCUUAUUUCGAAUGCUGCACCUGAGGAAUGACUUGAAUCUUCUUUAGAACUCAAGCAUUCUGUAAUCAUAGGGUAUAACAUUUCAACAAAAAUAUUAUAUAGGUCGUUCCUUUAUAUAUUUUCUGGGUACACAUACAGAAAUAUUAUUUUAGGUACAUUUCUCACAAUAAAGCCUGCCCAAUCUAGCAUUUUCGUAGUUGGGUUUCUUAUUUACAUGUUUUUUCCAUUGGUUAAUUAUCACAAACCUCCACUGAGAUUUAGCAUGUUUUUAGUUUGAUAGAUUGUAUUCGCGUAUUCUCAAAUACCUUUUAGUUUACCACUUCGUAUAAAUUAAGUUGGUGAGGAUAAAAUCAUAAAAGUACACAUUAAUGAUAAAAAAAUUCAAGUAAACUUGAAAUUUUCAAGGGGUAAUUUUUCGGGACCUCCCCUGAGGUUCGGUGUAUUAAAAGUCUCAUAGAAAGUAUUCAUGUAAUUAUAAGAACCUCCCCUGACGUUAGUACACAGUUAACUUGACUGUUAGUGGACUGAUAAAAAGUCAAAAAUGCCAUUGGCUACAAAAAUGAGUGCAACAAUUUGGAGUUAAAUAGUAAACACCACAUUGGAGCACUAAAAAGUCUAUAAUAAUCAUGGAAAAAAAUCAUUGACAUUUACAUAAUAUAAAAAAAAAAAGUAAAAUAUAAAUUAAGAAAAUCAACAAAAUUGUCAACGUAUAGAAUAUUUACAGCAGCAGUGGCUAUAAAUACAACCGUCGUCAAAUUAAAAUAUCACCAUUAGUAAACUACUUCAAUAAGACAAUAAACCAUGAUUCACUCUUCAAAGCAUUCAAAAUACACAACCCGCACAAUAGAAUCACAUACGCACACCUGCUAAUGAAAUAUAAGAACAAACAGGAAAUUGAACUGACAUGGCUAAGAUACUCCUUCCCCAUAGCUAUUAGAAAGAUAAUGAGCGAUUUAUGAAUCAUGAUGCUUGCUUUACUUUCUGGCAGUGUUAGCUUCAAAUUCAAUGAUAGUAAAUGAACAAUGGUUCAUUCAUUAUGAAAGUAAGUGUAAAGCUAGGAAUUUAUAAUAUUCAGAUGUUGGAAUUGGAAAAAUAUUCCUUAAUCGUUUCAAUUGAAGCCAAGGAAGAAAAGAAAUGAGUCUUCUUUUUUCAGGAGACAAGCCAUAUGAAGAAGGCAGACCAGAGCAUAAGAACGAAUGCUACUGCCACAGUAAAAGCCUGGAUCAAUGGGUAAUGGUACCUGCCAUGUCAAUUUCAAGACAAACAAAAAUCAAUUAUCAUCCCCAGACCACAACACCACCAAACCAACCUUUUGAAUCUAAAAUAACAAGUUAAUAAAUCAAAGAUUUCAAUUCAUUUAAGUUUGAAAUCAACUAAAAUAGAAAAAAAAAACCCAAUUUCUUUUUUGUUCAAUAUAACUCAUUCAGCAUCUUCUUCAACACAUUUUUUAUCAUUCUUCAUCAUCCACAACAAUAAAAAGAAAAAAAAAAACAUUGAGUCCAACAUGCAAGUUUUUUUUUUGGAAAACUAACCGUUUUUAGGUUCCAAUUUCUAGUAGUCUUAAACAGUAGCCGCCGACGAAAUUCGCUUGGCGACACCCUUUUGCCACCAUUGCAGCUUGUCAUGUUCAUACUCAGCUUAAAAUUACUUGAAGGCAGCAGGGAUUUUAUAGUUACAAAAGUUUCUUCAGAGCUUUUCAAGCUUGAAAAUGGCUGAGAGUUUCAUUUCAUGAGAGAGAAAAUGGAGUUUUCAUUCAUCUUAGAUAAAUUGAAGAUAAUUUGCAUUGUGGUAAUAAAUUGAUUGUCAGUGCCUAAAUUUGGGUCAUUCGACACAACUUGGAAUUUUUUUUAUUUUUUCUUUGAUUUUUAUUAUGAAACUACUAAUUUACCCUCAUAUACUAACAUAUAUGAAAUGGCAUACUAACGUCAGUUAUGUCAAGCAGCUCCCUGUAAUUACGUGAAUAUUUUUCAUGAGACUGUCAAUACACAAAAUCUCAGGGGAAAUCCCUAAACAUUACCUAAUUUUUAAGUUGUGUUCUGAAAUUGGUCUCAACUUUGUAAUGUGUAAUGCCCACAAAAAAAGAAAAGGAAAAAUGGUCAUCUCUUUCCUCCAUUCGAACUGAAGCCAUGAAACGCAAUAUCCCUUUCAUCUUCUCUCUAAUGCUUUGAUUAAAAAACUUGCUUACGAACGGGAGACCAUGACACUGAAUCCGAAGACAGAAAUACCUGAGAUGACUGAUUCACGCCGGCGAUGUGGAAGAAUACCGACCAGUGACUUUCGCCGUCGACCCACAAACAAUCCCAGUGUUUUCGAGCCGCGAAUGAGGUAUGAAUAAGAUUAUUUCCGUGCGUGUCAGUUUUGUAAGGAGAUUUGAUUAAAAAAAGAAUAAUGGGUCUCGAAAAUUUUUGAGUAUUUCUGUUGCUUAAAUUUUUUCCAUCGAUUAAUGUUAGUUGUAGGUGAAUGAUUGUUGCAAACGCAUGUUCGCUUGUGAUUGAUUGAAAAUGACUUGUUAUUUGUUAUGCUGCCAUGUGACUCAUUGAAAAUGCCUCUGAAAUUUUUUUAUUUGUUUAAGGUACUGAUUCUGAUUAUUGAACAGGGAUUCAUGCUAGUUUUUAUUAAAUUAAAGAUGAGAUUAUUUUUUAAGAGAUCUACCAAACCUUCUCUACUAUAGAUUUGGCUUCUGACAUACCUGGUUCGCUGGAGAUAAUUGUUUAUAUAGUCAUUGCUGCUCGUAUUAAUCAGGAACAUUGAUUAGCAAUGUACUGGAAUAGAGAUUGGUAUAAUUUUGGAAAAUUAGUCGUAGAUGCAACCUGAUUAUGGUCUCAAAUAGUGUGAUCUGUCAAUUCCGUUUGCUCUAGCCUAACAACCUUGAAUCUGAGCUAUGCCACUAUACAAAGUCCUGACCUAAUCAAGCUUGUUAGCCAAUGUCCAAAAUUGCAGUGUCUUUAGAUAAGCCCUGUCUUACUUGUUUGAGUUAUAAAUGAAAAUUGAAGUGUCUUUGGAUAAUCACGCUGAAUGUUCAAGUUAUUGAAGAGAAGGGACCCCAGAUUCAAGGCCGGAGCUCCCUGUUGAGAAGCUUUACAUAUAUGGGAUUGUCGCUGGGCGGAGGAUCGAUAUGCCCGGUUUUGUUUGGAAUAGGGAUGAAGAUUUUGCAUUGAGGCUUUCUUGAUAGAUCAUUCUGCAAAUCAAGCUCCAUGUACCUAUCUUCAGACUCUUGGAUAUGUAUAAAGCAGGUGCAUGCUCUAUAUGUUACUCAUUGUAUCACGAUUAUUUUUCUAUUGCUUAAAAUAAUUGCAGUCCUUGAUGUAGUUGGAGACAACUUAUGGAGGGUAUACAGAGGCUCGAGAGUUUGAUUGCCAUUCAUUUGACACUUGGCUGAGCUACAGCAUACCAACUAGUGAUUAAUAAAGAGAAGGUAUGAAGGUCCUGUUGCUGGUGGUAUUAUCAAUCAGAAUUGUUAUUUUACUUAGUCAUAGUUACCAUGUAUAAGAUUCGUAGACUUUUUGCAUGUUUAUGCAUUCGCAUCAUCUUUUUGUUAAGCUAGAGAUGGUUGAUUUGUGUACUCAUUUGUAUCACUUGUAGCCCUUGAGGAAUAAAAUUUAAAAUUUUGUUGCAUCUCCUGUACUAAAUACUAAUUUUGUUUGCUUUAUGUAUGGGAAAUGGUUCAUUAUCUUAUUUCUUUGAUGUGUAUAGUGUUACACUGUCUAAAGUUGAAAAGUAUUUCUAUCACUUGUGUAAAAAACAAACAAUUUUUUUUUCACUCUUCUUAUAUUGAAUAAAAGAAGGACACCAAGAUCUUCACCAAGAUUGAACGAAAUUUGAUGCAGAAAGCAUAGCAAUUAGGCCAGUGCAAAAUAGCUUCCUUCUGAUUCUCUGAUAUUUGACUUAAAUCUUUUGUUUGUUUCAUUCAUCAAAGUCAUUUUGGAAAGUAGCAGGCGUGAUUUGAUAUUUUCAUUGUAUUCACAUCCGUUGGCACCAAAACAAACAUGCUGGUACUAACCAACAAUUUUUUAUUUUUAGUGUACAAAUUAUUAUUUUUAAGACAAAUAAGCUGGUACUAACCAACAAUAUUUAUUUUCAGUAUACAAAUUAUUAUUUUUUUUUCUAAAUUAGGGGUAUUAAGAAAAGGUAUGCUAGCACCAGGGGAGGUAUUUGAAAAUAUACAAAUACAAUCUAUCAAACUGAGAAUACACCGAACCGGCAGGUUUCUGAUAAAUCCUUUUUUUCUUUUUCCUCCAUUCACUAUAGGUUCAAUUUAGACGCUGUUGACCAAACAGAAGGUUUGGGUUGGUAAACGCACUGGUGUUAAUGCCAACAACCCAAGGGGCUUCAUGGUCCUCUGGGCCGAAAUAGCGUAAUUAUUAAUUCUCCUCCAGUGAAAAUCUUCAUCUUGGGACAAAUAAUUACGAAUUGACAUUAUAGCUGUGGAAAUUUGGAGGUGUAAUAACCGGAAAAGUAAAAAUCUUAAGAGACUUUUUAAAUAAAAAAGAUACAACACCUUCAAUUUGCUAAAAGUAAUGGUAUCAUUUCUUGUACGGAUAAUGGAUGAUUAGAUUUUGUUUUUGUUAUCCGACGAAGGAUAUUCAGUUGUUCUUUAUGUGUUCACAGGCAAGAGCAUGAGCAUAUUCAUGGUUUCAUAUAUGCUUCUUGCAUUUUCUAAUUAAGUACUCUCUUUCCUUGCCUUCUUAGUUUUGAAAGAAAGAUGUGAAGCAAAGCAAACCAGUGAAAUAUACAGAGAAACAGAACCAUCAGAGGAAAAACUAAAUAACAGAACCACAAUUGAACCAAACAAAAUCAAAUAAACCGAGGCAACGGAUACCCUGAAUCAGGCAUCCCUUUUUCUCGAAAGAAAAUAUGUUUGCAUGGGUGGGAACCUAAUAAUUACUCAAGAGUUGGAGUUGGAAAGAUUUGGUAUUCAUAUCUUCACAAUUCAUAAGCUUUAAUGCAGAAUCGACAGCUUUAUAUUAAUUUAUUCAACCAAAAACGAUAAAGUAGGAAAACCACAAUAAUCCACCAACUUUUGCUACUUUUAGGAAUAAUUUUUAGUCAACUUUCAAAAAGUGAGAUGACGAUCUUUGAGUUGAUAAAUCUUGGCCUGCUGCUUAGUACCCUUCCAACAUAUAAAGUACUAGAUGUUUAGCUGAGAAAAUGACGAGAUCAUUUAUCAAAUUUCUUGCGCAUAUAUACAUAUAUAUACAAGAAAUAAGAAUCAGAGUGAUUAUAAGACCUUGCAAUGAGGCAAUAAUACAUCAUCAAAUCUAAAAAUACACAAGAAAUUCGUGACGUAUAUAACAAUAGACCUCUCAUUGAGUCAUACAUAUUGAGAAUAAAAUGUCAAAAUGCAUACAAAGAGCUUAUACAGAAAAUGAAUUUACACACAUUUAGAAUAAACUGUCUUUGAACUUCCGAUGGNNNNNNNNNNNNNNNNNNNNNNNNNNNNNNNNNNNNNNNNNNNNNNNNNNNNNNNNNNNNNNNNNNNNNNNNNNNNNNNNNNNNNNNNNNNNNNNNNNNNNNNNNNNNNNNNNNNNNNNNNNNNNNNNNNNNNNNNNNNNNNNNNNNNNNNNNNNNNNNNNNNNNNNNNNNNNNNNNNNNNNNNNNNNNNNNNNNNNNNNNNNNNNNNNNNNNNNNNNNNNNNNNNNNNNNNNNNNNNNNNNNNNNNNNNNNNNNNNNNNNNNNNNNNNNNNNNNNNNNNNNNNNNNNNNNNNNNNNNNNNNNNNNNNNNNNNNNNNNNNNNNNNNNNNNNNNNNNNNNNNNNNNNNNNNNNNNNNNNNNNNNNNNNNNNNNNNNNNNNNNNNNNNNNNNNNNNNNNNNNNNNNNNNNNNNNNNNNNNNNNNNNNNNNNNNNNNNNNNNNNNNNNNNNNNNNNNNNNNNNNNNNNNNNNNNNNNNNNNNNNNNNNNNNNNNNNNNNNNNNNNNNNNNNNNNNNNNNNNNNNNNNNNNNNNNNNNNNNNNNNNNNNNNNNNNNNNNNNNNNNNNNNNNNNNNNNNNNNNNNNNNNNNNNNNNNNNNNNNNNNNNNNNNNNNNNNNNNNNNNNNNNNNNNNNNNNNNNNNNNNNNNNNNNNNNNNNNNNNNNNNNNNNNNNNNNNNNNNNNNNNNNNNNNNNNNNNNNNNNNNNNNNNNNNNNNNNNNNNNNNNNNNNNNNNNNNNNNNNNNNNNNNNNNNNNNNNNNNNNNNNNNNNNNNNNNNNNNNNNNNNNNNNNNNNNNNNNNNNNNNNNNNNNNNNNNNNNNNNNNNNNNNNNNNNNNNNNNNNNNNNNNNNNNNNNNNNNNNNNNNNNNNNNNNNNNNNNNNNNNNNNNNNNNNNNNNNNNNNNNNNNNNNNNNNNNNNNNNNNNNNNNNNNNNNNNNNNNNNNNNNNNNNNNNNNNNNNNNNNNNNNNNNNNNNNNNNNNNNNNNNNNNNNNNNNNNNNNNNNNNNNNNNNNNNNNNNNNNNNNNNNNNNNNNNNNNNNNNNNNNNNNNNNNNNNNNNNNNNNNNNNNNNNNNNNNNNNNNNNNNNNNNNNNNNNNNNNNNNNNNNNNNNNNNNNNNNNNNNNNNNNNNNNNNNNNNNNNNNNNNNNNNNNNNNNNNNNNNNNNNNNNNNNNNNNNNNNNNNNNNNNNNNNNNNNNNNNNNNNNNNNNNNNNNNNNNNNNNNNNNNNNNNNNNNNNNNNNNNNNNNNNNNNNNNNNNNNNNNNNNNNNNNNNNNNNNNNNNNNNNNNNNNNNNNNNNNNNNNNNNNNNNNNNNNNNNNNNNNNNNNNNNNNNNNNNNNNNNNNNNNNNNNNNNNNNNNNNNNNNNNNNNNNNNNNNNNNNNNNNNNNNNNNNNNNNNNNNNNNNNNNNNNNNNNNNNNNNNNNNNNNNNNNNNNNNNNNNNNNNNNNNNNNNNNNNNNNNNNNNNNNNNNNNNNNNNNNNNNNNNNNNNNNNNNNNNNNNNNNNNNNNNNNNNNNNNNNNNNNNNNNNNNNNNNNNNNNNNNNNNNNNNNNNNNNNNNNNNNNNNNNNNNNNNNNNNNNNNNNNNNNNNNNNNNNNNNNNNNNNNNNNNNNNNNNNNNNNNNNNNNNNNNNNNNNNNNNNNNNNNNNNNNNNNNNNNNNNNNNNNNNNNNNNNNNNNNNNNNNNNNNNNNNNNNNNNNNNNNNNNNNNNNNNNNNNNNNNNNNNNNNNNNNNNNNNNNNNNNNNNNNNNNNNACAAUUUUGUUAUGCCCCAAACCGUUGGGAGAAACAUGACGCCCCACGUUUACCCACGAUUCGGUGGUUGGAGACCCAUGAAGGUUUGUCAUCACCCGAAAAUGAGGGGCAUGAAUAAGACUCAGAAAACAGGGAUGAUUGCCUAUAAAAGGCCAAGAAAUCGAUGAAAAAUGGGAGACACAAAUUGAGAGUAAAGGGGAAACUCUGUCAAAUUAUAAUCAGAAAUUCAUAUAUCCAAAUCCUUGAUACAUUUGGUAUUGAGAAUAUUGCAACUAAUAUGUACAACACAAAUCAUUCACUUUUCUCGUAAACACCUUGUACUAACUUAAGUAUCGAAGGGUUUAUGCCCAAAAAACCAUCGGCGUCUCUGAUUUGUUUCUGUGAACGCAGGCCUGGAAGGAAGAAGACGGGUGAUUUGGGUCCAGAAGCUCGGGAAAUUGCUGAAGCUAAUGGAUCGCAGCCUCUGUUCCUUUGCCAAUACAAGCGUUGGUGAACCAAUCUGGUCGGUCCAAAGGCGACUAGAUUUCAGCAUCAACAGAUAUUAUUUUGAUGAAUUUUUUAAUAUUAGAAUAAUGUUAGGAAUUCCAAUAAUAAAAUUCUAACUUGAGACCCAAUUGUUAUGUGUUAUUUUUUAUUGAAUAAUGAAUUUCACAACUAAUAAAAUUUAUAUUUCCAUCAUCUAAUAAAUGACUACCAUAUCAGUUGGGACUCAAUUAUUAGGAUCCUUAACAUUGCUCUUAGUAUUAAAUUGGACAUCUUAGCUAAAUCAGAUUAAAAAUCAAAUUAGUUUUUAGGCUUUUAUUCAACAUCUCUUUUUUUUUUUUUUUUGUCUAUUGGAAGUGAACGAAUAAAAAUACAACAGGGUCAACGACUGGGCAAUUGGUAGUCAAGUAGAAGCAAAUCAAGGCUAAAUGGGAAAGAGAAAUGAUAUUUGUGCAAAAUAAGGAGAAAAUCAGUGUAACAGAAGAGAAUCAAAGUGCUUUUGAGAUAAAAAAUUGAAACAAGAAAAGGGUCGCUUGAUCCAAUGAAAAUGCAAAGAGCUGAUGGCAAAAGGGAACAAAGUUAAAUAAGAAAACAGCUAGCGCUAGCAGCGACCACAAUAAACAGAAAAUUUGAGAUGGAUUUACAAUAUUUCUGCCUUUCUUUAUGCUUUAAAAAUAUUGCUCUAUCAAAAAAAAAAUAUUGAACAUUUUUAUUAUUGGAGUCACAAAUGACCUACACAAUAUAGCAAGUGACUAGGAAUAAUAAGAAUAUAUAACUCUCUCUAAUUCUCACUCUGGCUUUUAAUUGUCACUCAAAACCCAGAAUUCAUCCUUAAAGUGUAGGCAAAUCAAGGAUGACACCGUUUGGUUGUCAUACGUGCCUUUUAGUUUUCGGAUGACAUGGCGUACACUUCUUCUGUAAACCCAACAAGACAUGUCGUACUCUUUUGUUUUGAGAUUCUAUUUCAAACUUUUCAUGCUAUGAAUGAAAGAUAAACUCCAAUCAUCAAAAUAUUUAGUGUUUGGUAAUGUAAUGUCAUAGUUGUGAAUUGAAAUUAUUUCUAUAAAAAUAAAGGAUUUGGGUCAUUGUUUGUUAUUUUCUGACAACAUUUAUUAAAUAUUAAAAAUAAAUUUAUAUUUAUUAGGUAUUAAAAAUAAAUAAACAAACAAAAAUAAAAGUAAAAGUUUAUACAUUACGUAAAAAUAAUGACAAUAUCAAUAUUUCGCACUCUAUAAUGAGUGAUGUGUGUCCAACUGGCAUACAUUGUCCCAAACGGAGACUUAAAUAUCAAAGUCCAAAGUUAUUAUGAUGAUGACUUAUAAUCGCCAAACUUGACAUACGGGUAAUCAUGCAUUAUAAGGUGCUAAUUUCUUCCGAUCGGAACCUUAUUUUCAUUUACAAAUAAAUAAAUGAUGUGACUUCACGGUUGGCGGGGUCCUUUGUGUCAUUUGGGCAUUUCACUAAAUGAUUGAUUGUAGCAGGAAGAUUCCUGGAAGUUGCCAUUUGCCAAUGCUACUAACAUUUUCAAACUUGGAAAACCCUUCAAUCAAUCUUUAGUGGAGGCUCUGGUAACUUGGUUUGAUUAUGACGUUAAUAUUUGAUAAUAAAGUUAGAGGAUGUAUUAAUAUAAAAUUUGUUUAUUGGUGUUGAAGUUAAUUAUCUCAUUAAUUAUAGUAUAAAAAGUUAAUUACUAAGAAACACAUAGCAAUAGUUAAUGGUGUCAUAUUAUUGGGAUUCUGGGAUACAAUUUAUAUCAUAACUUGUAAGUGUAUACUUACUCAUCAAACUAAUAAAAUUAUUUAAAAAUUUCAGUUGGAAAAAUAAAUUAUAUUAUUUUCAUUUCAAAUAAUCUAUAAGUUAACUCAAAACAUAAUCAAGCUGAGAAUUAAAAUAAUGCUACUGUAUGAGAGGAUUUUUAUUUUUUCCCGGAAGUUUCACUAGGAAAUUAUUGAUACAUAGCUUAUUCGGAUCAUUCUCAGUUCAAACGACAAAUAAUUGAAAGACUAAGCUAAAUAGACCAGCCAACAACUUUGUACAAGAGAGUUCAAAAAUUAAGGUCAUGGUAUUAAGGUGUUCUAUCUUGAAAAGUAUAGAGUAGUAAUAAAAUAAAAACUAAUAUUUUUGGUAAGAUAUGACAUUUAAAUAAUAAUUUCACAAAAUACAAAGGAAUAUUUAUAAAUUACUUUUAUAGUGAGGGGACCUCACUCUGUUAAAGUGAAAAUAUCAAUAAUAUACAAAAGACAUAUAUUUUAACACAUUAAAAAUUGUAUUUUUUUUAUCUAUUGUUAUUGAAAUAUGUGUUAUUUAGUUUGUUAGUGAUAUCAUUACUUUGUUAAAAUGAGAAUGUCGUUACUAGAGAAUCAUUAUGUAUACAUAUAUAAAGUGCUUCUGUCCAAGAACUAGACUUUAUUAAAAUUUGAGAAAGCAAAUAUAUUUUAUAUGGUAUAAUAGUGUAAUAACAUCACACUAUUAUAUCAUAUAGAGUAAUAGUUUUUCGAACUUUAAUAAAAUUCAAGAUUAUAGAAUGAAUGAUUUUUAUAUAUUAUAAAUUUUUUUAUCAUAAAUGGAGGACAAAAUUAACAUAUUUCAAAUUAUAAUAAGCAUUUAUCAAAUAAUUUAACAUUGCAAUUUCUCCUAACUAGUAUAGUAAAUAAUACGACCUAGGAGAUACAUUCAAAGCAUUUCAUAAGUUAGUUGUUUAAUAAUAAAUUAUAUAUGCAGCUCCAAUCAUCAUUGUACGGUGAGUAAUUUCCAGUUAUAAAUAGAUAUUACUCCCUUCCCAGCAAUUUUUGAUGACUUAAUUUAGUGGAUCAAAAUCACAUUGAAUUUUUGACCAGCUGCACAACUUGUGAGCAGUUCACAGUGGGUACUGCACAUGAUGCCUGUUUCUCCUUUUGCAUCUAUUUUGUUGUUAACAUUAAUUUCAAUAGCAGCUCGUUAAUCCCAUUUGUUGAUUUGGGACUAGAUAAGAAUUUAUCUUGGAACUCCAAUUCUCCAAUUAUUUUAGUUGACAAUAUAUUUAACAUUAUUAAUUGCAUAUUAUUUAAUUAUCAGUAUAUAAUAUUCUUUAAUUUUCUAAUUUUAUAGGAUUAGACACAAAAUUGAUUAUGCCUUUUGAAAUUUAAGGGUUAUGUCAAUUGAAUAGAAAACUUGGAGGUAAACUUGUGGAUGUUUUGUUGAUUAUCAAUUUAUGCAUGAAUUUUUGUACGUUUACUUUGGUUUAUAAUUAUUACUUUUAAACAUUUUUAUUGGUUUGAUUUAGGGUCAAUUUGGUAAUCCUGUAGCUUUUAAAAUAAUUACAAUUAGCUAUGCUGUAGAAAAUUGAUCAAUCGUCAAGAGAAUCAGCUGAGCAUUUAGUAAAAUUUAUUUUUUAAAAGUACUUUUAGUUUUAAAAGCGUUGUAUGAAUAAAACUGUUACACUAAAAAUUAAAUGUAUUGCCACUUGGGUAAAUAAAGCUAUAUAUUACAACUGUUACACUAAAAAUUAAAUGUAUCUUAAACCCAAACUUCUUCUUCUUCUUUUUUUGACUAACAAAAUUAAAAACAAUAGUGAACACAUUCUUUAAUAAACAAUAAGUAAUAAAUAAAAUCGUGUUAAAUUUCUUAAAAACUUUCUUUCACGGUUUGCUAAAUAUUUUUAUUAGUAUUUUAAAUAAAUAAAAUAGUUGAUUUAAUUUUUUAAAUAAACUUAUUAGGUUCAUGUAAAGAUGUUUUUGUUAUUUUAAAAAGUGUAGAAAGUACUCCUAAAAAAAAGCGUAGAAAGUAAAACUUAAUUUUUUAAAUUUAUUAGCUGAGUGCAUAAAUAAUUGAGUGUUCAUAAUGAUUUUAAAGUAUAGAUAGUCGGACCCUAAUAUUUUUAAUAAAUGGAAAUUUUGCUAAUAUGUUAAUGAGAAUUAAAAAGAUAAUUAAGGGAGGCAAUCGAGACAUUCAGGAUAGUUAGGAUGGGACAUGAUUGUGAGCGGUUAGAUAUUGGUCCUAAUUUUGAUCACAAAUAUAUAAACAGGACGAGUUUAUCUCUACUUACAUUCCAUUUGAUAAUUUAAGAUGAGAGUGGAAUUGUCAAAUCCCAAUCAUCCCGGACCACUGCCACAAGGGGUACUCUCACUAAUAAUAUCUAAAGAAAAAUCUACAUCUAUUUCAUACUUUUUUUUAAUGGAAAGAGCCCUCAUGGGGCUUGAAUGGUAUCCUAAAUAAUAUUGAGAAUAUCAGGUCAUGAUUGGGUUUGUGACAAACAAAUACUACAUAGUUGGGAUACGUAGUUAUAAUGUCCCAAUUUAUGUAGUAUCUAUCAUUUAGCGCACAUAUAAAAUAUUAAUCAGCUUAAUUAAUUUAUAAAAUUUAAAUCUAAUUAAUAAGUGAUACAUAAUGCCAAGUGCAAUACUGUAUAUGCAAAUCAUGUUUGUGGAUCAUUACAAAAUUGGCUCUUGAAAACAAGCAAGAAAGCUUAAUUAAGAACUUAAAACAAAAGAAUUAGAUUGAGAACAGUCAAGCCUUAUUUUUUCAAGGAUGGAGCUUAUAAAUCUUCAAGUACCAACAUACGCUUGGCCCAAUUGUUGUUAUUAAAAUUUCAAUAUACAUAUAUAAGUAUGAUAUAGCAAAAAUUUGAUGGUACAUAUGUCGGAAUAUACUAGUUCAUGGGUGCAUUUGAUUAUUGUUUCCAUAAUUUUGAACCAGGAAGGACGACACGAUUAAAAUUUGAUUUUAUGGUAUGGUUGAUUUCAUAGCUCAUGCACUCAUUUCUUAAGAUAAUCAAAUUUUCUCUGACAUCUUUUUCAACUGUCGAAAUAUCAAUUAUGAUCAAUCAAAACGAUUUCAAAACCUUUCAACGAGACAUAUUUCUAAUACAAUAUUGUGAAAAUUACACUAAAAAAUUAAUUUAUUAUAUAUUAUUAUCCAACGAGCACACAAAAUGAUUUCGUACAAAUCUAAAAUACUAAGCAAUUUUCAAAUAGAAUUUACCAUGUACUACAAGAAAAUAGGGUAUAUGUGACCCCUACUGUGAAUGCAAAAGCAGCCAUUACGCAUAACCCCGAGUUGCUUUUGUUACCCUUUAUGUGACGGCCACACUGCUGUCACAUAUGUUACGAACCGCGUGACGGUGAAGAGCCGUUCGGUUAUACUAAUAUUUUAGAAUUUUAAAUUUAUUUCCAGUUAGAAAACUAUUCGCUGGACUCCGUGUUGCUGGCCACCAUCGUAAACAUAACUGGUUGCCAGCGAACGGCGUAAAACGCCGGCCAUCUUCUUCUUCAACGUAUUCUCCCUUCAUCUUUUGAGGUAAGCUUGUGAUUAUGAGUUUCUUCUCUUACUUAGCUUGUAAUUAUAGAUUUUGAUUUUUUUUAAUUCGUAUUGUAGCCGUUAUUGUCAAUUUUUGUCCCGCCAGCAAUAUUUUUUUAUUCCUACAAGUUGAACCCCUGUGUUCUUGUUCCAUUGGUGAGUUUGCUCACUCAAAUUAAUUUUGUUCUGCGGAAUUUACAAAGUUCAAAUGGAUUCAUUUGAAUUACUAUUGAAUUUAGCUUUAAUUCCAACAUCCAUUCUAAUGUUUUGCAAUUAGAUUUAAUUUAAUUUUAUGUUUAAAGCUUCUACAAUGAAUAGCGGAGCUUGGGUUUUAGUUUCAUUUUCUGGAUAACUUGUUUUAGUUUAUCUUGUAUGCUCACCAAAUGCUUGUUAUAUUGUCUGAUAAGUUAUAUACAUUGCUGAUUCUACAUUAAUAAUGUUACGUUGUAUUUUCAGAAAUUAUAAUACAAAAGUUUUUGCAAUGGCGUGCAUCUACAAACUGAAUUGACUUGUAGAAUAAGAGCUCGGAGUAGUGUUAUGUUCUUGAAUAAUUGAAAGUUCAUAUUGUGUAAGAGCAUGUAGAUGUAAAGCAUCAUUACCAUUUCUACAAAGUGCUUUCAUUCUGUUCAUAUGCUCUUCUUGAACUUUGAAAGGUGCCUCGUUCAAGUCCUAGCUAUAACUACUAGCUUUGAUUAAUUAAGUUCCUAUACUAGCUGAAACAGAUUUAUUUAAUUAAUUAAUUGUGUAUGUACUAAUUAUAUUGAAAGUAUAUGAAUUUUUUUUUAACAUGAAUGACUUCUAAAUGACUUAAAAACCUAAAGGAUGUGUGAAACAAUGCUCAUUUCAUUUGAAUGAGCCCAUUAAUACUUUUAUGUCUAUGAUUUUCAAUAUUGGCUAAAGCAUUUCAGUUAAGUGGUUUACCUAACAGAGAAAAAAAUUUAAUAGAAAACUUCAGAGUUCUAACAGAAAUAUAGUUCACUAUGCAGAUAUAGUUAUUUUACGGUAUACAAAUCAAGUUGUCCUAAUCUCAAUGUCCUAUGACCGAUUUUAUUUUAUAUAGUCAUUAAUUUUUUCCUUGGUUUUUUGUGUUUAUGAGUAUGAAAUAGUGGGAUUUGGUGUACCUUAGCAUCUUUUGAAAAUUCUCUUUCAGUGUGGCCAACAGAAAUAUACAUAUAAUCAAGUUUCUUAAUCGUGUAUAUUAGUUUUGGGUAUGAAUGUUCCUAUUCUAGUUCGAGGCAAAGCUUCUUCGUUUUGGUCUUCAGAUUUCCAGUAGGUUAAGUUAAUCAACUAUCAUAACUGGCUAGCUAGUUAUUGUCUGCCUUGGCGCCAUUACCCAGGCCAUUAUAUUGCAUAGCAUAAGGAAUAGUGAUUAGGGGAUUAUUAGUGAUUUGUUGAGCUUAUUAUCGACCAAACAAACAUAUUCGCCUUUGCCCACAACUUAGUUUGAUUAGUUAUUAGACCAUAAAGAGCCUUGAUCUAUUCAUUGGCUUUAUUAUUUUUAUUUGGUUUUUCUUUCAACAAUAUUGUUGAUUUCUUAUAAAAAUAUUCAUUGGUUUUUAAAACACCUAAUCAUUGGCUAUAUGAAGCUAAUUAAAACUGAGGCUUUGGAUCAAUUUCUUCUAACAAGAUACAAAUGAGCAUUAACCUAUCUCCUAUGAGUAAAUUUUUUUAAUAUCCUUGAUUUGUAAGGAUCUGGAGGCCUGAAAUCCUCUAGAUUUUUUUUAACACUGUCAAUGUUCUUUUUAUUCUGAGAAGGAAAUAAAAGGUUUUAUCUUUCAUACCCAAAUAGUAAGCUGGCCUUGUCUUAACAUGGCCUCCGAGGACUUGCAAGAUUCAUAGUGCCCCCCACCCCAAAAAAUAAAAAAUAAAAAACACAAAUAGGAAGAUUUUGCAAGAUUCACCACCAGGUUUUUUUUUAAUUUGUUAAUUGUGUGUACGUGCUAGUUAUAUGUUGAAAGAAUAGGAAGAAGUAUUUCAACAUGAAUGACUUAAAACUUAUUGCUCAGUAAACAUAAUCUGCAUGUAUUUAUCGUUUGUAUUUUUUAUGGUUUUGCUAAAGAAAUGAUAUGUGAAAUAAUGCUACAUUGCAUCAGGAAUAAAUUGAAGAGAUUUAUGAUAUUUAUGUGUUAUUCAAAUUUCAGAUUCAAUUUUAAACUUUUGAUACGUGCAUUGAAAGCUUAGACUUGUUUAAGAAAUUAUUAAUAGACACAUGUUUUUAUUAGUGUCAUCUUUGGAUGAUAGUGAGGAUCAUAUGUCUAUUAAUAAUUCUUGAAUUGUCCAGGCUUGGACAGUUUGGGAAUGCAUAGUUCACUCUGGUAGCUAGUAGCUGAAGUUUUUUCCCACGUAAAAAUGGGUUUUUCAGUAGCUGCUCCUCGUGUUCUCUGGGUACGUACUAGGUGAAUGGGUGUCAUGUGUUGUUUUGGCAUAACGCAUAAACACUUAUAUAGCUAUGUCGUGUGCUUGGAGAAUUAUAGGGAGAUGGUGCCGAAAUUUUUAUAAACGUGGAAGAAAACUUUAGGUACUUGAGAUUGAAGAAACUUAUGCAUUCUUGAGUGGGAUAUGUAGGAUUACUUACCUUUUGUAAAUAUGAAGGGAAUGUUGGAUAUAUUGGGGAUAGUGUAGGAGCUGAGUUGGAUGAAUGUAAUUGGUGAUGAUUUUGCUGAGCUGACCUUGGUUUUGAGCUUGUAAUUUGUUGUAAAUGGAGUGCUAUCUCCAAUGUUGGUUUAUAAAUAUGUUUCAGGACUUGCUGACCUAAUUUUUUGUUUCUAGGUUACAGGCUUUAUAUAUCUGUAAUUGAUGGCGAAGUGAAGUUCCCAGAACUUGGCGAGGAUGUUUCUUUACAGAAGGUAUUGGAAACUGUUUUUUACAUUAAUUAUUGUUGUAUAUAUACUUUGAUUUUCACAUCUUUUUCUCUGAUUCUUGUGGCUUUGCUUGCUUUCAUAUAUGUAAAUUCUAAUGAAAUUAACCAUAAAAUUGUAAAAUGAUCUUUUUAUUAUAUUGCAAAACUGUGCACACACGAAAAUAUAUUGUUUAGUAGUAGAAAUGAAGAACUAAAAUGAUUUACUUAACUAAUUUUUGUAGCGCAUUAAAAGGAGAUAGUCAUGGACAUGUGUUGGGUUGGUUUGCCAAAUAGAUAUCCAAGUCAUAUACUGAUGGGGAUGAAAAAUUUAUAGAUUUUGCAUUUGAGAAUGUUGUUGGUGGUACAAGAAUUUAAUGUCCUUUUAAGAAGUGUUGUAAUCUAUAUUUCGUUAUAAGGAAAGUGGCUGAUGAUGAUAUGGUUGGAAUGAUACAAUGCAUCACGUAAUCAAAUGUUCAAGUUACACGGAGCAUUGUUAUGGACUAUCAGUGACUUUCUAGCAUUGCCAACUUGUCUGGGUGGAGUAUUAAAGGUAAAUAAGCAUGUCUUGUUUGCCAACAAAACACUAGAUCUAAUUGGUUGAUACAUAGUAGAAAAUUUUGUCACGUGGGUCACCGUCGAUUUUUACCAACAAAUCAUAGGUUUCGAAAAUAUAGUGUCUUUUGAUAAAACUAGAGAGUAGGGACCAGCACAUUCUCGGUUGUCUGGAUCUGAAGUGAAAAAGCAGUUUAAUAUACUUACUGAGUAUAAGAUUGAAGACUUGAAAAUAGGAGAAUGAAUAAAAUGAGAGAAAUGAUAAGAUUACUUGGAAGAAGAAAAGCAUAUUUUAUGAACUACCGUGUUGGGAGUUCAAUUUGAUUCAUCAUAAUCUUGAUCUCAUGGGCUGUUUUGAUUUUUGUUAUGAACUCAGAUCAAAAGUUUAAUGUGAUCAAAAUUUCUUAAAAAUAGUGAAAAACGACUCCUAAUAAUAUGGAAGAUGGCUAUAAAAGAUAAAAGGAAAGGCUUAAAAAGAAAAGCCAUGCCUGUCCAAAAAAAAAAAAAAAUCAACAAAAAUCAAAACGGUGCGUUUGAGAGUGUAUAAAAUACAUUUAGAGUGGGAGUUGUGUUGUUGCUUGAAGGCAGAAAGAUAUUUGUCGACGAAGCCAAAACCAAAGAUGAAGCCCAUAAAGCUCAAAACUCCACCGGAGCAAAUUCAGACAAUUACGAGGGUUAUGUUUGACAUAGUCAAGGAAGACGGUCCUCUCACCGUUGCCGAAACUUGGGAACGCGUCAAGGUGUGUGUAUCUGUUAAAUUGAAUUUCAACCGUUUGAUCUGUAAUUAUAAUUAAUCCAAUCGAUCUGACAGUGAUCACUGACCAUAAUACUAGUAGUUGUUUUACAUUUUCAGCAGGCUAGAGCGGGUGGAUUGACGGGCAAAAGCUCAGGCUCGUCUGCAAUCACAUGGGCCCUCAUAAGCAAAUCCUGUACACAACUUGGUUCACUAAACCCAACAACUUGAAGCAGCCAAAAUCAGGGAAUGAUCCUUCUCCGUCACAACCCUAGCUGCCUUAACCUUGUAGUGACACGGUGAAGAUGGAAGCCCCUCAGCAUGUAAACUUUUCAACAGCGACAGAGCUCUUAUUCCAGAGGCUGCACAGAAGAGCGACCUGAAUCCUCUUCAAAACUUUCAAAUUUUUAUCAAGUAAAGCUUUCAAAAUUUCUCAACAAACUGAUUAUUUGGUGUGGUUGCCACAUUUUGUGCAACUGCUAUUCGUCUUCAAGUACAAAUUCCUUGCCUUCUAAGUUAGGGAACAUAGAUGUGGAGCAAACAGGGAAAUAGAUGUGGAGCAAACAGGGAAACAGCAAUGAUGGCAAUUAACAAACUAAUAGCAGUAUUACAUUUGAUUCUUUAGCCCAAUUUUGUUCCUUCUGUCAGCCAUUCUUCAAAAGUUUUUGAAAAUUAGAUGUGAAGCAAAAAAAAAACAAAUUUAGACAACAGAAGCCCUGUGCUCAACAUCAUAUAUAUACCUUGAAUACCUAAUAUACUAAAUUUCACAUAUAAAAUACUAGAGAUUUCAAACAGUACCAGCAAUAGAAUAAUGACAACGACAACAAUAACAGAAAAUUACAAGAUUGCUGACAAAAUUUAUGUGAUUUACUGUGCCUUUAUGCAUGCAAAAUGAAACUGAAGAUAAAAAAUUUAGGGAAAAGGACACAGAGACCCCCAACGUUUGAAUAAGGGACACAAAAUCCCUUAAUGUUUCAAAAAAGACACUCAGACCCCCAUUUGUUAACAUUAAAUUAUAAUUUUACCAUUGUACCCUUAUAGCAUAUUAAAAAAUAAUUAUUCAUUAUCCAAUUUAUUUCUAUAUUAUUAAUAAAAUUACGAAUAUAACUUCAUUACUCAAUUUUUCCAUUUAAUUUUUAUCAAAUUUUAUCUUCAAACUAAAUAAAUUUAAUCCAUUGCUCAAAAAUAAAAAUAAAUUAAAUUGAUUAUUAAUAUAAUAAAAAUAACAAUUCUCCAUAUGUUAUUUCUUAUAAUUUCUUAUAUAUAAAUUAAAUUGAUAAUUUCUUAAAAAUAACAAUUCUCCAUAUAUAAAUUAAAUUUAUUUUAAUUUAAUAUAUGUUAUUUUUAUAUUAAAUAUAUGUUAUUUUUAUUAUAUUAGUAAUCAAUUUAAUUUAUUUUUAUUCUUGAGUAAUGGAUUAAAUUUAUUUAGUUUGAAGAGAAAAUUUGACAAAAAUUAAAUGGAAAAAUUGGAUAAUGAAGUUAUAUUCGUAAUUUUAUUAAUAAUAUAGGAAUAAAUUGAACAAUGAACAAUUAUUUUUUAAUAUGCUAUGAGGGUAUAAUGGUAAAAUUAUAAUUUACUGUUAACAAAUGGGGGUCUCAGUGUUUUUUUUGAAACAUUAGGGGGUUUUGUGUCCCUUAUUCAAACGUUGGGGGUCUCUGUGUCCUUUUCCCAAAAAUUUAUAAACUAGAAAUUUAUAAUAAUCUAACUUAUUCUCGUUACUAUUAAAAAAUAAGUAAACAUAUCAAUAACAAUAUAGUUUAUUAUGAUUAUAAUUCAUUCAAUUAAAAUAAAUAAUUUAUUCUUAUUUCUAUUCUCUAUUCUAAUUUCAGUAAAUUUUGAUUUUAGUUUAUUUUAAUUAUUGAUUAGUUGUAAACUUAACUGGAAAUUUAUUGCAUAUAUUACGAGAAGCAGUACACACCAAUGGUAAAUUGAUACAUCGUUUUUGAGCUUAAGAUAGUCAAAUGAAAGAAACACAACGUAGGGUUCAUGAAACACUUUCAAAGCUGCUGAUGACUUAAAGUGAAUAACCUCAGCAUGUAAACUUAACUUCAAAGGACGGAGCACAAGUUUCACAGAAAAACAGCUCUUAUUUCUGAUGCUGCGAACACAGAGGAGUGACCUCAAUCUUCUUCAUCACUUGGGAAUUCUGCAAUUAUAGAGCACGACAUUGAGCAUGAACUAGAAAAAAUAUUUAUUUUCUACAAUUUUCAUAUAACCUCACUAACCAAGAUUAAUUUUGUGGUAAUGUAUUGGGUCAUUAAUUCAUAUGUUUUUACUGUCAUCACUUUAGAAAAAACUAAUUUCUCAAUGUGAAAUGGCCCAUAAAAGGUAUUCUCAUUUAAAAACUAAAUUUGACAAACCCCUCGAUUAAAGCAGGGGAGAGAAAAGAAAAAAAAAAAGAUCUGAAGGCUUUCCACAUGAAAAUGUUGUCACUUUGGAUGAUAUUUUCAAGGGAUUUCAUUCUAAAAAUAAAAUACCUGGGACCUUAUUCUUCAAAUUGACAGCUCGCCCAGUACUAAACGCGUAUGAGAUCAGUACUGGGACAAGUAACGAGACGACCCCUCCAACAGCUGAAAAUAAAAUUCGCAUUCAUCAAUUUAAAUUGAAAUUCAUAUUAUGAAAUUAAAACUAAUGAUUAAUGAAUUUUCAAGGAAUUUAAUAAGAUUCUCAUAUAUAAACGUGAUAAAAAAUUCACUCAUCAAUAACAAAUAUUCUAACAUUUUGUUGAUGUAAUUGUUGUAUGGUUGUGUUAAGGUCAUUAUUAGACCAACGCAGUUUGUCAUCACUCAUUCCGUACCAGACGUUUACUCUCGGAGGCGUGAUUGAUUCUCCUUUGGUGAAAUCUUCAUCUUCGGACAACCAAUCACAGUAAGAUAUUCCAAAGAUGGGAAUUUGAAGGCGUAAUUGCCAGAGGAGAAGCUUGUGAGACUAUCUAAAUCAAACAGGGACAACGUAGUCAGUUUGCUGAAAACAAUCUCUUCUUUUAAAUAUGCUGUUUCAUUUCAAGACUGGCAAAAUUCAUUGUGUAAUCAAAGUUUUCAAUGAUCCAACUAAUAUAUAUAUAUAUGUAUGUAUAUUCCUUCUCUAGUGCAGACAUUCUCAUUUUUUUUUUUCAUGUGGACCAGUUUUUAGAUCCCCUGGUUUAAAAGAGUUAGUUUUUAACUCUUUAAAACCGCAUGGCUUCAUAAUUUAUUUAAAAACUAACUCUCUUAAACCGCACGGUUUAAAAGCGUGUCCACAUUAAAAAAAAAUACGGACCCCCACACCUGAGAAUGAUUAUAUAUAUAUAUAUAUAUAUAUAUAGACACACGCUCUUAAACCGUGGGAUUUGAAAGCUUCUCCGCAUGAAGAAAGUAAAAAAUAAGGGCAUUCCCACUAGAAACAAACUCCAUAUAGGUAUUUAUUAAACCUCCUGAUCUGUGAGUGAGGAACAACAAAUAUAAUUGAUAAAAAAAAUCUAAAAUUUGGUUUCAUACCUUCUUGAACGAGAACAGGGGUUGUUGUGCCGGAAUACCAAAUUGAUCAUUCUCGUUAUUCUGGGACAACGUUAUUUUAUCACAAUUACAGGCCUCCAAUGUUUUUUAGUGCUGGCCAUUCUGAAGUAUGCAUUCCAGGGUAUAAACAUCCGAGUUCUGGUAGACCUUCGAGAUUCAGAGUGGUCACUUGUGGAAAGACAAAAUAUGGGGUCACUUGAUCUGCUCUGUCUUUGGAGAUGAUCUCUUGUAAACCCAUACAUAUCCGUAUCUCCAGGUGUUGGAGGUGCUCAAGGCUUUGGAUCAUAGAAGCUGAAAAUAUGUAUUUUAAUUUGUCACAGCCCCACACUAUCAAUCGUGUCAAACUUUGAAAGCCGCAAGUUGAUUGUCAUGCAAAAUCUCGUCGACAUUAAUAGCAUUCAGCUCCAAAGCCUCCAAAUUUGGCAACACUACCUGAAGAUAAUUUUCUCUUUAGAUCCAAUAUCCGUAUGGAAAGCACUUGUUUUGACACAAUAUCCAUAUAAGAAGCACUUAAUUAAGAGCUUAAUUAGCGAGUGUAUGAGACUUUUUUUUUUUCAAAUGCCAGUGCAUGAUAGAACUAAAAAAAAAAAAGAAGCAUUAGCCUACGUACCUUCUCGUUGAAAAGCAGAGUUGACGUUUCCGAACUGAUCUCGUUGGAACUGGCUGUCAAUUCCUCUUGCGACUCUUGUCUGUUUGGUGAUGUGGAAGAAGUCUUCACUUCACCGCAAAACCUUGUAACCUUUGGAAGCUUUCCCAGACUCAAAGAUCUUAAUUGACCAAACUCUAUCUUCCCAUCAACAUCAACAUCAGCUUCUCCUCCAGUUGCAAAAAUCUCUUCCAUGCUGCUGCAAUUGAUAACUGCAAUCCUCUCCAGUCUUGGAAGGCAUUUUGUACUACUAGAGAGCCAGAAGAUAUUACUCAACUCAUCACAAUUUUCUACUUUUAUGGUUUUGAGUUCAUUGAAGGACUCUAUUUUGAGUCGAUCAAUACAUAUCCUCUCCAUAUUGAUCAAAUUUUGAAGAGUAUGGGACUCCAAAAGAGGAAAGGCGACACAUGGUUCUCUCUCCAUUGAAUCGACGAUACACAGGAAGUCUGGAUUAUUUUGAACAUGGAGAUGCUUCAAUUGUGAAAAGCCCUCAGUGUCCAAUUCUAAAACAACAUUCUUGAUUCCUUGCAACUUAUCCAAACAUAAGUAUUCAACGUUAUUGAUGCGCUGCAACUUCUCGGAGCAAAUGGCCAUAGAAUCAAGCUUGAGCUUCAAUGUUCUUAAACUCUCAUGAUUACUGAUCAUAAAGUGCUGCCGACUUUCAAACCAAUCAUUCUCAAUAACCAGGGUAGAGUCGAAUGAUGCAUCUCCUAUUGAUAUAUCAAACCUUUCCAGCUUUUUGGAAAAAAAGCCAUCCGGUAAAAUGCUAUCAUUUUUAACAUCUAUCUAAGGUGGUCAAUCGCCUCAUAUGCAUCAAUUCGUCGAGGGUGGCAUUACUUCUUUCACUAUUGGCCUUUUCAACUUCCCAUUCAAUAGGGGAAUUACCCAUAUACAGUUCUUCCAAUCGAGUGAAGCUUGAUAAGACGUUGGGCACAAUAAAUUUUAGUUGCAAACAAUCUGUUAAAUCUAACAGCCUUAACUUAGUCAGUUGACCUAGUUCGCCAGGCAACCGUACAAUAUCAGAAUUUAAAAAGCUAAGGAUUUCUAGAUUCUUCAACUUUCCAAUUAUGGCUAUGUCUCCCAACAUGCUUUGAUCUAGACAGAGUGUUUGAAGAUUUGCUAGAAGACCGAUUGAAGAUGGCAAUGAAAAUAAUCGCAUUCGUGUCAAAUCUACAACUCGAAGCUUUUUCAGCCCUUUGAAAAUGUUGUCAGGAAUAUUGACCUCAACAAAAGUGUUUUGGGAAAUAUGUAAAAAUUCAAGUUGCAGACAUUCAAAUUCCUCAGAAACUUCAUGAAUGCUACUAUUUAGUAAAGAGAUUGCAUAGCAUUUUUUAAGUGCAUCCUCAUCUGGCCACUCCCACACAGCCUCAUUUCUCACCAAUAAAGCAUGUUGGUCUCGAUUUAAACUUUAACUCAAUUUGAAAAACUGAGCAAGUAUGCGUUACAGGAAAUCAAAAAAGCUCCACAUACCCAGAUCAUGAUCUCACGUUGAAUCCAGGUGGGAGAUAUAUUUAUGAUCAAGCCCAACAUCGAAGGGGGCAAAAAAAAAAAAAAAAAAAAAAAAAUCUACCAGACAUAUGAUCAUAUUGACCACGAGCUUCAUACGCCGUGGAUUUAUUAACAAAAGUGGGAAUUAAUUAAUCAUGAGCAUGUGUUCUAGUUAAGUCAAAAGAGAGACUUAAUUAAGAACGCAUAUAUAAUUCAUAAUCAGCACAUAAAAAGAUCACUAGUGCUUGCCCCUCCUGCCCUUGCCGUGCUUGCCGUGCUUGCCCCUGCCCUUGCUCUUUCCAUGCUGGUAGUAGCCGCCGUGCUUGCCGUGUGUGUAUGCACCGUGAGCUCCAGGAUAUGCGUUAUUAUCUGCAACAAAAUAAGAAAUUAAAUCAUAAGCUUAUAAUUAGCUCGCUCGCUAAGAGUGAUUAAAAUAAUACCGUGCGGAACGGAUGGGCCAGGAUAUCCCGUUGGUGUGUAACCACUGGCGAGUGCUGCUCCUGUAGGCGGGUAGCCGGCACCGGCUGGGGCAGCAUGAUCAGCACCUUCCAUGAUUUUGAUGAUCACCUAAUAAAUAAUAACUUGGUCCAAAAUAAACAACAAUAAAUAAUUGUGAUUAAUAAAAAGUAAUAUAUUCUCUAAUUAAAACAUUAAUGAUCAUUGGAGAGCAAGCGAGAAAUACUUACUGAAUGCGAUGGGACAGACAACAUCAUGCAUAGAGAAUUGUUCAUCUUCAACGAAUUUGGCUGCCCGGUCAAUGAUGCCGUUAGCACUAACCAGCCACUUCUCAACCUUCUCUUCAAUCUCUUCCCCUUUUUCUUUUGCCUCUGAAACUCUGCGCCGAAUGCUCGUACGUUCAACCUUCAACUUCUCCAUUUCCGUCUUGAGAUUCUCAAGGUUGGCAUUGUAGUUCCGCUUGCGCAAAUAAACAAGUUGGCGUUCUGUUGGAGGAGCCAAGCAUUUUACAAGUUCCAAAACGAGAGUAACAAUGAUUUCCAGCAUCUUGAAUCCUGACAACAAUGUAGAAGUGAAGAAGGCCAAAGGACAGUCAAAACAGAGAGACAGCGUUACGACAAGCAGUUAUGGAGCUAAAAAUAAAUAACAAACAAACAGAAGCAAAGUGUUUUUCGAAUGAGAAGAAGGAAGCAAGAAAAACUUAAAACUAGUAUAAUAAAUUUAUACUAAAACUAGUAUAGUAAAACAAGAAGUCAAGAACCAGCAACUUUUACACACAAAAUAAAACCUUAAAACUAGUAUAAUAAAUUUAUCAUCAAGUUGCAGCCUUCUUAUUCAACAAUUACAGCAUUAUCUUGAGCUCUGUGUUUCUUUUUUUAAAAAUUAUUCAAAAAAAUCUGCAUUUGUUUUUCAACGAUAAAAAUUAUAUUUUUGUCUCAUAUAAUAUAAAAUUAAAAAAAAAACAAACAUAUAUUAAAGGUCUGUUUGGGAUUAUUUUUAGAGGCUCAAAAGUAAUUUUAAAAAGUUAAAUGCUAAUUUUGGUAUUUAAUAAAAUUUUUAGAAGUCACCUUUGGUAAAAUCAUCAAUCCUACAACAAAUUUUGAAAGCAAAUAGUUUUUCAAAUUUUUAUUUUGAUAAUUAAUUUUAUACUUAAUAUAAUUCCAUAUACAUCCCUACAUAUAUUAAUUAUCCUUAUUAAUUAGAAAAUAAAAUUAUUAACUUUAAAGAUAUUAUCAACAAUUACAUUGAGAUAACAAACUAAAAAUAAAAUUAAUAAUAUAAAAUAUUUAUUUUAGUAAUCAAUUAUUAUACUUACAAGAUAAAAAAUAUUUUAUUUAAAUGUUUAUAAAUGUACAAAUAAAUUUUAUUUAAUAUUAUAUUCAAUUUAGUCAUUUACAUUGUCAAUAGGACUUCUAAAAAUAAAUUUUCCUAAAUGUUUAACUAAUUCUCUUCAUAGUGAUUAUUUCCAAACAUAACUACCAAAAAUUACUAUAAUAGAUACAACAUUACCAAAAAAAUAUUGAGAUAGAUUUUAAUUAGGUAAUUGACUUAAUUAUGAAUCAAUUUAUUAUUUCCAUAUGUGUUAUCAAAACCAGCUCAAUAAUGAGAUCACUCUUUUUCUUAAAUAAAAAUAUUUGUGCCAAACAAUUGUUGCAAAAUUUCAAAUAUAAAUUACAAACAACAAAAUUUUCUAAAAUCAUAACAAUAAUUUAUGUUGUGAAUACAUGUAACUAAACCACAUUGAAAUUUUAUUGUUAGUAAAAUUGUUUUUCACGCAAAUGCAGUGACGGAUUCAGUUUCAUGUUUCACCCUCAAUAACUUAAUUUUCAUAUCUAACAAAUCAUCCAUAUUAUUAACAAUAUCAUCACCAAACAUAAUCUACCUAAACAUAAACUAAACAUAACACAUACAUAUAACUAUAUACAUACCGAAUCAGGAAAACAAUGAAAGCUACACGUAUCCGGCUCUACAAUUCCUUCUUGAUACCCUUGUGCUUCUAAAAUAAUCAACCAAUUAUAAAAAUUAGCUUAGGUGCAACUUUACCCCUUUUUUUGGGAAACUUAACUAUAAAUAAAGUAUACAAAUCUCUAAAUUAACUUCGUCCCCAUGAAAUUCGGCAUAAAUAGAAAUAGAAUUAUAGAAACCUUACUACCUUUUAUGAGAAAUCCAACUUAUAUAUUUGAGACCUCUCUCUCUAAGCACGCGCUUCCUCUCUCUGCACACUUUCCACCUUUAAAUUCUCCUUCACUAAGUUUACCUAAAAGAAUUUAGCGUUCUCCCAGUUUCUUUCGCAUUUUUCUCCGUGAAAAUUGGUGAAAAAGAGAAAGUGAUUUGAUUAUUUUAAUGUGCGACAGAUAUGGUUUCCAUCUCUGUAAUAUAAGUGUAUCAAAACGAGGUGAACAACUCUUUGUCGAGUCAGUCAAAUAUAAAAGACAAAUUACGAAACCAAGCAGAGCCAAAAAAAAAAAAAAAAAUUUCCAAUUAAAUAAUCAUCAAGUCUUUUUCAAUUAAAAUCGGAGGUGCAGAACAACUGUCAGGAGAUAAUCAUUGUUUAUGGAGCCAUAUUAUAUUUUCGAUUAAAAUAGUUGCGCGUGAACAAUUGGCAGAAUUCGUAUAAAUUGUUUUAAGGUCUAUUAUAAUUAACAUUUAACAAGUGGAAUGGCCAAUGGAUGAAGAACCACUAUAAUUAGGGGGGUUUUGUGUCCCUUAUUCAAACGUUGGGGGUCUCUGUGUCUUUUUCCCAUAAAUUUAAAAUGCUAAAGAAACUGGGGAAAUUUACAAAAAUAACCAUAAAAUUUUUGUUAUUUUUACAAUUAACCCUCUCAACUUUUUUCUAUCAACAUUAGCCAAACACGUGCUUUUCUCCCCAAAUUACCCUUCUUUACAAACCAAAAGCAACAUUCUUUCUCCCCUUUCGUCAAACAAAGGCAGCUUCCACUCUUGAAUCAUCAACCAACGACAACGGCAAAAGGCAACGAUAAAAAGUGAAAUCCGAUCAUAAUUUAUUCGGAUCCAACACUAAUCGGCAUCACAUAGUGGUAUGAGUUAUUUUCUUGCUCGUGAGUUUGCCUGUCGCACCAAAAGCCAGAUUCAUUAUAAUUAACUAUUAAUUUGAUAGGGCUGAAAUAAUUUAUUUUUUUAUAAUUUCAGGCUUAAUGGAUUCAGUUGUACUUGAAUUGUGUUACGAUGGUUGUUGGGAGACAUUAGAGGAUGGGCGUAUGGAGUAUGUCAAUGGUAAAAAUAGAGCUUUUUUGGUUGGAAAAAAUUGUCUUUUUGAUCAGUUAUUGGCAAGAGUAUACGAUGUGUUACAAAUUAAUCCUAAUGAAUAUAGUAUCACAAUGAAGACAACUUUGAGGUCUAGUAACACAUUAUAUCGUGUAUGUGCACUGCCCAUGGAUAUAUUUGAUGAUGAAAUGGUGAGGGUUGUGUUACAUAUGGCAUCCGACGUAGCUAAUUUUGGAUGCAUUCCUAUAUUUGUUACCACAUCACCUCGAGUUCCGAGUGGAGGUAUUGAGCCACAUGUCGAUACAGAAACUUCGUUUAGAGCAAAUAUGUCUAGCCUCGAUAAUGAAGAAGAGGUGUUGCCAAGGACAAUAUCACUGCAGCAAUAUUACUCUCCAAUCCACGACAAUUAUGACAACAUUGAUGAUGACGGCGUUACGUUACAGGAUGUUGGAGCAACGGUAUUUCCAAUAACGACGUCGUUGGAGCAACGGUAUUCUCCGUAUCACAAUAAUGAUUUUCGGGACAAUGAUGAUUUUCAUGAUGAGACAGAGGGGGAUAAUGUUUGUGCAGAACCUUCUAAUAAUAUGAGGGGCACUCAUUUCAAUAAUGAUGGUGAUGAUGGAGGAGCCGGUCCUUCGAAUGUUCCGUCGUUUCAGCAUGAGGAUGAGUGUGAAGACAAUACUCCUGCGAAUAAUAGAGGCAAUAGACCUAUUCUAGCAAUGGUUCGAUCGAGAAGGAGAAUUGACCCUCUCACAAGUCUUGCUCCAACUUUGCCUUCGAACAUGGUUGCUCCAAGUUUUGUUAGCAGUUGUGACUCAGAUGAUAUCAGUGUCGGUAAGCUAUUUGCUGAGAAGAAUGAGUUUAUAUUACAACUACGCAAGGUUGCCUUUCAGGAUAAGUUUGAUUUCAAGAUUGCACGGUCUACUACGACACGUUUCGAGGCUCACUGUAGUUCAGAAUCAUGUAAAUGGCGUAUUCGAGCAACUAGAUGUUCGAACGAGGAAAAUGUUCCUUGGGUGGUGCGGAGAAUUGAUAAUGUACACACUUGUCAUAAUGAGGUGUUGGUUGCUGGAUGUCAUCAAGUCAGGAGCCGGGUUGUCAGUCAUAUUAUCGCAGAUAAAUAUAUUCAAGUCAAGAGAAUUUAUACUCCGAAUGACAUAAGAGCAUAUAUGCAACAAGAAUACGGUGUUCAGUUAACAUACCAGCAGGCAUAUCGGGCAAGAGAAGUUGGUCUUGAAAUAGUUCGAGGCAACCCUGCAGAGUCAUACAACUUGCUCCCUAAAUACUCUCGCGUACUAACUGCAGCGAAUGAGGAUACAGUCACUCACAUCGAGCUGGUGCGACAGCCGCGCCUGUUACACCAAAAAAUUGGUGCGACAGGCGCGCGCUGUCGCACUUGAUCUGGUGCGACAGUGGGGCACGCAUGGGCGCGCGCGCGCGCCCUGCCCCCCUCCCUCUCCACCCCCAAAAUUAAGCCACAACACUUUAAAAUCGAAAAACAAUACUCCCAAACACCACCAACCACCACAAACACCACCACUACCACCAUUAUUCUCAAGCUAUAACUAUUAUUAUUCUAAAAUCUCAUUUUAAAUUAAUGAAAAUAAGAAAAAUGACUAACCUAGGUUUUGUUGAAGGUUGUAGAUCGUAGAUCGGAUGCCGGUGAGAGAUGGAGCCACCGCCGACGAGGGUUGAUGUUGCCGCCGAUGAUGGGAGUUGGAUCGGUUUGGGAGAGAUGAGUGAAAGGGAGUGUUGGGGAAGAGAUGAGGGAGGGGUAUUUUGGUCUCAAAAGUUGUUUAAUGGCUAAUGUUGAUAGAAAUAUUUUUGGGGGGUUAAGAUGAAAAAAAUCAAAACUUUUAUGGUUAUUGUUGUAAAUUUCCCAAGAAACUGACAUCAACGCUAAACGUGAAUCUGCAGCCCUUGCCUCAGUGUCUUUCAGGCGUUACUCGGGGUAGUUGAUAUACUGACGAGCCCUUUAUCAAUUAAUAAUCGAAAUAGAUUAAAAUAUGAAUGGAUUAGAAUAGAAUGAGUUGGAAUUAAAAUACGAAAUCACAAUCAGAUUAAUUUAUUUUUUUAAAUUGAGGAAUUAGAAUUGGAAUAAAUUAUAUAGUUAUUGAUGUGUUUAUUUUAUUUUAAAAUUACAAGAGUUGUUGUAAAUUACUAAUAUGCCCUUAAUUUUUUAUUAUAAUUAUAAUUAUUUAUUACUACAUUUGUCAUAUUAUUAAUAUUAUAAUAAUAAUGAUGAUAAUAAUAAUAAUAAUGAUUGUAACAAUUAAUAUUGAAAAAAAUUUAUUGUUAAUAAUAGUAAAUAAAAUAAGAAUAAAUAGGCAAUUAUUCACUGACCACGUGAUCUUUCGGACUCUUUCAAAAAUACACAAAUACUUUUUUCUUUGCAGAAAUCCUCCUGAAGUUUACAAAGUGUUUCAAUUGUUCACUGUCAUCUUAACUCUAUUAGAAUCUUGUUGAUGUUGUCAGGAUAAAAUUGUCAUUUUACCUAAACAUCCAAAAGGAAGUAUAAGAUGAAGCUCAACUUGGAGAAGUGUGCUUUCGGGGUUGGAUUCGGCAAAUUCCUUGGGUUCAUGGUGAGUGAUAACUCUAUGAAAUGAGAGUUAUCAUGAAAUUUUUAAGUUUAAAUCAAGACUACUCAGAGAGUAAUUGAUAUGUUUUAGUGCACUUUAAUGAUAGUUUGCAUUACAUUCAUUUUAAUUUAAGUUUAAUAAAGUUUAUGUGAUUUCUGAAUAAUUGUAUGCUUAGAACAUAUGUUUAAUUGUAGGUCAAUGGAAACUUGAAUUUCAUGGAAAAGAUGCUUUUGCAAUGGACUUAUAAAGAGGACAAACGAGCAUGGCUAUAGUAGAAUUGGAGCAAGUUUGGAACAGUGGAGUUGCUGUAGCCAUUACUGUAGCAACCAUUGAUGUAGCAAUCCUCGAGCAUUGCGAUCUGCAGUUUCCUAAUCUGAAGAAAAAGUGGCAUAAGAGAGAGAGCCAUCAAUUAAGAUCAAAAACAGAAAAGAACCAAGGAAGUAACAGAAUUCCUGAGCAGAAUUCAAGGCUGAGCCAGUUGAAGAAAUUUGCAGAGUCAAUUGGAAUUCACUCUUUCUCAUUCUUUUCUUAUUUACUUGUUAUUUAUUGAUUAUGAAGAUGUACUAAAUGGCUAGAAUUUGGUUGUUUAAUCUCCUUUCACAAAUUAUGAACUAAAUUCAUUUGUGGUUGAGUAUUAAACUAUCUUGAUGGUUAAUUGACUAAAUAUAGGUGUUGCUAUAUGUUUGCUACAACAUUUUGCUUUAAUAACAUUUAUUUACAUUCAUUAUUUCGGUUGACCACCCAUUUAAUGAUACAAGUUAAGAAAGAGCUGUAAAAAGGGUCUAUCUUAUUGAAACAUAUUAGAGUAAUACUUGGUCUUAAAUUGGGUUUCCUAGAUUGAGUUUAACUUGAGACCAAAAAGGGUUGUACUUAAUUUAAGAUUAGUAAUGAACUAGAUAUAGGGAUUUGCCUUGUAGGGUAAAAAGAACAUAAAUGUGUAAUACUAUAUCUUACGUUGACAUAGUAACUGGUCACUGUUAGGUUGUAUAAAGAUAUAAAACAUUCGAACAUGCUACCGUUGAGGAUAAAGAUGGUUUCUGCCCAGUGCUGUAGCAGAUGCUGCAGCAACUGAGCUUGACAUGAAUAACACAGUCAACACCAUCAAGAGAGUUUAAUCACUCAACUACUCUAUUCUAAUUAAAUUUAAUUUCAUGUUUAAUGUAAAAAAUUUAUUUAUUACAUUUUUAAUUAUUGUGAUUUUAUUUUACCUAGUCAUUUAGUUGUAUUAGUUGCAUUGAUUUAAUUGAUAACAUAGGUUGCUCUGUGAAAUUACUGUAGCAAGUCUAAUAGCAUCAAUCCCUAUGGAGACGAUCUUGGAUACUUAUCCUUAUAUUACUUAUUGUGUACACUUGUGCAUUGACACUAAUAGCAAUGGAGUUAAAAUUAGCAACAAAUUUUUUGUGCUAUUGCUGGGGUUUGAUUGUUUACUUUUCAGUUGUGAAAUCAAUUUUGACGGUGCUAAUCUUUGAUUUUAUUUUGAAUUGUUUACUUUGUUAACAGAUCACUCUUGCAUGUGAAAAUACAAACUUGUUGAAUUUCAAUUUGAUCCAGAGAUUGAAAGAACUACAAGGAGAUUGAGAAGAGAGCAAAGAAAUUCAAAAGCUGCUGUAGCAAUAGAUGACUUGCAAAACUUAGGAAACUUAGACCCUCACGGACCAAUAUAACCUGUUAAUGCUCAAGAAAGUCAGAAUGGGAAAAUUAAUCAGAGACCAUCAGGGAAUAACAAUAUUAGCUACAUGGAAAAUGAUAGAGACAGGGCCAUUAGAGAUUAUGCUUUGUUAGCCCCUUAAGUUAUACAUCCUGACAUUGUCAGACCUGAGGUAAAAGAUGCCAAUUUUGAACUCAAACCAGUGAUAUUUCAAUUAUUACAAACAGUGAGGUAAUUUAAUGGAUUACCAUCAAGAGGUGAGUGAUGCUUUUAAAAUUAUUGGAGCAUCACAAGAUGCAUUGAGACUCAGAUUCUUUCCUUACUCCCUAAGAGACCGAGCAAGAGUAUGGUUGAACUCUUUACCACCAGACUCCAUUACAACAUGGAAUGACUUAGCUGAUAAGUUUAUGAUGAAGUACUUCACACCAACCAAAAAUACAAAAUUAUGUAAUGAGAUUACUUCUUUUCGUCAACUAGAAGAUGAAAACUUAUAUGAGGCUUGGGAAAGAUUCAAUGAGUUAUUCAGGAGAUGUCUUCAUCAUGGCAUUCCUUACUGCAUACAAUUUGAAACCUUCUAUAAUGGGUUGAACCCAAGCACUAGAUUGAUGGUCGAUACUUCAACAAAUGGGGCUUUGUUAUCUAAAUCUUACAAUGAAGCCUAUGAAAUUUUAGAGAGAAUUGCUAAUAACAAUUAUCAGUGGCCAUCACCUAGACAAAUUGUAUCAAGAGGAGCAGCAGGUAUACAUAAUGUGGAUGCAUUUACAGCAUUAUCAGCCCAAGUAACAUCAUUGACCAAUAUGGUGAAAGCUAUGACUACUGCUCUAUCGAAUGACAAUCAAGUUGCCGAUGUUUCUUGUCUGUAUUGUAGAGAGGGGCAUUUAUUUGAUAAUUGCCUAAGGAAGUCAACGUCAGUCAAUUAUGUGGGCAACUCCAAUAGAUAGAACCAGAACAAUCCAUAUUCCAGUACCUACAAUCCUAGAUAGAGGCAGCACCCAGUGGACAGAACAGACCUACUCAGCCAGUUGAUUUUCAUCAGCAAAAUCAAGGGUAAAAAAACACCAGCAAUGAUCAAUUCAGUUCUUUGGAGACCCUAAUUAAGGAGUACAAUGUGAAUAAUGAAGUAAUUGUCCAAAGUCAGGCUGUACCAUUGAGAAAUUUAGAAAAUUAAAUUGGACAGCUUGCCACAUUAUUAAGUAACAGACCUUAGGGGAGUUUACCCAGCAACACAGAAGAUCCAAGGAGAGAAGGUAAGGAAUAUUGAAAGGUGAUCAAAUAUUGCACAAACUAGAAGCCUCAGGUCGGCUGGUGAAAUGGGCAAUAGAGUUGAGUAAAUUCUAUAUAAGCUACAAACCCCGAGCAACAAUCAAAGCCCAUGCAAUGGUGAACUUCGUGGAAGAAUUUACAGAAUCACAUGUGGAACCUAGCCACAUUGAUAUUGCUAUAGGCAACAACAAAGGUCAAAUCUGGCAGAUGACAGUGGAUGGAUCUUCAGGUGAGCAAAGUACUAGAGCGGGGUGGUCCUGGAGAGUCCAGAUGGAGAGGAAAUCUCUUACGCUGUUAGACUGGAGUUCAAGGCCACAAAAAAUCAGGCUGAAUAUGAGGCUCUAAUUGCAGGGCUAGAGUUAGCUAAGGCGGUGCAGGCAAAUAAGGUGAAAAUUCGGACAGAUUCACAGCUAGUCGCCAACCAUAUUAGUGAAAUGUUCUAACCUAAAGACGAAAAGAUGGGGCAAUACCUGAGGAGGGUCAGGCAGAUGAUCAAAAAGUUCGAGUCGAUGGAUAUUGUGCAAAUUCCAAGGAGUGAAAACUAUCGAGCUAAUAUCCUAGUUGGAAUGGCUGCUACAGCGGACUAAAAAAUGCCAAAAUCAGUCCCUAUGGAAGUCAAGUCCUCCCCCCAGCAUUGUGUAAAGUCUGGAGAUGAUGCAGAUAGAGCAAAAAGGCUCAUGGAUAGACCCAAUAAUCUCAUAUAUACUGGAUAGAGUGUUACCAGCAGAUAAAACGCAAGCAUGAAAAAUCAAGGGCCAGCGUCUAGGUGUACACUAAUUGAUGGGGUGUUAUACCGACGAGGGUACACCUUGUCGCUCUGCGGUGUCUGGACAAAGACGACGCGAACUACGUUAUAAUGGAAGUACAUGAAGGGGUUUGUGAAAAUGAAUCUAGAGUUAGAUCUCUUGCCUACAAAGCCUUAAGACAAGGUACUUAUGGCCGACGAUAUACUAAGAUGCUCAAGAGAAAACCAGGAGUUACAGAAGUUGCCAGAACUUUGCUAGUUUCCCUACACAGCAAUAAAAAAUACUUACUACUAUGACUUCACCAUGGCCGUUUACUCAAUAGGGAAUCAACCUAAUCGAGUCUUUGCCAAAAUGAUGAAGAGCAGUUACACAUGCUAUCGUGGCAAUAGAUUAUUUCACAAAAUGGGUCAAGGUAAAAGCACUCAGAAGAAUCACAGAGAAUGAUAUAACUGAUUUCAUGUGGAGAAACCUUGUCAACCGGUAUGGAAUCCCAUACGCCUUGAUAGCGGACAACAACUAACAAUUUGACAAUCACAACUUUAGGGAGUUUUGUCAGAACUUUGACAUAGAGCUAAGUUCUGCUCCCCUGCCCACCCUUAGUCCAAUGGACAGGUGAAAGUGGCCAACAAGGUUAACAAAAAAACUCCUGAAGACCAAACUAUGAGAGAAGAAGUGUGCAUGGGUUGAUGAGCUUCUAGGAGUGUUGUAGGUAUAUAGGACUUCUCAUAAAACCGCCACCGAUGAGACACCCUUUGCUGUAGCCUUUGGGCAUAAAGCAGUCUUGCAUGCAGAGAUAGGGGUAACCACGCACCAAACUGAGCACUUUGAUGAGAGUGAGAAAGGUGAAUCAGAGUACCAAAGAUUCGACCCAUGGUGUGUAUCCGGAUCAAGAGCCUACAAGCUUGCUCUCGCGAAUGGACAUGAGCUGAAACAACCAUGGAACGUAACACAUCUAAAAAAAUACUUCCAAUAAGGCCCAUUGGUAGCGAGUUAGAGUUAUUUCUGUUCAUUUCUGUUGUUGUUUAAACUUUAUGAUCAGUCAAUUUCAUGUAUGUCGUAUGCCAUGAUUAAUAAAGUUUGGAGGAAGUUCAUUCAAUUAAUUUAAAGAAAAAAAAAGUUCGUAAGGUAAAUAAAUGCCUCAAAGUCUCAAAGCCUGCUCGAUGGUGAGACCAGAAGCCAGAUUUUCCAGACUCUGCUCUACCGAACGAUGACGAGCAGACAAUCAAAUAUUUCAAAAAGUUUCUAAGGCAGACAAAAGCUUCAAAGUCUCAAAGCCUACUCGAUGGCGAGACUAGAGGCCAAGUUUGCCAAACUCUGCUCGACCGAAUGAUGGCGAGCAGACGAUCAAAUAUUCCAAAAAAUUUCCUAAGGGAAAUAAAGGCUUCAAAGUCUCAAAUCCUACUCGAUAGCAAGAUUAGAAACCAAGUCUGCGAGACUUUGCUCGAGCAGGCUACAAGAAAAACCAAGUUAUUCGUUAAUAAUCUAGUGACAAUGACAACUAGCCUCAAAACUUGGCAUACAACGUUUACAAAAGAAAAUUAUGGUACAUUCACGAGGAUGAAGGAUCUAUAAGUAGAGCAGCUUUUGUUGGAUUUUCAAGCAGUAGAGAAUGAGGGGUCUGGCCAAUUCUGCCCGAGGGAGUGCUUGCUUCGAUCGGGGUUUUGCCUUUCAAGACCGGCAAUGAUGCAUCGACAGAAGUGCCUGAGCCCUUCGUUAAAUUGUCAUCAACUUCCUUUUCCAAGUUCUCAAUCUGAGUCUGGUGUGAAGCACAAAGUGAUUCCAACUAAGACUCGUAGGAAGCUUUUUAUGUCUCCAAAUUCUUAUUGACCUUGCUCAGCUACUCCUCAAGGGUGAUCACAUUGGCCUGUGCAAGAGAUGUCUGCUCCACUAAUUUCAAGUUCUCGAGGGUGAGGUCUCUUGCUUUCUUCUCAGUAGCAUCAACUUCGUUUUUAGUUGAUUGAAUAUUAUACUUCAUCUUGUGGUCAUAACGGCCAACUUUCACCUUGUAGUAGGUAGUCAUGCAACAUAGGUGGAAAACACUGAAUUGCAUAGCCCUAACUAGCUCACGAGGGUAAUGCCGUCAAAGUCCUCUAAAUCGUUUUUUUUCACGAGCCUAGAAAACUCACUUAUGUAAGGGCCAUAUGCUCUGGUCGAUCCUCAGGCAAUUGCGGUUCGGAUCUUGGUGGAGGAGGAGUGGUAACAAGACCAGUGCCGCUCGCAGCUCCACCAACUUCACCUGCCUUAGGACGGGGAGGAGGAUGUGGCAGCAUCUUCAGAGGGGAAGCUUUCCCUACAAUAUUGACCCACUUCUCAAGGGAGCAUAGUUGCUGCAACCCCCCUUUACACCACGAAAGCGAGGGCGUUUUCUGUUCAAAGCCCCAAUCACAGCAUCCUCUAUAGCAAUUCACCUUCGAUGCGGUAUUAGACACUCCAGGAACUUGCAACAUAGGCAGAGACUCUGUUAGAAAUUACUCAAUCACUUGAUCAGCUGGUGGUGUAAAACAACUUAAAUAAGCAGGCAACCUGGAACUAAGAAACGGAUGGGGACAUGGACAUUCUCAUCAUCAGUCGGCCACUUGACCCUAAGGACCCCCAGCAAAAAAGAAACUGCUUUUCUAAUUCUCACCACCUGUUAGGAGGCCAGUUAUAGGUUUCCUAGUCUUGGUACUUGACAUAAAAUAGUACCAACUAACAUCUUUAAGGCUACUCUUUAAUUGGUAUAAGUGUUUAACCUCAUCAAUUAUAGGCUCACUCUGACCACAUCUGUCCCAAAGUACGAGUACACCAGAAAGUACCCUCUAUCCAUUAGGGUUAAGCUGACCAUGAGCUAAGUGUAAUCUACCAAGCAUCUGGACGAAGUAAAGCGGCAAAGGAAGCCUCAUCCCUUGUUUAAAACUCUCUAAAAAUAUAGCAACAUACCCCCUGGAAGGUCGAUUAGGGGUAUCUUUUUUCUUAAGAACCCUAAGGUUUAUGUCAUCAGAAAUCUUGUAAGUAUUUUGGAGGGGUUUAAAGUCAUCUACUGUGGUCCUACAAGUCAUGAGGUCAAUAGGGUAGUUUUCGGCCGGAGUCCUACCACCUAAUUUCCUCCUCUUUGCUGGUCUUACUACCUUUAGUGAGGAUGCUUCACCAAACUCUUCAUCUGGGUACCCGCUUAGGGUCUCCUCUGAGCUAGAAGAUUCGUCAUUGUUACUUUUGCUAGAUGAGGUAGAAACCUCAGGAGACAUCCUCCUAGCACUACUUCUAACACUAGAAUGGCCUACAAGCUCUAAGGGGAUCCUAGGGUCGAAAAUGGGCUCUGUGAGCAAACCAGGUAGGAAAUCCAGUUCGUCAUCAUCAAUCUCAAUUUCUUUUUCCUUGCCUUUUGACAUUUUCUAAGCGAUAUCCAAGAAGAUACAACUAAAUCCCUCUUAACCCUAGAAAAAAAUGACAAAUAUCUAAGACAAGAGAGAAGAAGACCGUACCUAAAGCAGCGGCACCUCAAAAUCAAAAUGGAGGAAGUGACUUGAUAUUCGAUGGAGGAAAUAGCUGAGUCACCAAAGGGCGAAAGAAAAGCCGGAAAAAAACUUUCUUGUGAAGAUUAGGGUUCCCCAAGAGACACGGAGACCCCUAAUUUAUUACCAUUUAACGACACGCACUCCGAGGGUUCUUAACAGGCAGUUAAAAAUUUAAAUGAACGAGUGGAUUCCUGCCACAUCACCUGCUUUUAAUUAUGACGUGACUCUUUGGAUAAACAGCUAAUAGUAGCUUAAAGGAUCAAGUGGAUAAGGUGACCAGUCCUCAUUUCAAUGCCAAGAAGCCAAAGUGUGUUUUGAGCAAGAUAAGACUACCAAGUUUCUAGUGUUGAUCCAUUGCAUUAUCAGCACCAGAAACUGAGGGACUAGUAUUUGAGGCGUAUAACGACGCGACCAGCUACACUCGAGCGAGGAUUUCCUUUUUGUGGGCGAUGGGCUAUAUAGUGUCCGUGAGCAGAAGUGCUCUAUUCGACACCGAGGAGUUUUCUGCUAAACACCGAGGAUAUCUCCUGAUGGGGCCAAGGUCGGAAGACCCAGUCUAUGGCAGUUGUUAGAACAUGUGUCGCUCUCCGAGAAUCCAGGCACGAGGCCUAUUCAGCCACGAUCACAACGCCCGAGCAUCCAUGACCGGGAACUAAGGUAGAGUGGCAAACGUGGGUCAUGGUGACUAAAUUCUCAGGAGGGCUAUAAAAGGGGCUUGCAAAGAAGGUAAAGGGUUUAGACAUUUUUAAACUAAAAAUUAACCUAAGAGAAUUGGGGGGUGCAUCUUUAUUGGCGAGAAUUGGGAAAAUUUUUGAGAUUUUUCCAGUGUUUGAGAAAUUAUUACAGAGCCACGAGAUUAGUGGCAGGGUUUUUUCACAAUAAGCCCAGAUUGCUGACUUGAGCGUCGGAGGGUUUACGUCGGGAAAACCCUCAGCGUUCUUUGACCAAUUUCUGUGUGUACAGGAAUUCACAGAGGAGGAACGGUGAGCCUCAUAGUUCUGCUUAUCAAACAGGAGCAGAGUAAAGUUAUCCCCUACCACUACAAAUUUAAGUGUUGAAGAGAGAUCAUGGUCUCGAACGAGCAGAUGCAAAAUCCCGUAUCAAUAAUAACAACAACAACAACAACAACAUCAUCAAUAAUAAUAAUAAUAAUAAUAAUAUAUUAACUUUGUAGGAUGGAGCUCUCGCAAAUCUUCAAGACACAAAAUGUGUUUGACCCCAUUGUUGUUAUUAUAAUUUCAAAAUCAUUUGUAUAUAUAAUAUUAGGGAAUAUGACAUAGAAAAAUUGAUGGUACAUAUGUUGCAAUAUUCUUGUUCAUGUGGCGGCACACUGAAGUAAAGCAUAAGCAGAGCAACAACAAAUGUAAUGAGAGAGCUCUCAUUAUGUAGAUUUUCAAUAGAAGUAAUGCAUAUUUCACAAAGGCAAUGGCCUUAUUUUGAAUGCUGCACCUGAGGGUUGACUUGAAUCUUCUAUAGAACUCAGGCAUUCUGUAAUCAUAGAGUAUAGCAUUUCAACAAAAAUAUUAUACAGGUCGUUCCUUUAUAUAUUUUCUGGGUACACAUACAGAAAUAUUAUUUUGGGUACAUUUCUUGCAGUAAAACCUGCCCAGUCUAGCGUUCUCGUAAGUUGGGUUUCUCAUUUGCAUGUUUUUUCCAUUGGUUAAUUAUCACAAACCUCCACUAACAUUUAGCAUAUUCUUAGUUUAAUAGAUUAUAUUGGCGUAUUCUCAAAUAUAAAUUAAGCUGGUGAGGAUAAAAUCGUAAAAGCACCAUUAAUGAUAAAAAGAAACCAAGUAAACUUGAAAUUUUCAAGUUGUGUUUUGAAAUUGGUCUCAACUUUGUAAAUGUCCAUUGGGUAAAGAAGUAAAGAACAGAAGCAAGCUGUUCCCAGCACACAUAAGCAAGCUUUACGCAGCACAAAUUAACACCCACAAAAAAUGAAAAGGAAAAAUGGUCAUCUCUUUCCUCCAUUCGAAUUGAAGCCAUGAAACACAACAUCCCUUUCAUCUUCUCUCUAAUGCUUUGAUUAGAAAACUUGCUUACAAACGGGAGACCAUGACACUGAAUCCUGAGACGGCAAUACCAGAGACGACUGAUUUACGCCAACGGUGUGGAAGAAUACCAACCAGUGACUUUCGCUGUCGACCCACAAACAAUCCCAGUGUUUUCUAGCUGCGAAUGAGGUAUGAAUCAGAUUAUUUCCGUGCAUUUCAAUUUUGUCAGCUGACAUUAGGAGAUUUGGUUAAAAAAAAAAGAAUAAUGGGUCUCGAAAAUUUUUUGAGAGUGUUUUUGUUGCUUACAUUAUUUUCCAUCGAUUAAUGUUAGUUGUAGGUGAAUGAUUGUUGCAAAUGCAUGUUCGCUUGUGAUUGAUUGAAAAUGGCUUGUGAUUUGUUAUGCUGCCGUGUGACUGAUUAAAAAUGGCUCUGAAAAUUUUUCAUUUGUUUAAGGUACUGCUGUUGAUUAUUGAACCAGGAUUCAUGCUAGUUUUUGUUAAAUUGAAGAUGAGAUUACUUUUUAAGAGAUCUGCAAAACCUUCUCUACUAUAGAUUUGGCUUCUGGCAUACCUGGUUGGCUGGAGAUAAUUGUUUAUAUAGUCAUUGCUGCCCAUAUUAAUCAGGAAUAUUGAUUAGCAAUGUACUGGAUUAGUGAUUGGUAUAAUUUUGGAAAAUCAGUCGUAGAUGCAACCUGGUUAUGGUCUCAAAUAGUGUGAUCUGUCAAUUCCGUUUGCUCUGGCCUAACAACCUUGAAUCUGAGCUAUGCCACUAUACAAUGUCCUGACCCAAUCAAGCUUGUUAGCCAACGUCCAAAAUUGCAAUGUCUUUAGAUAAGUCCCGUCUUAUUUGUUUGAGUUAUAAAUGAAAAUUGCAGUGUCUUUGGAUAAUCACGCUGAUGUUCACGUUAUUGACGAGAGGAACCUCCAGAUUCAAGGCCGGAGCUCCUUGUUGAGAAACUUUGCAUAUAUAGGAUUGUUGCCGAGUGGAGGAUCGAUAUGACUGGUCUUGUUUAGAAUAGGGAUGGAGAUUUUGCAUUAAGGCUUUCUUAACAGAUCAUUCUGCAAAUCAAGGUCCAUGUACAUCUCUUUAAACUCUUUGAUAUGUAUAAAGCAGGUGCAUGCUCUAUAUGUUACUUAUUGUAUCACAAUUAUUUUUCUAUUGCUUAAUAUAAUUGCAGUCCUUGAUGAAGUUGAAGACAACUUAUGGAGGGUAUACAAAGGCUCAAGAGCUUGAUCGCCAUUCAUUUUACACUUGGCUGAGCUACAGCAUACCAACUAGUGAUUAAUAAAGAGAAGGUAUGAAGGUCCUGUUGCUGGUGGUAUUAUCAAUCAGAAUUGUUAUUUUACUUAGUCAUAGUUACCAUGUAUAAGAUUCGUAGACUUUUUGCAUGCUUAUGCAUUCGCAUCAUCUUUUUGUUAAGCUAGAAAUGGUUGAUUUGUGUACUCAUUUGUAUCACUUGUAGCCCUUCAGGAAUAAAAUUUAAAAUUCUGUUGCAUCUCAUGUACUAAAUACUAAUUUUGUUGGCUUUAUGUAUGGGAAAUGGUUCAUUAUCUUAUUUCUUUGAUGCGUAUAGUGUGACAAUGUCUAAAGGUGAAAAGUAUUUAUAUCACUUGUGUAACACUGUCUAAAGUCAAAAAGUGUUUCUAUCACUUGUGUGAAAAACAACCUACUUUUUUUUCACUCUUCUUAUAUUGAAUAAAAGACAGACGCCAAGAUUGAACGAAAUUUGAUGCAGAAAGCAUAGCAAUUAGGCCAGUGCAAAACAACUUCCUUCUGAUUCUCUGAUAUUUGACUUAAAUCUUUUGUCUGUUUCAUUCAUCAAAGUCAUUUUGGAAAGUAGCAGGGGUGAUGUGAUAUUUUCAUUGUAUUCACAUCCCUGGCACCAAAAACAAACAUGCUGGUACUAACCAACAAUUUUUUAUUUUCAGUAUACAAAUUUUUUUUUUUCUAAAUUAGGGGUAUUAAGAAAAGGUAUACUAGCACCAGAGGAGGUAUUUGAGAAUACACAAAUACAAUCUAUCAAAUUGAGAAUACGCCAAAUCUCAGGAGUGGUUUUUGAUAAAUCCUUUUUUUCUUUUUCCUCCAUUCACUAUAGGUUCAAUUUAGGGUGGUUGUUAAGUUAUAUCAUUGUGUAAUAUAGAUCAAUUCAACAGUUGUUAUCAGUAACACAAAAGUAUAACGAACAAAAACUAAUUGUGUGUUACUGAUAGUAACUAUUAAAUUGAUGUAUGUUACAUAAUUAUGUAACUUAACAAGUUCUUCAAUUUAGACACGGUUGACCAAACUGAAGGUUUAGGUUGGUAAACGCACUAGUUUUAAUGUCAACAACCCAAGGGGCUUCAUGGUCCUCUGGGUCGAAAUCGCGUAAUUAUUAAUUCUCCAACACUGAAAGUCUUUAUCAUCUUGGGACAAAUAAUUACAAAUUGACAUUAUAGCCGUGGAAAUUUGGAGGUGUAAUAACCGGAAAAAUAAAAAUCUCAAGAGACUUUUUAAAUAAAAAAGAUAACACCUUCAAUUUGCUAAAAGUAAUGGUAUCAUUUCUUGUAUGGAUAAUGGAUGAUUAGAUUUUGUUUUUGGUUAUCUGACGAAGGAUAUUCAGUUGUUCUUUAUGUGUUCAUAGGCAAGAGCAUGAGCAUAUGCAUGAUUUGAUAUAUGGUUCUUGCAUUUUCUAAUUAAGUGCUCUUUUUCCUUGCCUUCUUAGUUUUGAAAGAAAGAUGUGAAGCAAAGCAAACCCAGUGAAAUGUACAGAGAAACAGAACCAUCAGAGGAAAAACUAAAUAACAGAACUACAAUUGAACCAAACAAAAUCAAAUAAACGGACGCAACAGAUGCCCUGAACCUAGUAAUUACUCAAGAGUUGAGGAGUUGGAAUGAUUUGGUAUUCAUAUCUUCACAAAUCAUAUGCUUUAAUGCAGAAUCGACAGCUUUAUAUUAUUUUAUUCAAAAAACGAUAAAGCAGGAAAACCACAAUAAUCCACCAACUUUUGAUACUUGUAGGAAUUUUUUUUAGUCAAAUUAAGUUUCAUGAUGAAACAAGUGGCUCGUCCACACACUUGCACUUGCUUGAAUAUUUGUGCCGACAUUUUCAUAUGUGAUGGUACUUCUUAGCCAGUAGAUAUGUUGAAGUACUACAAAACAGAGUAUUUGAUGAAGUUUUGCUACAUUCGUAUCCCCUUUUUUUGUUGCAUAACUAAAUUCUUUAUAAACACAAAUUAGAAAGAUACAAAUAAUACAGUAGCUUGAAUUUAUAUGCUUUUAUGGUUAUUUGAUAAUCUAGUGCUGAUCAUAUGUGAUGAUAAACUUAGCUAGUAGUUUUAUAUUUGUUUUCGCAGUUUCCUUAGCGUUCACAUUUUGAUGAGUAAAUUAAGGAUUUCCAGAUGAAGUACAUAAUUAGAUGAAUGCUAAGGAACUGAAGUUUAAUUAAUUGAAAACAAAAAUAAUAAUGAACGUAAUUACGAAAAUGAACAAUGCAGAAGUAGUCCCUAUAGUAUUUCUAAAUUUUCUCUUGGGAUUUCUUAGUAUUCCUCAAUAUUUUAAAAAAAUGACAUGACGAUCUUUGAGUGGACAAAUCUUGGCCUGCUGCUUAGUACCCUUCCAACAUAUAAAGUACUAGAUGUUUUACUGAGAAAAUGACAAGAUCAUUUAUCAAAUUUCUUGCGCAUAUAUACGUAUGUAUAAGAGAAAUGAGAAUCAGUGAUUAUAAGACCUUGCAAUGAGACAAUAAUACAUCAUCAAAUCUAAAAAUACACAAGAAAUUCGGGACAUAUAUAUAACAAAAGACCUCUCAUUGAGUCAUACAUAUUGAGAAUGAAAUGUCAAAAUGCAGACAAAGAGCUUAUACAGAAAAUGAAUAAACUGUCUUUGAACUUCUGAUGGUCAAACAAAGGAAACAGGCAGGAUAUAACACACACUAUCAUAGAUGUAGCGACACGAUGAAGUAAAUCACAUGAAGAUGGAAAGGGGAACCCCUCACAGCAUAAAAUUUGAAUAGAGAGGGGAAAAAGGCUUCAUUUCAAAUGUUGCACAGAAGAAGAGUGACUUGAAUCUCCAUCAGUAUCCAGACAUUCUGCAAACACAGUGCUGAGAAUUUUAACAAGAAUAACAGACAAAAUAUUGUGCUUCUAUACUUGUCACAAAACUAGACCAAAUUAGUCCCCUUUUUGGUUUGUGAAAACUUGAUAUUUUUGAAAAUUCUAUCCAAUGCUUUCAAACAAUAUUUCCAUAAUAUAGUUGUUCAUAGCUAACCUUUGAUGGUGUAAGGAUUUGUUGUAGGCAUAAUGGGCUAAUUAUAUAUAUAUAUAUAUAUAUUUUACCCCCUGAAUGAUAUUCAGCUUCUUAAUUAUGUGUUCAUAGGCAAGAGCAUUUUCUUAAGUACUUUCGUUGCCUUCCAAGUUUCCAAUGAACAAACAGAGCACAAACAAAUUUAACGGAACAGUAACGAUGACAAUAAAUAAUUGGCAAGGAAAGAAAGAAAAAAGUUUGCAUGAUUUCAAGGAAUUAUAAAAUCUGAACACUUUCAACAUGCAAGUGUUGCCCCUUUUGAUGAAAUUUCAUCAUAAAAUGCUUGCAAAGAAUUAUAAAAUUUUAGAGAACAAGCGAACUCUCAAACAAAAUACUCAAAUUAAAUUAAAUUAGACCAAAAGACACUCAAUGACGCAAAAUCUGCCAUUCUAAAUAAUUGAGAUGAAAUUGUGAAACAACCCACGAGAUCAAAUAAAUAAAAUAAGAAUUAAUUACCAGCUUUGACUUUCUUCUCCAAAUUCGCAACUCGAAGACAUAAGAAGCCAAUGAAAUUAGUCGUAACCCAUAAAGUACGACGACGACCCCGCCAAUAGCUGAAAAUAAAAUACUUAUUCAUCAAUUUAAACUAACUUUAUAACAAAUAUCUUAUCGAUAUUUUAUUUAAAAAAAGCAAAUUUGUAGAAUUUUUCCAUGGGAGGUAGAGAGUAAUAUGUAUAUCCGUACCUUUUCAGUAUGUAAUUGUUGUAUGGUUGUGUUAAGAUCAUUAUUUGCCCAACGCCGUUGAUCCUCUGACUCUCCAUACGAGACGUUUACUCUCGGAGGCGUGUUUGAUUCUCCUGAAGUGAAAGUCUUCAUCUUGGGACAACCAAUCACUUCCAGAUAUUCCAGAGAUGGGAAUUUGAAGGUGUAAUUGGCAGAGCAGAAACUUGUGAGACUGUCUAAAUCACACAGAAUCAACGCCUUCAAUUUGCUGAAAACAAUCUCUUCUAUGUCAACUCCUUCUUUGUCAUUUAUUACCACCUCUGUCAUUGCUCUGCAUCCAUAUACUUGCACUGUUACGAGUCGCACCAGAGUUUUUGCUGUGGAGGAUGUUACUAAGUGUAUCAAUUCCUUGCAACCGACAGCUACCAGUUUUGCUAGGUUCCGAAAAGAUACCGAUGAUGAUGGCAAUAGACUUAACAGAUUUUGACAAUGAUAUACUUUUAGAAUUUCAAGAUAUUGAAAAAUGGAGUCAAGUUUGGAGUCUUGUUUACAUAGCUGCUUCAGAUGAUUAAGGUGGCCCAGCUCUAUACAUUUUAUCAUUGCCAACUUCCUCAAACGGUUCUCUAAGCAUCCUUCCGUUGAAAAUACCUCUUCGUAUGAACAAUGAUACAGUAAGAGUAAUUCGAGAUUGUGAAAUCUCUCAAGUACAUUCCUGAUUGGAAAACAAGCCGAGUCAUCAUAAGUUAUGUCUAGUUUUUUAAGACUGCCAAAAAGGUGUUGUGGGAAAUCGGCGUCCAAAAUCAUCUUCACAUCUUUUCCGCUUAACGCCAGUGACUCCAAGUUGGGUAAGAUCUGAUCAUCGUCAAUCACGUAGUAACUAAUCAGGUCAGUUGAUGUUCUCUCCAAUAAUUUUACCUUAGAGUACUUGUUGUAGAUUAUAUAUAUUUUACCAAAAAAAAAAAAGAAAAGAAAGGAAAAAUUGAAUUAGUGAUAAAAUUCAUUCUAGGAUUUUUGUAUGUUAAUUUGAGAGAUAAGAGAGAAAUUAGAAAAAAAAAAGGAUGAUUUAUACUGGCAUAAAAAUAUUUUAUUGCACAAUAAUAAAUUAUUAAUUUAUAUUGUAAGUGAUUAUAUAUGAGAAAACUGAGGAUUCUUUUUUAAUGCUAUACCUAAAAUAAUUCAUCUAACUAUUAAUUUAGUACAUUGAUCCCUUAGUCCAGACUAGCAAAAAUAUUAAUUUUGUACUAAAAGUUUUCAAUUUAUUGAGUAUUAAUUUAUUGAUGUUUAGUUAUAUUUUACAAAGUCAAAAGUCGCUAAUGAUCUAAUUGAUAAGAAAUCUAGAAAGCGGCUUCAUACCUUUUUGAACAAGAAUAGGGGCCGUUGUGCAGGAAUACCAAGUUGAUCAUCCUCAUUAUUCUGUGAUGAAUCUGCAGCGAAUGUCUUCAAUUUGUCACAACCAGACACCACUAAAAUUUUUAGUGCAGGCCAUUCCGAAGUAUGCAUUCCAUGGUAUAAACAUUUAAGUUCCGGUAGCUCUUGGAGUAUAAGAGUGGUCACCCGUUGAAAGACAAAAUGAGGGGUCACAUGAUCUACUCUGUCUUCCGAAAUGAUCUCUUGCAAACCCCUACAAUUCACUAUCUCUACUUGUUGGAGAUGCUCAAAGCUUUGAAUCAUAGAAACUAAAAAUAUGUAUUUUAAUUUGUUACAGUGGCACACAAUCAAUCGUGUUAAACUUUGAAAGCGAGGAAGCAUGACCGGACGAUGAUUGUAAUGCCAAAUCUUGUCGACAUUAAUUUCAGAUAUCUCCAAAGCCUCCAAAUUAGGCAACCCUACCUAAAAAAAUAUUAAUUUCUUGUUAGAUCCAACACCCAUAUGAGAAGGACUUAUUGAAAUUUUCUUCUUUGAUUACAGAUUAAUAAUUCAAGUCAAAAUCAAUUUCCAACUGACAGCUGAGUAUGCAUUCUAAUUCGUAUUACUUGUUAAGAGCUCAAUUAGUGAGUGCGUGAGAUUCUUUUUAUCCUUUUUUUUUCACUUUCUUUCAAUUCUUUAAAUGAUUUAAUUAUUUUCCACGUAUGACAUCAAAAGAGAAUGCACAAUAGCAUAAAGAAAGUGUUAGCCUACGCACCUUGCCGUUGAAAAGCAGUGUUUCCAAAUUGAUUUCGUUGGAGCAAGAACUUGUCAAUUCCUCUUGCAGCCCUUGUCUGUUUGGUGAUGCUGAAGGAGUCUUCAAAUUACGGAAAAAAGUUGUAACCUCUGGAAGAUUUCCCAAACUCAAAGAUCUUAAUUGAGCCAACUCUAUCUUCUCAGCAGCAUUAUUGUUGUCAACAUCAGCAUCUCCCCCAGUAGCAAAAAUCUCUUUCAUCUUGCUGCAAUUAAUAACUGCAAUUCUCUCAAGUCUUGGAAGGCAUUUUGCAGUGGAGAGCCAGAAGAUAUUACUCAACUCAUUACAAUUUUCUACUUUUAUUGUUUUGAGUUUAUUGAAAGACUCUACUUUGAGUCGAUCAAUGCAUAUCCUCUCCAUGUUGAUCAAAUUGUGAAGAGUCAGUGACUCCAAAAGAGGAAAGGCAUCACAAGCGACCAUCUCCAUUGAGUCGACAAUACAAAAGAAGUCAGGAUUAUUUUGAACCCAGAGAAGCUUCAAUUGUGGAAAGCCCUUUGUGUCCAAAUCGAAAAGAACAUUUUUGACACCUUGUAGCUUGUCCAACCAUACGUAUUCAACGUUAUUGAUGGCCUGCAAUUUCAUGGAGCAAAUGUCCGUAAAAUCAGGCUUGAGCUUCAAUUCUCUUAAACGCUCAUGAUUAUGGUUGAUCAAAAAGUGCGACCGACUGCGAAACCAAUCUUUUGUAACAGGCAAGGAAGCCAUGAAUGACUCAUUUCCAAUAGAUAUUUUGAACCUUUCGAGCUUUCUGGCCAAAAAGCCUUCCUGUAAAAUACUGUCAUUUUUAACAUCAAUUUCUAGAGUGGUUAGCCAAGGUAAAAGCAUCAAUUCAUCAAGGCUUGCAUUACUUCUUUCAGUGUUGGCUCUUUCAACCUCCCAUUCAACGGAGCAAUUACCCAUACACAAUUCUUCUAAUCGGAUUAAGCUCGAUAUGACAUUUGGGGCAAUAACUUUUAGAUGGAAACAGUCUCUUAAAUCUAACAGCCUUAGCUUAGUCACUUGCCCUAGUGCUUUUGGUAACUCUACAAUAUCAGACCACACAAAGCUAAGGAUUUCUAGAUUUUCCAACUUUCCAAUAAUGGCUAUGUCCAUGUCUCCCAAAAUGCUUUGAUCAAGACAAAGCGUCGGAAGAUUUACUAGAAGAUCAAUUGAAGAUGGCAAUGACAAUAACCGCAUUCUAGUCAAAUCCAAAACCCGAAGCUUUUUUGUCCUUUCGAAGAAGUUCUCAGGAACAUUAGGCGCAACAAAAGAGUUCUUGGGAGACAUGAAUAAAAAUUCCAAGUUGUGGAGAUUCCAACACUUCGGGAAUGUCAUUAAUAAUACUAUCUUUAAAAAAAUUGCAGGAUAUUUUUUUAAUGCAUCUGCAUCUGGCCAUUUCCACACAUCCUCAUUUCUCACCGCAAAUGCAAUUUUGUCACGACGUGCAAUUGAAAUGGCAACAUCGCGAACAACAUCAUGCAUGGAAAAGAAUUUACUGCCACCAUCCUCAAGCAACAAACAAGAGUCUCUUAGUUGAUGGACCCAUGCAUGUAAUUUGUUAUGUGCAUCUUCUAGCUUAUAGACACUUUCAAAUGCACCCAAGCCCACGCUAUAUUUGAACAAGUCCAUAAUUGAAGUUGGUGUAAUUAGACUACACAGUAAAAAAGUUUUCUUGAGUUGCUCACCUCUUAAAUACUUGUAACUUAGCUCAAUUGUUGAGUAUGCCUCUACUGGUACUCCUUCAUCGAAGCUUGCCUCUGAAGGCGUUUGGAGUUCUUGUAAGACGUUCUUCCACACAGGCAGCUCUUUGUUUCUCAGUGCCUUUGCUACUGUGGUUAGGGCAAUAGGCAAACCUCCACAUGCCUUGGCUACAUUUGUUGCUGUAGAUUUUAACUCACGAUUUUCAACAUAAUUACCAGCCAUUAUCUUGAACAACCUCCAAGCUUCUUGCUCAUUUAGAAUGCCAAUCAAGAAGUUUUUUUCAGAUCCCAUACUUAACAAAACAUUACGAUCCCUUGAUGUUAAUAAUAACUUGCAUCCUCUAUGAUCAACGCCAAAAGGAAUUCCGACUGUCUCUAAAUCAAGAUAUUUCCAGAUGUUAUCCAGAAUCACAAGGAUCAUCUUCUCUUUCUUCAAUCGUUCAUAAAGUCUACUAGCUCUUCUAGAUUCAGCCUCCUCGGACAACUCCAGACCUAGUUUCUCUGCAAUUUCCCCUUGAAUCUUUUUUAUGUCUGGAGUUUGGGAAACCUCUGAAAAAACCACCUGAUCAAAGAGUUUCUCUUCACUGGCUUGCCUUGCAAACUCCUUCACCAGUGUUGUCUUUCCAAUGCCGCCCUUUCCGUAUACCCCAACGAUGCUGACAUUGACAUCAGUCAAUGCAUCUUGUAUAGACUUCAGAGUAGAAAGUCUUAAUUUAAAGGCCUCGUAACCUUUGUUAGACUUUAGCCAUACCUCCUCCGCAAUGGUACGGUAGAAAAUUCUAUCAUCAAAUCUCCUAGCUUCUUCUUUGAGUUCAACAAGGGCCUUCACCUCUGUUUCUGCUUUCUUGCUAAGCUGAUAGCGGGUCUUCAAAUUAGGACACAAGCCCUUGAAACAUCGCUUACUUGUUGUCUCCCCAUCUUCAAUGAAUUUGGCUGCCUGCUCAAUGGUGUUGUUCGCACUAACCAGCCAGUUCUCAACCUUCUCUUCAAUCUUUUCUCCUUUUCUUUCAGCCUCAGAAACUCUGUGCUGAAUGCUCUUACUUUCAUCCUUGAGCUUGUCUAUUUCUGCCUUGAGAUUCUCAAAGUUGGCUUUAUAGUUUCGCAAAUAACCAAGUUGGCGUUCUGUUGGAGGAGCGAAGCAUUUCACAACUUCUAACAGAACAGUAACAAUGCUUUCCACCAUCUUCGAUCCUCUUUUUUUCAAAGUUCCGAAAUGAAAAUAAACGACGAGCGAAAAACAGAGAGAAAGAGAGGCAAAAAAAAAAAAAAAAAAAGAAAAAGAAAAAAAAGAAAAUGAAACAACAAAGAUGACAAGUGUAUCUGUUUGUGGAAGCGGAGAAAUCAAAGAAAGCUUAAAAACUGUUGUGAAUCUGGUGAGAAGAUGGAAACAAGGAAAAGGUUUCUAGUUCAAAACUGAUUGAAUUGAUAUAAGGAAUGAUUUAGAUAAUAGAGGAAAAUUGAAUCAGUCAAAAUAACUUAAGUAUUGACCAGAAGAAAGAUGCAAACAAUAUUAGAGACAACAACCGCGCUAUUGACUGGUAAUAGAGAUGGAGAAAAAGAAAAUAUCUUCACACGGUGGAAGUACAAAGGGUAGAUAUGGAACCAAACAGAGACAACAACAGGCCACAACUAGAUUGGGAAUGGAGAGAAACAAAUUAACAAAGACUGGAGAUUACAACAGAACAGAUGCCAAGAGAAAAGGGUUUCUUCAUCCAGUGAAAUUCAAGAGAGUUGACAGCAAAAGGGAGCACAUGUGUUUCUUGAUUGAGAACGAGUGCAAAGGAUGACUUUUUAAUGAGGUUCUGAAGCUGACGAAUAACGAUUUGCUAAAAUUUUGAGAAAGUUAUAUAUUCCGUAACUUCAACAAGUGAAGAAUAAAAGAAUAAUAGUUCGUCAUCUUCACAAUGAAGAUCAUGGACGAGAUUAAAAGCUAAAACUAGUCCAUUUGAAAAGCCAAAGUUCAAGUUCCUUGGCUAAGUUCAGAAGUGAAGCAAAGAAUAAAUAAAUAAAGAUCAAGGGAUGGGAAUAAAGUCACCCCCAGACAGUUGCAGAAAGAUUAUUAUUUGGUAAGCGUAGUUGAUUAUUAGUACAAAACAGAGUAGGUGAAACACAUCCUUUCUAUUUAGACUGAUCAGCAUCUAAAAUUUUAUGAAUUAUGAGUUGCAUUUUAUUUUGUACAUUCUGUUAACACAUUUUAAUUUAGCCAAUUUUGCAAUAAAUGUUAUUGAUGUAUUAAAUUGCAACAACAAAACACAAUUAUUGGUAUUAAAGAAUGAAAAAAAAUAAAAAUAGAAAAUGAAUUGAAUUCCACUCAUCGUCAUCUUGGGAAAUCAAGUCAAAAAAUAAAAAUCCAUAUGCUUUUGUUAAAGUUAAAAGCUACAUAAAUAAUAUCACAGAAGCUUCUGCUAAGGUUCAUGUGAAGUCACAGCUUUGAUACUUGUACUACAAGGAGCACGGAGAAACCAUAAACUUCAGUUUAGGUAUGUACAUUGCUUGUCUUUCAAACUUGAAUUGAUAAGGGGGAAAAAAAUAAUACUAAAGCAAACAGAAGGAUCAUUUAGUUGACAAAAUUAUUAUUAUUUUGAAAUUCGGGUCAUUCAGUUACUUUCAUUUCAGUUUCACUUCUGAUUCAAUUUAACCAGUUAACGUUGACAAAAAUAAAAUGCAAAUAUAAGGCUAAGGCUGCUAAUUUGAUGAACUAAUUAUCUCAGGAACCAAAGCAUCUAUAAGCAUGCAUGGGUGGCAACACCAUAAUUACUCAAGACUGGAGGAGUAAAAAGAUUGAAGAUGAUAAACAUUAAAUUUUAGGAAAAUCAUUCACAAAUAUGCUUUUAUAAAAGUAUUGUUGGUAAAGUUCGAGAAAUGCAUACAUGUCAAAUUUCCAUUUCUUGUGAGCAUUUCACCAAAUAGCUGAUAUGCAUUAAUAACUCCUAUCCUAUACUAUUGGCCAGUAGGUUGUUGCUGCUUCCCCAUUUUUAAUGAUGCGAACGUCUCAUACUUAGAAAUAAGGGCGGAGCCUGGAGAUUGAUGUAUAAGAUAAUCUUUUGAAUAAAAAUAAAAACAAUUACAGAUUUCAAAUGUGAGAAAAAUAAAAUUGCGUUAUAAAAUUAAUCCCACUAAGAAAGUCGUCUACGAAAUUGCCACAUUAAAAGAAAUUUUUUCCAUAAAUUAAAAUAAAAUUAAAUGAAAACUAUUUUUCAGUAAAGUCAAUUGCCCACGCUAGGCUAAGGCGUUUGUUUAUUUGUUUGUUUGUUUUUAUAAUCUGAAUAGGUAUAAAUUUUUCGUAAGCAUGAAUGAGCUGAGUACAAAUAUAUGAAUGAUAUAUUUAUUUUUCUUUUUCUUAAUACCCAAAUAUAAGUGACAUCUUAUUUAUCUUAAAUAUGGUUAUUUGAUAUUUAUAUUUUUACAAAUAAAAAUAAAAAAAGUAGUUAGAUUUUAUAGUUUAAGAAAUAAAUAUAUUUUAUAAAAAUAUUUUUAGAAUAUAUAUUUAAUUCUUAUUUAGACUUUUUUCUAUUCAAUAAAAGUCACAAAAGGUACUUUUUCUAUUCAAAUGUAAAUGCUUAAAAAUCAGAUAUAAGUUACAAAAAAAAUAAAUUUUAGAAAAAGUCAUAAAUUAAUAAAAUUUCAUAUAUUUAACUCCCAAUGCAGAUCCACCCCUAUCAGUGUGAGGAAAUUGACUGGUGAAGUAGGUUCACAGCUAAAAUGAAAUUGGAAGAAAAUGAAGAACAAGCACAUAGAGGACACCAAAAAUUACAUGGUUCGACUUUUAGCCUACGUCUACGGGUAAAGACAAAAGGAUAAAACUUUACUGGUGAAAUGAGGAUUACUAGUAUUAUAAUAUUUUGUUUCACUUCCCAGAACCCCAAUCCACUCAAUCUCUUAAAAUACUAAUCACUCAAGAGCAUUAAAACUCUUAGUCUCUCACUCUAGAAUUGAAGAAGAAAAGAAUGAAAUGCGGGGGUGAACCCCUCAUUUAUAGUUAAAAAUUUGGGCACUAUUUAUAUUUUUAUAUAUUUUUUUAAAUUAAAAGUUUGAACUUGACAUUCAAACUUUGAAUAUCAAAAGGUAUUGGUCACUCUUCUAGAAAAGUGACAUUGACUUUGACAUUCUCCCACUUAGAAAUUUGAUUGAGAAUCAAUCAAUCUCCACACCAUCCUUUCUGCUUCGCCGCUAUCAUGUUGCUUAUGUCUCUACUAGGCCAUAAAAUGAUCUACUCCAAACAAAUUUAUCAGCAUUGAUAGGCUUGGGCAAAACAUUUGUUAAGUUCUCCUUGGUAUCCACUCUUGUAUCUUUCACUACUUCACGAAGAAGUGAUAUUGUACUCCUAUAUUCUUUGUCCUAAAAUAAAAGGUUGGAUUCCUUGCAUUCUAACUAUCACAAACCAUAAAAAUUUUAUGCCCAAGCUCCUUCAGUAACCUUUGUAUCCAAAUAGCCCUUCCAAGCUUGUGUAGCUGCUAUGUAAUCUGCUUCUAUUGUUGAUAAAGCCACAAUGGUCUGCAAUUUUGAAAUCCAACUAACAAUUUCGCCUUCUGGUGUAAAUACUUAGCCAGUAGUGGGUUUCCUUUUAUUAAGAUUUUCUGCAAAAUCUGAAUGCACAAAGCCCUUGACAGUAAAUUCUAAUCCUUCGUAGCAUAAUGCAACAUCUGAUGUUCCUCUGAUAUUUCUCAGAAUCCUCUUAAUAGUCUUCCAAUGUUCUUUGCAAGGAUUCGCUAUGUAUCGACUAACUGCUCCCACUACUUGUACAAAUCAUAGCGAACCUUAAAUUUUCCACUGCUGAUGCAUACAGUUCUCAAGACAUCUCUUCUUCUCUACUUCAUUACUAUAUGAAUACUUAAGAAUAACUUGAAAUUAAUAGGAGGCGGGGUAGAAAGCCAAAUCUUCUUGCUAUUACUAUCUCGGUGAAUUUGCAUCCCUAAAAUCUUGUUUGUUGGUUCUAAGUCUUUUAUUUCAAACUCCCUAGUUAACUGUGCCUUCAGUUCUUGGACUCGAUCUUUGUUGGGGCUUGCUACCAAUAUGUCAUCCACAUACCACAGUAGAAUGAUGAAAUCAUUAUUAUCAAACUUGUUGUAAUAUGUACAAUAGUCUGAACUGAUUCUAUUGUAUCCAAGGUUUAUGAUGAAGGGAUCAAUUCUCUUAUAUCAACAUCUCGGUGCAUGUUUGAGAUCGUAUAGAGAUUUGUUCAACUUGCAAACCAAGUGUCCCUUUUUAGUAAAACCUUCUAGUUAGAGCAUAUAAAUCUUUCCUUCAAGUUCUCCAUGAAGAAAUGAAAAUUUCACAUCUAACUGCUCCAAAUAUAGGUCAAAUGUAGCACACAUCGACAAGAACACUCUAACUGUCCUGGGUCAAAUCACUGGAGAAAAUAUCUCAUUGAAGUUAAUACAUUCUUUCACCACCAAUCUUUCACGAUACCGCUCCACUAGGUUAUUACCAUCAUGUUUGAUCUUGUGAACCCAUUUGCAACCAAUGGUUUUUUUUUUAUAUGGUAGUAGUACGAGUUCCUAUGUCAUAAUCUUGUGUAGAGCCUUAAUUUCUUCCUGCACUGCUAUCAUUUACAAAGUAACAUCUAAGCUGUUUAAAAUUUCAUAGAAAGUUGAUGGCUUUCCAUUCUCUAUUAAAAGACAGUAUGCAAAAUUGAUAUCUGUGACAUAAUCCAAAUGCCACACAUACAGUUAUCUAUCACGAGUUGACCAACAAACUUUUAGGGCCUCAGACUCGAUUGGUUCUUGUUCUCAUACUUUAGUGCUGCUUCAAAAAAAUCUGAAUCUUCAUUUUCCAGAUUAUUUUCAAACAUAUAUUAGCACAAUCUCUAAAUUUUAAUAGUGCUAUCAUCCAUAUCUCUCUUUUGCAUUUGAUCUUCUACAAAGAUAAUAUCUCUGCUAAUAACGAUUUUGUGGGCAUUGAGGUCCCACAGAUAAUACCCUUUCACUCCAUCAAUAUAUCCUAAGAAGAUACAUCUCUUGGAUUUUGGAUCCAUCUUUAAUCUCACUUGGGUAUCGUAUAUCACGUAAAAGGACAUCAAAAUGCCUGAGAUGAGAGUAAUCAGUUGGCUUUCCUGUCCAUUUUUCCAUUGGAAUCUUCAACCCGAUUGCCUUGAAUGAUGACCCACUUACCACAUAAUAAGUAGUUUUUGCUACUUCCGCCUAGAAUGAGUUGGUAGACCAGCAGUUCUCAACAUAAUUCUUAUUUUUUCUAUAAGAGUCAUGUUCUUUCACUCCACUACUCUAUUUUAUUGAGGAGUGUAUGCCACUGUGAACUAUCUCUAGAUACUUUCUUACUUACAUAUGCAAGAAACAUGCUAUAUGUAUACUCUCCACCAUUGUCUGUCCUCAGGCACUUGAUCCCUUGCCCUGAUUUAAGUUCAAUCUAUGCUUUGAAUUCUUUGAACAAUGGAAAUACAUUUGACCUUUUCUUGAUUAGAUACACUAAAUAUCUCCUAGAAUAAUCAUCAAUAAAAGUCACCAAAUACUUUGCACCUCUCAUAGAUAUAUCAAUUGAUUCCCAAACAUUAGAAUGAAUCAAGUCUAAAAUACAUUUACUUUUGAAAGUGGAUCUGCUAAACUUUCAUCUAUGUUGCUUCAUUGUUUCGACAUGUGGCUAAGCUUAAGAUGCCACAUCAUCGCUGAAUUUUCUCUAUUUGAUGUGACACACACAAAAGCUUUCUGUAGUGUUUCCAUUUAAUUAUGAAUAGAUUAGCACCGAUCUUUUCCACCUUCAUUAAUGCAAGUGUGCCUUUGACUAUCUUUAUGAUCCCAUUUUCUACAUGAGUUUUGUGCACAAGGCUAUCUAUUUGUCCUAAAGACAAGAGAUAUUUUUCAAGUUUUUGACAUGUCUUACCUUCUCAAUUGUGCGAACCGUACCAUUAAACAUAUUUAUUUUGACAGUACCAAUAUCAAUGAUCUCAAAGGCAUGAUUAUCGCCUAUGUAUACAGAUUCUCUUGAAAUAGGUUCAUAUUUGUGAAAUCAUUCUCUUGGAGAGAUCAUGUGCCAGGCAACUAUUAAGUCUAUAAGCCAGACGUCAUAUAGUGGUUUUCUGCCUUCUGAAGCAGUUGUUGCCUUACUGUAGAGAAUUUUGCCAUCAUACGAGGUACUUACUACAUACCCUUGAGCAUUUGAUGACUCAGGAUCUUUACCCUCUCUUCUCUUCUAGUUGUUCCAAUACUCUUCCUUGACAUACUCUUUCUUGCCACAGUUGUUGCAUUCAACAUUCUUAUUACUUCUUGAUUUCGAUCUACUGUGAUUGUGGCUCUCACUAGGGCCACGUUCCAUGGAUCUUCCUUUCAUCAUCAAUAGUGUUUCUACUUGCUGCGAACUUGUCUGUCUAUCUUUUUUAUUUUUUGCUACUCUCCUCAUUUAAUACGGAGGCUGCCAUAUUGUCAAAGACUAACUUGUCUGCUCGAUUGUUAUUAGUUAGAUUAAUGACGAAUUGAUCAUACGAAUCUGGUAAACCUUGAAGUAAAAGCUCUACAUGAUCAUUUUCCUCUAUUUUAUGACCCAAUGUUGUAAGUUAUGAAAAUAAAGUCUUUAAAGUGUUGAUAUGGUCGAUCACUGAUGUAGAUUCCGUCAUUCGAAGAGUAUAAAGCCUCCUCUUUAAAAAGAUUUUAUUUUGUAGUGAUUUGACCUCGUAUAGUCUUGUGAGAGUAAACCAUAUUUCCUUUGCUCUCUUUUACUCUACUACAUUGAAUAAUACCUUAUUUGAAAGUGGUAUGUGUAGAUUUGCAAUGGCAUUAUUGUCUAUCUCAUUCCACUUGUCAUCAUCAGUUAUCUUUGUGAGCCUCUCUUCAAUUGCUGCCAAGCAAUUACUCUUCCUCAAUACAACCUUCAUCUUCAUUUUUCAUGACGAAAAAUUAUUUUUGUUGAACUUCUAAAUUUUGUAUUUUUCUGCCAUCACUGUUCACCACGAGCUACCUUUGCUAAGAUUGAUUCCUACCAUUUCACAUGAGCAGUAACUGUAUAUAUGAAUAAAGUGUUGUAUACAGAAACAAUAUCAUAGACAUGAACAGUACAAUAUAUGUAAACAGUAUCUCGACCCCAAAAAAUACAACCCGACUCUAAUACCACUAUUAGAAAAUUAAUUGGUGAAGUAGGGCCGCGACUAAAAUAAAAUUGGAAGAAAAUGAAGAACAAGCACACUGAGGACACCAUAAAUUAUUUGGUUCGACUUUUAACUUAUGCCCAUAGGUAAGGACAAAAGGAUAAAACUUUACUAGUGAAAUGAAGAUUAUAAGUAUUUUAGUAUUUUGUUUCACUUCUCAAAACCUUAAUACACCCAAUCUCUCCAAACACUAGUCACUCAAGAGUAUAAAACUCUUAAUCUCUCAUUAUAGAACUAAAGAAGAAAAUAAUAGAAUGAAUGAAAUGAGGGGGUGAACCCCUCUAUUUAUAGCUAAAAAUUUGGGCACUUUUUAUAUUUAUUAUUAUUUCAAAAUUUAAAGUUUGAACUUGAUAUUCAAACUUUGAAUAUCAAAAGAUACGGGUUGUUCUUCUAGAAGAACCGCACCAACAUUGACUCUUAGGCAGACCUUUAGAGCUUUAAAUAAAGAAAAAGCUUUUAAAAAUGCCAUGUGUACUUGAUUAUACAAUAAUCUCCACCACAUAGAAUGAUUUGAUAAAAGAAAUUUUUAAUUUUUAAUUUUACUUUUAUCAGGCACGGUGUAUUUCCCCUUGGGCUCAUAUGUAAGGAUGUCAAUAAGAUGGGAAGGAGAGGGGAUUGAUUUCCCCAUACUCAUCUUUAAUACUCUGUGUAUCUCUUUGUACUCUAGACAGUUCCUUCAAAAUUACUUGAAACGAGGGGAUGGAUGUUUCUAAAUAAUACAAAGGGAUCUCUUAUGGCAUCCGAUCUCUGAUUAUUUAAUUUCUUUUUUUUUUCUUAAUUUAAUCAUCUUAAAGUAAAAAUAUAAAAUCAUAUUAACACAAAAAAUAUCAAAUUAACUAAAGUGAUUAAAAUCAUUUCCAUCAAAUUAAGUCAAUGUCAUCAAAUUAGAAGAUAAUCUUUGAACUAAUUAAGCAAAAGUAAAUCUUCAAAGUUGAACUCAUCCAUAAAUGUCAUAUAGUAUAAACCAUCAAUUAAAUUAUCUUUGUCAAUUUUAAAGUGUUUAUAUUUACUUUAUAUUGGCUGUUAUUUAUAUUAUUUUUAUAAAUGUAUUAUGAUAUUUUUUAUUUACAUCACACUAUUACAAUUGAAAUUUUAAAUGUAUUUACUAUAAAUUUGAAAAAAAUGAAUUAAAAAUAGAAACUAAAGAUAGAAAUAAAAAAAUGUGGAGCCAAAUAAAAUAUUAGGGCAAACACUAAGUUAUAAUUCAAGUAACUUACACCCACACAUAUUAAUUUAUCACAGCCUUGUCUCCACAUAGAAAAAUUAGAUCUAAAAUUAUCAAACUCCCGAAUGAGGAAGAUCCCUCGGGGCCAUCGUCCCUGUGGAAAUUUCUGCAUCCCUGCAGUCUACAACGCCUAAUAAUGAAUUGAACGGUUGAAAUCCCUCUAAAUUUUUUAUAAUUUCUAAUCGCCCCUCCAUAUUUGAUUGAACAUCAAAACUAUGGAGUCCAAAUUUAUAACUUUGAUUUAUCUUCCAUUCCAUAGUUUUCAAGUUCUCUCUCUCUCUCUCUCUCUCUCUCUCUUUUAACCCUUUUUACUGCAACCACCAUCAAAGCCUAGUAGUUAAUAUGUAUGCUGCUUUGCUUUCAAAAUCGGACACUACUGGUAUUUAUGGUUUUUAUUCUUUAUUUGACACAAAAUUUGGCGAUAUCUCCGAGGAAAAACACUACUGGUGUAUUCAAUUUUAUCCGGUAAUGAUUAAAUUGAUUAUUACAUGAACCGUAACUUCGCCGAGCCCAAAAUACAUAUUAAGUUAUAAAGCGUUCGCACUCAUUAUUUUUCGCAAAAAGUUUCGCCCAAAAUACAUAUAUUUUUUUAAUUUUUUCUGUGAAAAAAACUACUGUUAUAUUCAAUUUUAUCAUUAAAGUUGUUAGUUACAUGAACCUUAAAUUAACACAAACCGUAACUUAGCCAAGCCCAUAAUACAUAUUUCAUAUUUGUAUGAAAUUUAAAGUUUUUCCACUUAUUAUUUUUCGCUAAAAGUUUCUAAAUUGUAUUGUAGUUUGAACUUGCCCAUCAUUCAAUUUUUUAACUCCACAAUUAUUUGACCUUACCAAGCUUGAAAAUAUCCUUCCAUACAUAUUUAAUUUUCUCCAAGUAUGAUGAAGAUUUAAUCAAGAGCCUCCGGGAUCUUAAAGUGCAAGAAAGGUCCGGAAAAUUUUUAAAACCCCACUGUUUAAAGUUUUUUUGGACUUUCUUGCACUUUAAAAUCUUGGAUUGAUAUAUAUAUAUAUAAUCAUUAUUAGGUGCUAGUGUUCUCAUUUUUUUUUUUAAUGCAAACACCCUUUUAAGCCGUAGGGUUUAAUAACAUUAAAAACUAACUUUCAACUAGCUCUCUUAAAUUGUACGGCUUAAAAGCAUGUUAGCAUGAAAAAAUGAACGUGUCUGUACCAAAAAAGGACUAUAUAUAUUAUUUACUUUAUAUAGACAUACGUGCGCGCGCUCGCAUAUAUAUAUAUAUAUCAUUUUAAUAUAUUCCAUUACUUUAAUAAUCAAUUUAAAAUAGUUUGUGAUAUUUCCAGCUAUUUAUUUAUCUACUUUUAGUUAGUUAUUUACACCGAAUGAAGUGAUAGGGUCCAACUUUUAGUAUCCUUCUCAGCUGUUUGGGGUUAGUAAAUACUAAUUAGCUUAUUCGUCCCGAACAGCCGCGUAAAUGCUGUUAGAUUUCGGAGAGAUGCUGAGGAUGGUACAAGAUUUAUCAAAUUGUGGCGACAUUUUUAUACCUUUAGAAUUUCAAGAUUUUGAAGAAAUAAAUGGAAUCUGUUUUCCAUAAGUGAUCCACUAUCUAUCAGGAGGAAUUCUAAAAUACAUUACAGAUUAAUGAUUUUUCAUAAUAAAUAAACAUAUGUUAUAAUAUUAUUUAUUUAUCAUAUGACUGAUAUAAUACUUCUGAUAUAUUUUGAAAUUUUUAAUUCACCAAAGUUCAUUUUUAGCUUUUAAGGUUUUUAUGUGUGAGCCUCUCAGCAUGUUCCCCAACCUCCUCACGUGAAAAUAUUUCUAUGUACGGUUACAAGCUUUUCCAGAUUGUGAGUAUUCCGAAGCAAUCCAACUUGAAAAACAGCUGGUUCGUAGAAAACGACAGUUUACGAAGCUGGCCCUGCUGCCAUACAUAUGAUGAUGAAGACCAUUUUGCUUUAUGUCAAUUCCUCCAAGUUGAAAUCUUUCUCGGUCUGGGACACUUCCAACACAUAAAGUACUACUAGGCUAGAUGAUUUUAAAAAAUGUCAAGGUCCUUUAUCAAAUUUCAUUUGCAUUCAAGACCAACCCCCUUUGAUGAAAAUCAAUAAUUAAAGACUUUCCAAUGAGAAAUUAUUACGUCUUCAAAUCUCAAAAAACGCCAGAAUAUUAAUUCGCUACAUAUAAUCAAGAUAUCUCAUUGAGACGCAUUAAUAAAAAAUGUCAAAAUGCAUAGAAAGAGCAGACACACGGAUGAUGAAUUUACUCAUCUUUAUUAGUAUUUGAAUUUGAGAGACAGAAUGAAGUACAUGUCAAGAAUAUCAUAAAGAUGGAAACCGGAAGUCCUCCGCACAUAAACUUUGAAGAAACUGGAAAACGACUUUAUUCCAGAUAAUGCACACCAGAGUGACCAAAAUUCUCUUCAGUAACUAUGGAGAAAAUAUUAUUUUGCAUGCAUUUCACGUAACUGGAUCAAACUACUCCCCUGUUGGUUUGUCAGACCACAUUUUUAUGGUGCAAUAUAAACCAUCUUUUCAAAACACUUCGACAAUGUGAGAAACAAAUGAUUUUUAUAUAGUUGUUCAUAGCUAACUUUUGAUGGUUUAAUGAUCUGUAGAUUUUGUUUUAUGCUGUUCAAGGAAUGAUAUCCAAUUGUUCCUAAGAGUUCAUAGGCAGGGGCAUAUAUGCAUGAUUUGAUAUAAUUCUUGCAAUUUCUAAGUACUUGCUCUUUUCAUCCCUUCUAAGUUUUGAAAGAAAGGUCGAAAUAAACAGAGAAACAGGACAAACAGAAGAAGACUGAAUUAACAGAUCAACAAAGAUGGCAACUAACAAAUGGAAAAGUUCUCUUGUAAUCAAACUAUAGCAAACAGACAAUACCAUUGCCAUAUAUCUUAAUCAGUAGAUUGAUUCUCAACAUAUAUGUUAGGAUACAUUUGGUUGUUUAAUAGUUCGAAAUAAAGAGGAUGAGAUGGUUUCCACAUAAAAGUGCUGGGCCUUUCAAUGACAUUUUCAAGGAAUUAUAAAAUUCAAAAUAAAAAAAAAAAUAGCACAUUAUAAAGCCACACCGUCAAAAAAAUAAAUAAAUAAAUAAGUGAAGACCUUUAAUGAUAUAAAAAUAAAUAAAUAGAUAAGUCACUAAGACCUUUAAUGAUAUAAAAUAAGCAUAUAAAUCUCAUAACAAAACAUUAAAACUCAUUCUAAAAGUAAAAAUAAACUAGUGGUGUAUUCCAAACAAUUUAGAUGAAGCAAUAAAACAAGCCAAGAAAUCAAAUAAAAUGAAAUGAAAUUGAAUUAACCGGGACUUUGUUUUUCAAAUUCACAACUCGCUUGUAAUUAAAGUAAAAUGCCAAUGCCAUUAGGACACAUACAUCGUUGAAUAAGAUGAGGACCCCUCCAACAGCUGAAAGUAAAAUUUUCAUUCAUUAGUUUCAAUUAAAAUUAAAGCACACAGAGAUUUGCAGGGAAGCAAGAGAUUUAAUAAAUUUAACAGCAGCAAUUUAAUUUGACAGGACUUCCAUACAGUAAUGAAGUUAAAAACUAAUGAUUAACGAAUUUAGUUUGGUCCCAAAGCUGUUGAUCAUCUCUCUCUCCAUAGUAGAAGUUUACUCUCAGAGGCGCGUUUAAUUCUCCUUUAGUGAAAAUCUUCAUCUUGGGACAACCAAUUAUAGAUUCCUUGAAGGUGUAAUUGGCAGAGCAGAAACUUCUGAGACUGUCAGCAGAAACUUGUGAGACUACCCAAAUCAUACAGAUACAAAAUCUUCAAUUUGGUGAAAACAAUCUCUUCUUCAAAAUUUGCUGCUCCAUCUUCGUCAUUUAUCACCACCUCUCUCAUUGCUCUGCAUCCAUACACCAACAUUGAUAAGAGUCGCUGUAGAGUUUGGAGUGACAGAUUCGAUAAUGAUCAACUCCAAAUACUCGCCAAGAUCGCAAAUCAAACAACCAAGAUGCAAAAAGAAUCAAUCCAGAACAAAUCACAGAGAAACUUAAGAACCGAAAAGAAUUAAAGAAUUAGCAGCAAAGACAAAAGAUAUAACAGAUUUUGACAAUAAUGUACAUUUAGAAUUUCAAGGCAUUGAAUAAAGGAGUCCAAUUUGGAGUCUUGUUUCCACAAUUGCUUCAGAUGAUUAAAUUUGUGCAGAUCUAAAUGUUUUAUCAUUGUAAACUUCCUCACAUGUUUCUUCAAGUAUCCUCCAUUCGAAAAUACCUCUUCGCAUGAACAACGACGCCGUAUGAGAGUUUCCAGAUUAUGAAAUCUCUCAAGUAAAUCAAGUGGAAAACAAGUUGAGUCAUCAUCCACUGUUUGUAGUAGUUUAAGACUGCCAAAAAGGUGUCGUGGGAAAUCGCUCUGCAAAGUCAUCCUCGAGUCUUUUCCACUUAAUGCCAGUUGGGUAAGCUCUGAUCAUCAUCAAUCACGUAAUAACUUAUUAAGUCAAUUCAUAUUCUCUCAAAUAACUUUUAAUAAUCCAAUCAUACACAGUGACUUUAAUAUAAAUGCAUAAUAUUUUACAAAAAAGAAGAAAAAAUCGAAUUAGAGGUAAAAGUUAUUCUACGAUUUUAUUUUUUAUAUAUAUCUUGCAUGCUAUUCCCAAAAGCAAUCCCAAACGACCCUUAAAGCAAUUUUACAAAAGCGGCCCGUACAUGUAUUGCCAACUUUGUUAGGAAUGGCAAUGGAAAGGGGAGGGGAAGAGACUGAUCUCCCCGUACCCAUUCCCGAUAUUCUGCAUAUAUCCAUGUCCUCUUCCCAUUCCCGACAAAAUUACUUUAGGGAAUCCCCCUCCCCUCCCCAAAUAAUAAUAGGGGAUCCUUAAAGGUCCUCGAUUGUCGAAUAACUGAUACGUUUUUAGUUUUAAAUUUUAAUUUAAUCAUAUUAAAAUAAAAAAUAAAAAUAAAGUUUGACGAUAUAUCUUACAUUAACAUUAAUCUAUUACAAAAGUCACAUUACAAAGUAUAAAUCACCAUAAUAAUUAUCUUCGGCAAUCUUCAAAAUCAUAUAAUAAAAAAAAAAGAAAUUACUUUUAUAUCAACAAUGAGAUAAAUGAAAUGAAUAUAGAUACUUAAUCAAUAUUUCUAAUAAAAGUAUUUACCUCUUGUGUCUCCUACUCUUCUUGUUCUUCCUCGAGGAAUGUGACAAAUUGAGAGAUAGCCUCAGAUUUCAAAUUUAAAACAACAAAAAUAAUAUAAGUAAUGUAAAUUCUAAGUGAAAAUAUUAAUAAUUAUAUAAUAUAAUUACAAUGUAAAAUAAACUCAUACUGCCAUUGUAAGCUUGUAGUCAACUUUGACAACAUAUUAAAGCCUCCAAUGUGCUUGAAUAAAGCGUGUUACAGUACUCUAACACUGGUGCUAAAAGCUAAUUCAAAAGCAACAUUUGUAAUUAGAAUUGCCAAAAUAUCUCUAGCAAUUCAUAUACCCUCCUUAUGUUACUAACCACGUGACGGUAGAGAGCCAAUUGGCAUACUAUUAUUUUGACGGUAGAGUUAUAAAUUUGUUUCUAAAUAGAAAACUAUUUGCUGAAGUCAAUAUUUUCAAAACCAAAGUCCCAAAUUCUCUCUCGUGCGUGCCUGGCCAUCCUAAACCUUACUGGUAGCCGGAGAAUGGCGUAAAACGGCGGCGAUCUUCUUCUUCAUCUUAUUAUCUCUCUCAUCGUUUCAGGUAAGCUUGUGAUUAUGAGUUUCUUCUCUUUCUUAGCUUGUAAUUAUAGGUUUUGAUUUCUUUAAUUCGUAUUGUAACCAUUAAUGUCAAUUUUUGUCCCGCCGGCAAUAUUUCUUGUUCCUAGAAGUUGAAGCCCUUCUGUUCUUGUUCCAUUGGUGACUUUGCUCACUCAAAUUAAUUUUGUUCUGCGGAAUUUACAAAGUUCAAAUGGAUUCAUUUGGAUUACUAUUGAAUUUAGCUUUCAUUUCAACAUUCAUUCUAAUGUUUUACAAUCAUGUAUUUAGAUUUACUUUAAUUUUAUGUUUAAAGCUUCUACAAUGAAUAGCGGAGCUUGGGUUUUAGUUUCAUUUUCUAAUUAACUUCUUUUAGUUUAUCUUAUAUGCUCGCCAAGUGCUUGUUAUAUUGUCUGAUAAGUUAUAUAACAUUGCUGAUUCUAUAUUAGUAAUGUCAUGUUCCAUUUACGGAAAUUAUAGCACAAAAGUUUUUACAAUGGCUUGCAUCUACAAACUGAAUUGACUUGUAGAGUAAGAGCUUGGAUUAGUGUUAUGUUCUUGAAUAAAUGAAAGUUCAUAUUGUGUAAGAGCAUGUAGAUGUAAAGCAUCACUACCAUUUCUACAAAAUGCUUUCAUUCUGUUCAGAUGCUCCUCUUGAACUUUGAAAGGUGCCUCAUUCAAGUCCUAGCUAUAACUAAUAGCUCUGAUUGCUUAAGUUCCUGUGCUAGCUGAAACAGAUUUAUUUAAUUAAUUAAUUGUGUAUGUACUAAUUAUAUUGAAAGUAUAUGAAGAAAUUGUUUAACAUGAAUGACUUCUAAAUGACUUAAAAGCCUAAAGGAUAUGUCAAAUAAUGCUCAUUUCACUUGAACGAGCCUAAUACUUUUAUGUCUAUGAUUGUCAAUCUUGCUUAAGUGUUUCAGUUAAGUGGUUUACCUAACAGGGGAAAAAAUUUAAUGGAAAACUUUAGAGUUCGAACAGAAAUAUAGUUGACUGCAGAUAUAGUUAUUUUACGGUACAUAAAUCAUAUUGUCCUAUACUCAAUGUCCUACGACCUAUUUUAUUUUAUAUGGUCAUUCAUUUUUGCGAUGGUUUUUUGUGCUUAUGAGUAUGGAAAUAGUGGGAUUUGGUGUGGCAAACAAAAAUAUACAUAUAAUCAAGUUUCUUAAUCAUGUAUAUUGGUUUUGGGUAUGAAUGUUUUCCUAUUCUAGUUCUAGACAAAGUUUCUUCAUUUUGGUCUUCAGAUUUCCAGUAGGUUAAGUUAAGCAACUAUCAUAACUAGCUAGCUAGUUAUUGCCUGCCUUGUCGCCAUUACCGACGCCAUUACAUUGCAUGGCAUAAGGAAUAGUAACUAGGUGAUUAUUGGUGAUUCCUUGAGUUUAUUAUUGGCCAAACAAACAUAUUCGCCUUUACCCACAACUUAGUUUGAUUAGUUAUUAGAUAAUAAAGAGCCUUAAUCUAUGCAUUGCUUUAUUAUUUUUAUUUGGUUUUUCUUUCAACAAUAUUGUUGAUUUCUUAUAAAAAAUAUUCAUUGGUUUUUAAACACCUAAUCAUUGGCUAUAAUGAAGCUAAUUAAAACGGAGGCUUUGGAUCAAUUUCUGUUAACAACAUACAAAUGAGCAUAACCACCCCCCCCCCCCCCCCCCCAACCACCACCAAAAAAAAAAAAAACCAAAUAGGAAGACUUUGCAAGAUUCACAACCAGGUUACAUUUAAUUUAUUAAUUGUGUGUACGUACUAGUUAUUUGUUGAUAGAAUAGGAAGAAGUAUUUUAAUAUGAAUGGCUUAAAACUUAUUGCUCAGUAAACAUAAUGUGCAUCAGUGCUAGAAAAUGUAUUUAUUGUUUGUAAUUUUUUAUGGUUUUGCUUAAGAAAUGAAAUGUGAAAAAAUGCUACAUUUUAUUAGGAAUAAAUUGAAGAGAUUUAUGAUUUUUAUGUGUUAUUCAAGUUUCAGAUUCAAUUUUAAACUUUUGAUACAUGCAUUGAAAGCUUAAACUCCUUUAAGAAAUUAUUAAUAGACACAUGUUUUAUUAGUGUCAUCUUUUGGAUGAUAGUGAGGAUCUUAUGUCUAUUAAUAAUUCUUGAAUUAUCUAGGCUUGGACAGUUUGGUAAUGCAUAGAUUUCUAUGGCAGCUAGUGCCUGAAAUUUUUUUCCCACGUAAAAAUGGGUUUUUCCGCAGCUGCUCCUCAUGUUCUCUGGGUGCAUACUAGACAAAUGGGUGUCAUGUGUUGUUUUGGCAUAACACAUAAACACUCAUAUAUCUAUGUCGUGUACUUGAAGAACUAUAGGGAGAUGCUUCCGAAGUUUCUAUAAACGUAGAGGAAAACUUUAGAUACUUAAGAUUGAAGAAACUUAUGCAUUCUUGAGUGGGAUAUAUAGGACCACUUACCUUUUGUAAAUAUGAAGGGAAUGUUGGAUAUAUUGAUGGGAGUGGAGGAGCUGAGUGGGAUGAAUGUAAUCGGUUAUGAUUUUGCUGAGUUGACUUGGUUUUGAGUCUUGUAAUUUUGUUUAUAAAUGGAGUACUAUCUCCAAUGUUGGUUUAUAAAUAUGUUUCAGCUGGCUGACCUAAUUUUUUGUUUCUAGGUAACAGGCUUUAUAUAUCUGUAAUUGAUAGCCAAGUGAAGUUCUCAGCAGUGGGUGAGGAUAUUUCUUUACAGAAGGUAUUGCAAACUGUUUUUUAGAUUAAUUAUUAUUGUAUAUAUACUUUAAUUUUCACAUCUUUUUCUCUGAUUCUUGUGGCUUUGCUUGCUUCCAUAUAUAUAAAACCAUAAAAUUGUAUAAUAAUUUUUUUAUUAUAUUGCGAAACUGCGCACACAUGAAAAUAUCUUGUUUAGUAGUAGAAAUGAAGAAUUAAAGUGAUUUAUUUAACUAAUUUUUCUAGUGCAUUAAAAGGAGAUAGUCAUGGACCAGAGUUGGGUUGGUUUGCCAAAUAGAUAUCCAAUUCAUAUACUGAUGGGGUCAAAAAAUUUAUAGAUUUUGCAUUUGAGAAUGUUGUUGGUGAUAAAAGAAUUUAUUGCCCUUUAGAAGUGUCGUAAUAUCGAUAUUUCAUUAUAAGGAAAGUAGCAAGAGACCAUAUCAUUAUAAAUGGCUAUUGGUUAAAGUAUUAAAACUGGAUAUUGGAGGGUGAGCCAUCUUCAUCUUUGAAAUCUAACUAAGAAACAGGUUAGUCAUGACUCGGGUAGUGAUGCUAGUAUGCUUGGAAUGAUGCAUAAUGCAUCACGUAAUCAAAUGUUCAAGUCACACGCAGCAUUGUUAUGGACUAUCUCCGACUUUCUAGCAUAUGCCAACUUGUUUGGGUGGAGUAUUAAAGGUAAAUAAGCAUUUCUUGUUUGCCAACAAAACACUAGAUCUAAUUGGUUGAUACAUAGUAGAAAAUUGUCACGUGGGUCACCGUCGAUUUUUACCAACAAAUCAUAGGUUCCGAAAAUAUAGUGCCAUCUGAUAAAACUAGAGAGUGGGGACAAGCACCUUCUCGGUUGUCUGGAGCCGAGGUGAAAAACCAGUUCAGUAAUGUACUUAAGAUUGAAGACUUGAAAAGAGGAGAAAAGAGGAGAAUGAAUAAAAUGAAAGAAAUGAUAAGAUUACUUGGAAGAAGAAAAGCAUUUUUUAUGAACUAACGUAUUGGGAGUUCAAUUUGAUUCAUCAUAAUCUCGAUGUCAUGCACCGUUUUGAUUUUUGUUAUGAACUCAGAUCAAAAGUUUAAUGUGAUCAAAAUUUCUUAAAAAUAGUGAAAACGACUCCUCCUAAUAAUAUGGAAGAUGGCUAUAAAAGAUAAUUUCUUAAAAGUUUAAUGUGAUCAAAAUUGCUUGUGAACGCAAGGGUUUUAGUUACACUGUCAACGCUGUCAAUGUAGUGAUACAAUGAAGAUGAAGUAAAGCAUUAGUAGAAUAAUGAAGUUGACCAGUAACACAGUAAAGCAAAUUUUAUUCCAGAGCAUGAAAACUUUUAAACAGUAACACAGCUCUUAUUCCAGAGGCUGCACGCGAGUGACCUGAAUCUUCUUCAGAACUUUCAAAUUUUAUCAAGCAAAGCUUUCAAAAUCCUUUGCCUUCCUAAGUUAGGAAAGAUAGAUGUGGAGCAAACUAUUUUUUUUAGAUAUUUUCACUUUGGGCUGUCAGCCCGAGGAAGUAGGGGGGUCUGAGUUAUUCAACUGAAAAUGUCGGCCAAGUUCUUGUGUUAGUUUUAGUAUAUUGUGUACAAAUGAUACACUAACUUGAAUUUAUAUGCUUUUAUGACUAUUUGAUAAUCAAAUGGGUAAAUGACACGAAUAACUUUGAGUUUAAAAAUCUGGCCCUGAUGCCUGGUAGCCCUCCAACCUAUGAAGCACUAGAUGUUUUAAUGAUAAAACGACAAGACCAUUUAUCAAAUUUCUUGUGGAUAUAAAUACAUACACAUAGACGAGACCAACCUCCUCAAAUGAGAAUCAGAGUGAUUACAAGACCUUUCAAUGAGACAAUAAUACACCAUCAAAUCUCAAAAUACAAUAGAAAUUCAUGACAUAUAUAUAAUAAAAGACCACUCAUUGAGUCAUAUAUAUUGAGAAUAAAUUUUUUUUAAUACAUACAAAGAGCUUAGCUAGAAUGAAAUGUCUUUGGACUUGCGAUGAAAACAAAGGAAACAGACAUGUUGCAACUCACACUAUCACAGAUGUAGCGACACAAUGCAGUGAAUCACAAGAAGAUCACGAAGAUGGAAACGGGAACCCCUCAGAAUGUAAACUUUGAAUAGAGGAAAAAAGGAAAACGACCUUAUUCACAGAGGACGAGUGACUUAAAUCUUCAUCAGUAUCCAAACAUUCUGCAAUCAUAGAGUAGAGAAAUUUUAACAGGAACAGCAGAGAAAAUAUUAUGAAUAUGCACUGAUUACGUUUUUUUUUUUAAUUUUUUUAAUCCGAUUAAUGAUAUUCAGCUGUUCUUUAAUUAUGUGUUCAUAGGGAAGAACAUUUUCUAAGUACUUUCCUUGCCUUCUAACUUUCCAAGGAAAUAUAGGUGUGAAGAAAAGCAAACCCAAUGAACAAACAGAGCACAAAGUAAAAUAAAAGAACAGCAAUGAUGACGAUAAAUAAUUGGCAAAGAAAGAAAGGAAAAAGUAUGCACGUUUUCAAGGAUUUAUAAAAUACGAAGGCUUUUAAUGGAAUUUUAUCAUAAAAACGUAUGCAAGGAGUUAUAAAAUUUUAGAAGACGAGGGGAGCUCGCAAAAAAAAAAAAAAAAGACUCAAAUUAAACUAGACUAAAAAGACAUUCAAUUAUGCAAAAUCUGUCCAUAAAAGUCUGAAAGGAUCAUUAAAAUUGCAUUGCAAAUUUAACAGUAAACCGAGGGAUCCAUUCUAAAUAAUUCAGAUGAAAUUGCGAAACAAGCCAUGGGAUUAAAUAAAUGAAAUAAAAAUUAAUUACCAGUUGAGACUUUCUUCUAAAAAUUCGCAACUCCAAGUCAUAAGAAGCCUAUGAAAUUAGUCGUACUGCGUAGAGUAUGACGACGACACCGCCAACAGCUGAAAGUAAAAUUCUUAUUCAUCAAUUUAAACUUUUACUUUAUAAAAAAUAUCUUAUCUAUAUUGUAUUUAAGAAAGCAAAUUUUGUAAAAAUUUAUCAUGGGAGAUAGAGAGUAAUAUGUAUAGACGUACCUUCUCAGCAUGUAAUUGUUGUAUGGUUGUGUUUAGAUCAUUAUUAGCCCAGCGCCGUUGAUCCGCUGUCUCUCCAUAGCAGACGUUUACUCUUAGAGGCAUGAUUGAUUCUCCUGUAGUGAAAAUCUUCAUCUUGGGACAACCAAUCACACACAAAUCUUGCAAAGAUGGGAAUUUGAAGGUGUAAUUGGCAGAGCAGAAACUUGUGAGGCUAUCUAAAUCACGCAGUUCCAACGUCUUCAAUUUGCGGAAAACAAUCUCUUCUUUUUCAACUCCUUCUUUGUCAUUUAUUACCACCUCUGUCAUUGCUCUGCAUUCACGCAUACGCACUGUGACGAGUUGCACUAGAGUUUUUGCUGUGGAGGAUGUUACCAAGUGUAUCAAUUCCUUGCAACCGAAAGCUACAAUUUCGGUUAGGUUCCGAAAAGAUACCGAUGAUGAUGGCAAUAGAAUUAACAGACUUUGACAAUCAUAUACUUUUAGAAUUUCAAGAUACUGAAAAAUGGGGCCAAGUUUGGAGUCUUGUUUGCACAGCUGCUCAAGAUGAUAGUGCUGGUGCAGCUGUAAUUCUUUUAUCAUUGCCAACUUCCCCACAUGUUUCUCUAAGCAUCCUUCCAUCGAAAAUACCUCUUCGUGGAAUGAAAAAUUACACAGUAUGAGUAUUUCGAGACUGUGAAAUCUCUCAAGUACAUUCCAGAUUGGAAAACAAGCUGAGUCAUCGCCACCAAUAUUUAGUUGUUUAAGACUGCCAAAAAGGUGUUGGGGGAAAUCGGCCUGCAAAAUCAUCUUCACGUCUUUUCCAUUUAAUGUUAGGUCCUUCAAGUUGGGUAAGAUCUGAUCAUCAUCAAUCAUAAUAAUUAUUAAGGUCAAUUGAUGUUCUCUCAAAUGAUUUUAAGUAAUCCAAUCACACGCAGUGACUUUAUAGUAUUUGUUUUAUAUUAUAUUUUACACAAAAAAAUGAAUUAUUGAAAAAAAUUAUUAAAUGAUUUUUUAUAUGUUAAUUUUAGAGGUAAAAAAGAAAUUAAGGAAAAAAUUUUGAUUUAUACUGGCUGGAAAUUAUUUUAUUGCACAAUAAUAAAUUACUAAUUUAUUUUGUAAGUUCUUAUAUAUGGAAAGACUAAGUAUCUCCAAAAGGCUCUAUAAAUUUUACUCUUUCAAAUUUCUAUUUGCUUACCUAUGUGGCAAAUAGAAAAGUGAAAAAAUAUGUUAUUCUCCAAAAGACUCUUCAAAUAGAAAUGAAUUAAUAUUAUUUUAAUUAAAUAACUAUUUUUAAAAAAUAAAAAGUCAAUAGUAAUUAAAACACCUCUCUCUCUUUCUCCAACAAAAAGUAAUAAAAUAUAAAUUGAAGAGGGGGAAUGCAACUCUCCAAAUUUGAAGAGAGAUGAUCAUUUCUUAUUUGAAGAAUCUUAAUUGGAGUAUCUUUUGGAACUUUAAAUGCUGAUGUGGCUCUUCAAAUAAGUAAUAAAAUCUUAUUUAAAGAGUCUUUUGGUGAUGCUCUAAGGAUUCUUUUAUAAAUGCUAUACCUAAAAAAGUUCAUAUAAUUAUUAAUCUAUCAAUAAAUCCCUUAGUCUAGACUAGCAAAGAUUAUUGUAUAAUAAAAGUUUUCAAUUUAUUGAGUAUUAAUUUAUUGAUGCUUUGUCAUAUUUUUUAAAGUUCAAACUAAGCUAUUGAUAGAAAUCUAGAAAAUGGCUUCAUACAUUUUCCAACGGCAAUAGGGCCUGUUGUGCAGGAGUAUCAAGUUCAUCAUUCUCAAAAAAAAAAAAAAGAUUGAAUUAUUGAUAAAAUUUAUUAAAUGAUUUUUUAUAUGUUAAUUUUAGAGGUAAAAAAGAAAUUAGGGAAAAAAUGUUGAUUUAUACAGGCUCGAAAUUAUUUUAUUGCACAAUAAUAAAUUACUAAUUUAUUUUGUAAGUUCUUCUAUAUGGAAAGACUGAGGAUUCUUUUACAAAUGCUAUACCUAAAACAAUUCAUAUAAUUAUUAAUCUACCACAUUGAUCCCUUAGUCUAGACUAACAAAGAUUAUUGUAUAAUAAAAGUUUUUAAUUUAUUGAGUAUUAAUUUAUCGAUACUUUGUCAUAUUUUUCAAAGUUAAAAAUAAGCUAUUGAUAAAAAAUCUAGAAAAUGGCUUCAUACCUUUUCCAACGGCAAGGGGGGCAGUUGUGCAGGAAUACCAAGUUGAUCAUUCUCAUUAUUCUGCGAUAAAUCUGCAGCGAAUAUCUUUAAUUUGUCACAACCAUACACAUAAAGAAUUUCUAGCGCGGGCCAUUCCGAAGUAUGCAUUCCAGGGUACAAACAUCUAAGUUUUGGUAGAUCUUGGAGUCUCAGAGUGGUGAGCGGUGGAAAGACAAAAUGAGGGAUCACUUGAUCUGCUCUGUUUUCAGAAAUGAUCUCCUGUAAAUCCUUACAGAAGCGUAUAUCUAGGUGUUGGAGCUGCUUAAGGCUUCCGAUCAUAGACGCUGAAAAUAUGUAUUUUAAUUUAUGACAACGAUGCACAGUCAAUCGUGUUAAAUUUUGAAAGCGAGGAAACAUGACCGGAAGAUUAUUGUAGUGCCAAAUCUUGUCGACAUUAAUUUCAUAUAUCUCCAAAGCCUCCAAGUUAGGCAACGCAACCUAAAAAAAUAAGAAUUUCUCGUUAGAUCCAAUAUCCAUAUGGGAAGCACUUGUUGAAAUUUUCUUCUUUGAUUACAAAUUAAUGCAAGUCUGAAUCAAUUUCCAACUGACAGCUGAGUAUGCAUUCUAAUUCAUACUACUUGUUAAGAGCUCAAUUAGUGAGCGCGUGAGAUUCUUUUUAUCCUUUUUUCCAUUUUCUUUCAAAUCUUUAAAUGAUUUAAUUACGAAAAAUUAAAUGAUUAAGCCCAUUUUAGUUGACCAAUUUUCUUAAUUAUAUGAAUAAAAUCUGUUAUAUAUGAAGAAAAUGUUAGCCUACGCACCUUCUCGUUGAAAAGCAGAGUUGAAGUAUCCAAAGUGAUUUCGCUGGAGCUAUACGUAGUCGUCGAUUCCUCCUGCGACGCUGGUCUGUUUGGUGAUGCUGAAGGAGUCUUUACUUCACGGCAGAAAUUUGUAACCUCUGGAAGAUUCCCCAGACUCAAAUAUCUUAAUUGAGCAAACUCUAUCUUCUCAAUUGCAUUAUCAACUUCUUCCCCAAUUGCAAAAAUCUCUUUCAUCUUGCUGCAAUUAAUAACUGCAAUUCUCUCAAGUCUUGGAAGGCAUUUUGUAGUAGAGAGCCAAAAGAUAUUACUCAAUUUAUCACAACUAUAUGCUUCUAUGGUUUUGAGUUUGUUGAAAGACUCUACUUUGAGCCGAUCAAUACAUAUCCUCUCCAUGUUGAUCAAGUUGUGAAGGAUAAGUGACUCCAAAGGAGGAAAGGCAUCACAAGCGACCAUCUCCCUGGAAUCGACGAUACAAAAGAUGUCAGGAUUAUUUUGAACCCAGAGAAGCUUCAAUUGUGAAAAGCCCUCCGUGUCCAAAUUGAAAAGAACACUCUCGAUGCCUUGCAGCUUGUCCAACCAUAAGCAUUCAACGUUAUUGAUGCCCUGCAAUUUCAUGGAGCAAAUGUCCAUAAAAUCAAGCUUGAGCUUCAAUGCUCUUAAACUCUUGCGAUCUCUGUCGAUCACAAAGUGCUGCCAACUUUUAAACCAUCUGUGUCUAAAAAGCAUGGGAUGUGUGAAUAACCCAUUUCCAAUAUGUAUUUGGAACCUUUCGAGCUUUCUGGCCAAAAAGCCUUCUGGUAAAAUACUAUCAUUUUUAACAUCAAUUUCUAGAGUGGUUAGCCGAGGUAAAUGCAUCAAUUCAUCAAGGCUAGCAUUACUUCUUUUGCUGUUGGCUCUUUCAACCUCCCAUUCAAUGGAGCAAUUACCCAUAUACAAUUCUUCUAAUCGGAUUAAGCUUGAUAUGACAUUUGGGGCAAUAACUUUCAGACGGAAACAGUCUGUUAAAUCUAACAACCUUAGCUUAGUCAGUUGACCGAGUGCUUUAGGCAACUCUACAAUAUCAGAUUCCAAAAAGCUGAUGAUUUCUAGAUUUUCCAACUUUCCAAUAAUGGCUAUGUCUAUGCCUCCCAAAAUGCUUUGAUUAAGACAGAGUGUCUGAAGAUUUACUAGAAGACCAAUUGAAGAUGGCAAUGACAAUAACCGCAUUCUAGUCAAAUCCAAAACCCGAAGCUUUUUCGUCCUUUUGAAGAAGUUCUCAGGAAUAUUAGGCACAGCAAAAGAGUUCUUGGGAGACAUGAGUAGAAGUUCAAGUUGUAGAGAUUCGGACCCUUCAAGAAUGUCAUUAAUAAUACUAUCUUUUAAAGAAAUUGCAAGAUAUUUUUUUAAUUCAUCUGCAUUUGGCCAUUUCCAAUCAUCCUCAUUUCUCACCACAAAUCCAAUUUUGUCACGACAUGCAAUUGAAAUGGCAACAUCGCGAACAACGUCGUGCAUAGAAAAGUAUUUACUGCCACCAUCCUCAAGCAACAAACAAGAGUCUCUUAGUUGAUGGACCCAUGCAUCUAAUUUGUUAUGUGCAUCUUCUAGCUUGUGGACACUUUUAAAUACACCCCAGCCCAUGCUAUAUUUGAACAAGUCCAUAAUUGGUGCUGGCGUAAUAAGACUACACAGUAAAAAAGUUUUCUUGAGUUGCUCACCUCUUAAGUACUUGUAACUCAGCUCAAUUGUUGAGUAUGCCUCUGCUGGUACUCCUUCGUCGAAGCUCGCCUCUGAAGGCGUUCGGAGUUCUUGCAAGGCAUUCUUCCACACAGGCAGCUCUUUUUUUCUCAGUGCCUUUGCUACUGUGAUUAGGGCAAUAGGCAAACCUCCGCAUGCCUUGGCUACACUUGUUGCUGUAGAUUUUAACUCACGAUUUUCAACAUAAUCACCAGCCAUUAUCUUGAACAAACUCCAGGCUUCUUGUUCAUUUAAAAUGCCAAUCGAGAAGUUUUUUUCAGAUCCCAUCCUUAACAGCACAUCAAGAUCUCUUGUUGUGAAUAAUAAUUUACAUCCUCUGUGCUCAACUCCAAAAGGAACUCCAAUAGUCCCCAAAUCAAGAGGUUUCCAGAUGUUAUCCAGAAUCACAAGGAUCUUCUUCUCAUUCUUCAAUCUUUCAUAUAGUCUACUAGCUCUUCUAGACUCAGCUUCCUCGGACAACUGUAGGCCUAACGUUACCGCAAUUUCCUCUUGGAUCUUUUUUAUGUCUGGACUUUGGGUAACCUCCGAAAAAGCCACCAUAUCGUAAAGCUUGUCUUCAAUGGCUCGCCUUGCAAACUCCCGCACCAGUGUCGUCUUUCCAAUGCCGCCCAUGCCGUAGACGCCAAUGAUGCUGACAUCAACAUCGAUCAAUGCAUUUUGUAUGGCCUUCAAAGUAGAAAGUCUUGAUUCGAAGGCCUCGUAGCCUUUGUGAGACUUGAGCCAAAUCUCCUCCGGAAUGGUACGGUAGGAAAUUCUAUCAUCAAAUCUCCCAGCUUCUUCUCGGAGUUUAAAAAGGGCCUCCUUCUCUGUUUCUGCUUUCUUUCCAUGCUGAUAGCGAGUAAUCCAAUUAGGAAACAGCCCCAUGAGACAUCGUUCAUUUGCUUUCUCUUCGUCUUGAAUGAAUUUGGCUGCCUCCUCAAUGCUCUUGUUCGCAUUAACCAGCCAUUUCUCAACCUUCUCUUCAAUCUUUUCACUUUUUCUUUCAGCCUCAGAAACUCUGCGCUGAAUGCUUUCUCUUUCAUCCUUGAGCCCAUCGAGUUCUUCCUUGAGAUUCUCAAAGUUGGCAGCGGAGUUAUACCAAUAACUAAAUUCGCGUUGUGCGUGAGGAGACAAGCAGUUUACAAUGCUUUUCAAAAUGUCCAUUGUUUUUUUGGGUUGGGGGGGGGGGGGGGGGGGGGGGGGGGGGGGGGGGGGGGAGGGGGGGGAAGGGAACGAAAUAGAAAUAGAACAGGGUCAUCGACCGCGCAAUUGAUAAUCAAGUAGAAGCAAAACAAGGCAAAAUUGGAAAAAGAAAUGAUAUUUGUACAAAACAAGGGGAAAAUCAGUGUAACAGAAGAGAAUCAAAGUGUUUUUGAGAUCAGAAAAUUGAAUCAAGAAAAGGGUUGCUUGAUCCAAUGAAAUGCAAACAGCUGGUGGCAAAAGGGAACGAAGCUAAAUAAGAAAACGGCUAGCACGAGCAGUGACCACGAUAAAUAGAAGCAAAGUGUGUAUGAGAUCAAAAGACGAAAAUCAGGAGAGGUUUUCUUGACUGAGAAUUGAAGGCAAAGAGUAGGAGCUGACGAAUACGGGGAUCAAGAGGGAAAAACUGCUUGCUCGUAAAACUACUUUCAAGCGAAUCUGAUAAAAUUAUUUCAAUACUCAUGGGCGACUCCUUUUUAAACUGCAGAAGGAAAAAAAAAAAAAAAAAAAGAGUUCUGAAUUUCAAUAUAUUAAUUUUUAUCCUAAUUUAUGUUGAGAUUCGUAAUCUCGUCUCAAUGAUUAAUUAGUAGAUAUUCUUUCUAACAAAUAUGUGUUGAAUAGAUAUAUUUCUUGACUAUUAGUAAGUUAGAUAUAUUUUGGCAUAGGAAUGAAAGUACCAAGUUGUGUCAUAUUAGAAUAAAAAUUUGAGCUAAAAAUAUUUUUCUAUGACCUUUUAAUUAUUUGUCAGCAAAUAAUUAAGUCAUAUAAAAAAAUUAAUAAUCUGAAUUAGUCUUUAAGUAUUAUAAAUAUUAUUUUUAUUUUUAAUUAUAAUAUCAUUAUUUAAAAAUAAUUGCUUGACUUAUAUUAGUAACAUUACGAUUGUCAUAAAACAUGUGAUCCUGAUCCAAUAUCCAUUAUUUGUGAUCCUUAAUCAAUAAAAUAUCUAACAAUAUCUUCACCUAAAGUUUGAGACAUGUGAUCCUUAUUCCACUGCGUCAAUUACACUCCAGACCAAUGCUGCCGUCAUUAUCGAACGGUCGAUAUCCAACACUUGCACGAAGAUUCCAAGAAGUUGCGUGGCUGCCGACUUUUAGAUGCAAAGCCUCAUUGUGUCGAUGUUACACAAAAGAGAGCAAGUCCGGGUAAUUGCCGAAACUUAGAACUAAACAGUAGCUUAGUCAGAAAAUCAAACGCCAGUAACCGUUAAAAUGACCGAUAAAAAUAUAAAGAAACCAAAGCUUUAAAAGAAAUCAGCCAAAUCACGAAGAUUGAAGAGUAAAUCUAUGGUUUUAGAUUUUUAUUUUAUUUUUUUAGAUAAUAGAUAUUAUUUUGAUGAAUUUUUAAUAUUAGAAUAAUGUUAGGAAUUUCGAUAGUAGAUUUCUAACUUGAGAUCCAAUUGUUAUGUAUCAUUUUUUUAUUGGAUAAUGAAUUUCAUAACUAGUAAAAUUAAUAUUUCGAUCAUCUAAUAAAUGACUAUCAUAUCAGUUGAGACUCAAUUAUUGGGAUCCUUAACAUUGCUCUUACUAUUAAAUUGGACAUCUUAGCUAAAUCAAAUUAGAUUUUAGGCUUUUAUCCAACAUCUCUUUUUUUUUUUUUUUGGUCUAUUUGAAGUGAACGAAAUAAAAAUACAACAGGUUCAACGACUGGGCAAUUGAUAGUCAAGUAGAAACAAAUCAAGGCUAAAUGGGAAAGAGAAAUGAUAUUUGUGCAAAACAAGGAGAAAAUCAGUGUAACUGAAGAGAAUCAAAGUGCUUUUGAGAUAAAAAAAAAUUGAAGCAAGAAAAGGGUCGCUUGAUUGAAUGAAAAUGCUAAGAGCUGAUGGCAAAAGAGAACAAUGUUAAAUAAGAAAACAGCUAGCUCUAGCAGCGACCACAAUAAACAGAAAAGUUGAGAUGGAUUUACAAUAUUUCUGUCUUUCUUCAUGCUUUAACAAAUAUUGCUCUAUAAAAAAAAAUAUUGAGCGUUUUUAUUAUUGGAAUCACAAAAGACCUACACAAUAUAGCAAGUGACUAGGAAUAAAUAAGAAUAUAUAACUCUCUCUCUCAUUCUCACUCUAGCUUUUAAUUGUCACUCAAAACCCAUAAUUCUUCCUUAAAGUGUAAGCAAAUAAGAGAUGACAGCGUCUGGUUGUCAUACGCGCCUUUUAGUUUUCGGAUGACAUGGGGUACACUUCUUCUGUAAACCGAACACGACAUGUCGUACUCUUUGUUUUGAGAUCAUAUUUCAAACUCUUCAUGCUAUGAAUGAAAGAUAAACUACAAUCAUCAAAAUAUUUAGUGUUUAUUUGGUAAUGUAAUGUCAUAGUUGUUGUGAAUUGAAAUUAUUUAUGUAAGAUAAAAGGAUUUGGGUCAUCGUUUGUUAUUCUCUGGCAAUAUUGUUUGGCCGUGACUACUUGAAAUUAUUUCUGUAAGAUAAAAGGAUUUGGGUCAUUGUUUGUUAUUCUCUGGCAAUAUUGUCUGGCCGUGACUAUUUGUUAAAUAUUUAAAAAAUAAAUUUAUAUUUAUUAAGUAUAAAAAAAAUAAACAAACAAAAAUAAAAGGAAAAGUUUAUACAUUACAUAAAAUAAUAAGAACAAUAUCAAUAUUUCACACUCUAUAAUUGAGUGAUGUGUUGUCCAACUGCCAUACUGAUAAACAGUGAACUCGAAACUCAAGUACUACAAGUCGUUUAGAGGAUUCAGUCUCGGAUGACUUGUCACUUGUAGAAGUUCCUGAAGCCAGAACCGACAUAAUCUUAGUCAUCUGUUCUAUCUUUAGUAGUACACGUGGUUUGCACAUGUGUUGAAGCUAACUCUUGCUUGGAUCAAGAAACGACGUCUCUGAGUGCAGUUUCUUAAUCACACUUAAAUCAGCGUGUGACAAGCACGUGAGGCAGAGCUUCUUGGAUAGAUUUGGCGGGAAUGGUAGUUGGCGUAACAACCCAGAAACAGAGGAUAAAAAGGUGCAGGCUUUGUCAUCGUCUUCACAUGAUUUGGGAAACACUGAGAGUAGAGAGAAGAUAGAGAGAGAAAGGGGUUUACAAGUUCUUGUUCUCUGUAAAUCAAUUCCUAUUCUUGUAUUGUUUUGUGAACGAAAUAGUGAAAGACUGUUGCUUUGUUUCCAGUGGAUGUAAGCACCACUUCUUGGUGCUGAACCACUUAUGCUUGGUGUCUUGUUUGUGAUCUUGAAAACUUUGAUUCGUGUGUGUAUUUGUUGCUGAAUAGUCUGUGUUAAUCAUUCUUAAAACCAUCGAUACAGAACUAAGUGUCUUGGGGAGAAUUUGGUUAAUCUUAUCAAAGCCAAAUUCACAACACAUACAUUGGUCCCAAACAGAGACUUAAAUAUUAAAGUCCAAAGUUAUUGUGAUGAUGACUUAUAAUCGCCAAACUUGACAUAGGGGUAAUCAUGCAUUAUAAGGUGCUGAUUUCUUCCGAUCAGAACCUUAUUUUUCAUUUACAAAUAAAUAAAUGAUGUGACUUCACGGUUGGCGGGGUCCUUUGUGUCAUUUGGGCAUUUCACUAAAUGAUUGAUUGCAGCAGGAAGAUUCCUGGAAGUUGCCAUUUGCCAAUGCUACUAACAUUUUCAAACUUGGAAAACCCUUCAAUCAAUCUUUUAGUGGUAGGCUCUGGUAGCUUGGUUUGAUUAUGACAUAUGAUUAUUUGAUAAUAAAGCUAGAGGAUGUAUUAAUAUAAAAUUUGUUUAUUGGUGUUGAAGUUAAUUAUCUCAUUAAUAAUGGUAUAAAAAGUUAAUUACUAAGAAACACAUAGCAGUAUUCUGGGAUAUAAUUUUAUAUCAUAACUUUGUAAGUGUAUAAUUACGCAUUAAAUUAACAAAAUUAUUUUAAAAUAUUUCGUUAGAAAAAAUAAAUUAUAUUCUUUUUAUUUCAAAUAAUCUAUAAGUUAACUCAAAACAUAAUCAAGUUGAGAAUUAAAAUAAUGCUACUGUAUGAGAGGAUUUUUAUUUUUUCCCGAAGUUUCACUAGGAAAUUAUUGAUAUAUAGCUUUAUUCGGAUCAUCUGAGUUCAAACGACAAAUAAUUGAAAGACUAAAGUAAAUAGACCAGCCAACAACUUUGUACAGCAGAGUUCAAAAAUUAAGGUCAUGGUAUUGAGGUGUUUUGUCUUGAAAAGUACGGCAUAAUGAUAAAAUAAAAACUAUUAGUCUUUGGUAAGAUAUAACUUUUAAAUAAUAAUUUUCACAAAAAUACAAAGAAUAUUUUAUAAAGUACUUCUAUAGUGAGGAGACCCUCACUUUGUUAAAGUGAAAAUAUCAAUAAUAUACAAGAAACAUAUAUUCUAACAUAUUGAGAACUGUAUCUUUUUAAUCUAUUAGUGUAUUGAAAUAUGUGUUAUUUAGUUUGUUAGUGAUAUCAUCACUUUGUUAAAAUACGGAUGUCAGAACCAUUAUAUUUUAAAGUUUUACUUCAUUGCUUUAUUAAUCUUAUUACUAUUUCUCCUUUGCACUUCUAAAGAAACCAAUUAACCAAAGCUUUAAAAGAAAUCAGCCAAAUCACGAAGAUUGAAGAGUAAAUCUAUGGUUUUAGAUUUUUAUUUUAUUUUUUAGAUAAUAGAUAUUAUUUUGAUGAAUUUUUAAUAUUAGAAUAAUGUUAGAAAUUUCAAUAGUAGAAUUCUAACUUAGGACCCAAUUGUUAUGUGUCAUUAUUUUAUUAGAUAAUGAAUUUCAUAACUAGUAAAAUUAAUAUUUCGAUCAUCUAAUAAAUGACUAUCAUAUCAGUUGAGACUCAAUUAUUGGGAUCCUUAACAUUGCUCUUAGUAUUAAAUUGGACAUCUUAGCUAAAUCAGAUUAAAAAUCAAAUUAGAUUUUUUGCUUUUAUCCAACAUCUCUUUUUUUUUUUGGGGUCUAUUUGAAGUGAACGAAAUAAAAAUACAACAGGGUCAACGACUGGGUAAUUGAUAGUCAAGUAGAAGCAAAUCAAGGCUAAAUGGGAAAGAGAAAUGAUAUUUGUACAAAAUAAGGAGAAAAUCAAUGUAACAGAAUUACAGAAGAGAAUCAAAGUGCUUUUGAGAUCAGAAAUUGAAGCAAGAAAAGGGUCGCUUGAUCCAAUAAAAAUGCAAAGAGCUGAUGGCAAAAGGGAACAAAGUUAAAUAAGAAAAUAGCUAGCGCUAGCAGCGACCACAAUAAACAUAAAAAGUUGAGAUGGAUUUACAAUAUUUCUGUCUUUCUUCAUGCUUUAACAAAUAUUGCUCUAUAAAAAAAAUAUUGAGCAUUUUUAUUAUUGGAGUCACAAAAGACCUACACAAUAUAGCAAGUGACUAGGAAUAAGAAUAUAUAACUCUCUCUCUAAUUCUCACUCUAGCUUUUAAUUGUCACUCAAAACCCAGAAUUUAUCCUUAAAGUGUAAGCAAAUCAAAGAUGACAGCGUUUGGUUGUCAUACGUGCCUUUUAGUUUCUGGAUGACAUGGCGCACACUUCUUCUGGAAACCCAACACUACAUGUCGUACUCUUUUGUUUUGAGAUCGUAUUUCAAACUCUUCAUGCUAUGAAUGAAAGAUAAUCUACAAUCAUCAAAAUAUUUAGUGUUUAUUUGGUAAUGUAACGUCAUAGUUGUUGUGAAUUGAAGUUAUUUCUGUAAGAUAAAAGGAUUUGGGUCAUCGUUUGUUAUUAUCUGGCAAUAUUGUCUGGCCGUGACUAUUUGUUAAAUAUUAAAAAAAUAAAUUUAUAUUUAUUAAGUAUAAAAAAUAAAUAAACAAACAAAAAUAAAAGGAAAAGUUUAUACAUUACGUAAAAUAAUAAGAACAACAUCAAUAUUUCAUACUCUAUGAUUGAGUGAUGUGUUGUCCAACUGCCAUACAUUGGUCCCAAAUGGAGACUUAAAUAUCAAAGUCCAAAGUUAUUGUGAUGAUGACUUAUAAUCGCCAAACUUGACAUACGAGUAAUCAUGCAUUAUAAGGUGCUGAUUUCUUCCGAUCGGAACCUUAUUUUUCAUUUACAAAUAAAUAAAUGAUGUGACUUCAUGGUUGGCGGGGUCCUUUGUGUCAUUUGGGCAUUUCACUAAAUGAUUGAUUGUAGUAGGAAGAUUCCUGGAAGUUGCCAUUUGCCAAUGCUACUAACAUUUUCAAACUUGGAAAACCCUUCAAUCAAUCUUUUAGUGGUAGGCUCUGGUAGCUUGGUUUGAUUAUGACAUAUGAUUAUUUGAUAAUAAAGCUAGAGGAUGUAUUAAUAUAAAAUUUGUUUAUUGGUGUUGAAGUUAAUUAUCUCAUUAAUAAUGGUAUAAAAAGUUAAUUACUAAGAAACAAAUAGCAGUAGUUAAUUGGUGUCAUAUUAUUGGGAUUCUGGGAUAUAAUUUUAUAUCAUAACUUUGUAAGUGUAUACUUACUCAUCAAACUAAUAAAAUUAUUUAAAAAUUUCAGUUGGAAAAAAUAAAUUAUAUUAUUUUCAUUUCAAAUAAUCUAUAAGUUAACUCAAAACAUAAUCAAGCUGAGAAUUAAAAUAAUGCUACUGUAUGAGAGGAUUUUUAUUUUUUCCCGAAGUUUCACUAGGAAAUUAUUGACACAUAGCUUUAUUCGGAUCAUCUCAGUUCAAACGACAAAUAAUUGAAAGACUAAGCUAAAUAGACUAGCCAACAACUUUGCACAAGAGAGUUCAAAAAUUAAGGUCAUGGUAUUAAGGUGUUCUAUCUUGAAAAGUAUAGCGUAGUAAUAAAAUAAAAACUAAUAGUCUUUGGUAAGAUAUAACAUUUAAAUAAUAAUUUUCACAAAAAUACAAAGAAUAUUUAUAAAGUACUUCUAUAGUGAGGACACCCUCACUUUGUUAAAGUGAAAAUAUCAAUAAUAUACAAAAGACAUAUAUUUUAACACAUUAAAAAUUGUAUUUUUUUUUAUCUAUUGGUGUAUUGAAAUAUGUGUUAUUUAGUUUGUUAAUGAUAUCAUUACUUUGUUAAAAUGAGAAUGUCGUUACUAGAGAAUCAUUAUAUAUACAUAUAUAAAGUGCCUCUGUCCAAGACCUAGACUUUAUUAACAUUUAAGAAAGCAAAUAUAUUUUAUAUGGUAUAAUAGUGUAAUAACAUCACACAAUUAUAUCAUAUAGAGUAAUAGUUUUUCGAACUUUAAUAAAGUUCAAGAUUAUAGAAUGAAUGAUUUUUAUAUAUUAUAAAUUUUUUUAUCAUAAAUGGAGGACAAAAUUAACAUAUUUUCAAAUUAUAAUAAGUAUUUAUCAAAUAAUUUAACAUUGCAAUUUCUCCUAACUAGUAUAGUAAAUAAUACGACCUAGGAGAUACAUUCAAAGCAUUUCAUAAGUUAGUUGUUAAUAAUAAAUGAUAUAUGCAGCUCCAAUCAUCAUUGUACGGUGAGUAAUUUCCAGUUAUAAAUAGAUAUUACUCCCUUCCCAGCAAUUUUUGAUGACUUAAUUUAGUGGGAUCAAAAUCAACAUUGAAUUUUUGACCAGCUGCCAACAACUUGUGAGCAGUUCACAGUGGGUACUGCACAUGAUGCCUGUUUCUCCUUUUGCAUCUAUUUUUGUUGUUAACAUUAAUUUCAAUAGCAGCUCGUUAAUCCCAAUUGUUGAUUUGGGACUAGAUAAGAAUUUAUCUUGGAACUCCAAUUCUCCCAAUUAUUUUAGUUGACAAUAUAUUUAACAUUAUUAAUUGCAUAUUAUUUAAUUAUCAGUAUAUAAUAUUCUUUAAUUUUCUAAUUUUAUAGGAUUAGACACAAAAUUGAUUAUGCCUUUUGAAAUUUAAGGGUUAUGUCAAUUGAAUAGAAAACUUGGAGGUAAACUUGUGGAUGUUUUUGUUGAUUAUCAAUUUAUGCAUGAAUUUUUGUACGUUUACUUUGGUUUAUAAUUAUUACUUUUAAAUAUUUUUGUUGGUUUGAUUUAGGGUCAAUUUGGUAAUCCUGUAGCUUUUAAAAUAAUUACAAUUAGUUAUGCUGUAGAAAUUGAUCAAUCGUCAAGAGAAUCAGCUGAACAUUUAGUAAAAUUUAUUUUUAAAAGUACUUUUAGUUUUAAAAGCGUUGUAUGAAUAAAACUGUUACACUAAAAAUUAAAUGUAUUGCCCACAUGGGUAAAUAAAGCUAUAUAUUACAACUGUUACACUAAAAAUUAAAUGUAUCUUAAACCCAAACUUCUUCUUCCUUUUUUUUUUUACUAACAAAAUUAAAAACAAUAGUGAACACAUUCUUUAAUAAACAAUAAGUAAUAAAUAAAAUCGUGUUAAAUUUCUUAAAAACUUUCUUUCACGGUUUGCUAAAUAUUUUUAUUAGUAUUUUAAAUAAAUAAAAAUAGUUGAUUUAAUUUUUUUAAAUAAACUUAUUAGGUUCAUGUAAAGAUGUUUUUGUUAUUUUAAAAAGUGUAGAAAGUACUCCUAAAAAAAAGCGUAGAAAGUAAAACUUAAUUUUUUAAAUUUAUUUGCUGAGUGCAUAAAUAAUUGAGUGUUCAUAAUGAUUUUUAAAGUAUAGAUAGUCGGACCCUAAUUUUUUAAUAUAUGAAAAUUUUGCUAAUAUGUUAAUGAGAAUUAAAAAGAUAAUUAAGGGAGGCAAUCGAGACAUUCAGGAUAGUUAGGAUGGGACAUGAUUGUGAGUGGUUUGAUAUUGGUCCUAAUUUUGAUCACAAAUAUAUAAACAGGACGAGUUUAUCUCUACUGACAUUCCAUUUGAUAAUUAAGAUGAGAGCGGAAUUGUCAAAUCUCAAAUCAUCCUGAACCAUUGCCAUCAAAGGUACUCUCACUAAUAAUAUCUAAAGAAAAAUCUACAUCUAUUUCAUACUUUUUUUUUUUAAACGGAAAGAGCCUUCAUGGGGCUUGAAAUGUUAUCCCAAAUAGUAUUAAGAAUAUCAAGCCAUGAUUGGGUUUGAGACAAACAAAUAUUACAUAGUUAGGAUACGUAGUUAUAGUGUCCCAAUUUAUGUAGUAUCUAUCAUUUAGUGCACAUAUAAAAUAUUAAUCAGCUUAAUUAAUUUAUAAAAUUUAAAUCUAAUUAAUAAGUGAUACAUAAAAGCCAAGUGCAAUAUUGUAUAUGCAAAACAUGUUUGUGGAUCAUUACAAAACUUGCUCUUGAAAACAAGCAAGAAAGCUUAAUUAAGAACUUAAAACAAAAAGAAUUAGAUUGAAAACAGUCAAGCUUUAUUUUUUCAAGGAUGGAGCUUAUAAAUCUUCAAGUACCAACAUAUGCUUGGCCCAAUUGUUGUUAUUAAAAUUUCAAUAUACAUAUAUAAGUAUGAUAUAGCAAAAAUUUGAUGGUACAUAUCUCGGAAUAUACUAGUUCAUGGAUGCAUUUGAUUAUUGUUUCCAUAAAUUUGAACCGGGAAGGAUGACAUGAUAAAAUUUGAUUUUAUGGUAUGGUUGAUUUCAGAUCUCAUGCCCUCAUUUCUUAAGAUAAUCAAAUUUUCUCUGGCAUCUUUUGCAACUGUGGAAAUAUCAAUUAUGAUCAAUCAAAACGAUUUCAAAACCUUUUAACGAGACAUAUUUAUAAUACAAUAUUGUGAAAAUUACAACAAAAAAUUAAUUUAUUAAAUAAUAUAUUAUUAUCCAACGAGCACACAAAAAUGAAUUCGUACAAAUCUAAAAUACUUAGCAAUUUUCAAAUAGAAUUUACCAUGUACUACAAGAAAAUAGGGUAUAUGUGACCCCUAAUGUGAAUGCAAAUUUGCAAAAGCAGCCAUUACGCAUGCCACUAACUUCUAACUUUGCAACCUCGAGUUGCUUACUUGCUUUUGUUACCCUUUAUGUGACGGCCACACUGCUGUCACAUAUGUUACUAACCACGUGACGGUAAAGAGCCGUUCGGUAUAGCACUAUUUUAGAAAUUUAAAUUUAUUUCCAGUUAGAAAACUAUUCGCUGGAAUAGCCACCAUCGUAAACCUAACUGGUUGCCGGCGAACGGCGUAAAACACCGGGCAUCUUCUUCUUCAUCGUAUUCUCCCUUCAUCUUUUGAGGUAAGCUUGUGAUUAUGAGUUUCUUCUCUGACUUAGCUUGUAAUUAUAGAUUUUGAUUUUUUUUUUUAAAUUCGUAUUGUAGCCAUUAUUGUCAAUUUUUGUCCCGCCAGCAAUAUUUUUUUAUUCCUACAAGUUGAAGCCCCUGUGUUCUUGUUCCAUUGGUGAGUUUGCUCACUCAAAUUAAUUUUGUUCUGCGGAAUUUACAAAGUUCAAAUGGAUUCAUUUGAAUUACUAUUGAAUUUAGCUUUAAUUCCAACAUCCAUUCUAAUGUUUUGCUAUUAGAUUUAGUUUAAUUUUAUGUUUAAAGCAUCUACAAUGAAUAGCGGAGCUUGGGUUUUAGUUUCAUUUUCUGGAUAACUUGUUUUAGUUUAUCUUGUAUGCUCACCAAGUGCUUGUUAUAUUGUCUGAUAAGUUAUAUACAUUGCUGAUUCUAUAUUAAUAAUGUUACGUUCUAUUUUCAGAAAUUAUAAUACAAAAGUUUUUACAAUGGCGUGCAUCUACAAACUGAAUUGACUUGUAGAAUAAGAGCUUGCAGUAAAUGAAAGUUCAUAUUGUGUAAGAGCAUGGAGAUGUAAAGCAUCAUUACCAUAUCUACAAAGUGCUUUCAUUAUGGUCAGAUGCUCUUCUUGAACUUUGAAAGGUGCCUCGUUCAAGUCCUAGCUAUAACUACUAGCUUUGAUUAAUUAAGUUCCAAUACUAGCUGAAACAGAUUUAUUUAAUUAAUUAAUUGUGUAUAUACUAAUUAUAUUGAAAGUAUAUGAAACUUUUUUUUUUUUUAAACAUGAAUGACUUCUAAAUGACUUAAAAACCUAAAGGAUGUGUGAAAUAAUGCUCAUUUCACUUGAAUGAGCCUAUUAAUACUUUCUAUGAUUGUCAAUAUUGGCUUAAGCAUUUCAGUUAAGUGGUUUACCUAACAGAGAAAAAAAUUUAAUAGAAAACUUCAGAGUUCUAACAGAAAUAUAGUUCACUCUGCAGAUAUAGUUAUUUUACGGUAUACAAAUUAAGUUGUCCUAAUCUCAAUGUCCUGUGACCGAUUUUAUUUUAUAUAGUCAUUAAUUUUUGCCAUGGUUUUUUGUGUUUAUGAGUAUGAAAUAGUGGGAUUUGGUGUACCUUAGCAUCUUUUGAAAAUUCUCUUUAAGUAUGGCCAACAGAAAUAUACAUAUAAUCAAGUUUCUUAAUUGUGUAUAUUAGUUUUGGGUACGAAUGUUCCUAUUCUAGUUCUAGACAAAGCUUCUUUGUUUUGGUCUUCAGAUUUCCAGUAGGUUAAGUUAAUCAACUAUCAUAACUGGCUAGCUACUUAUUGUCUGCCUUGGCGCCAUUACCCAGGCCAUUAUAUUGCAUAGCAUAAGGAAUAGUGAUUAGGUGAUUAUUAGUGAUUUGUUGAGCUUAUUAUUGACCAAACAAACAUAUUCGCCUUUGCCCACAACCUAGUUUGAUUAGUUUUAGACCACAAAGAGCCUUGAUCUAUUCAUUGGCUUUAUUAUUUUUAUUUGGUUUUUCUUUCAACAAUAUUUUUGAUUUCUUAUAAAAAUAUUCAUUGGUUUUUAAACACCUAGUCAUUGGCUAUAUGAAGCAAAUUAAAACUGAGGCUUUGGAUCAAUUUCUUCUAACAAGAUACAAAUGAGCAUAACCUUUCUCCUCUAAGUAAUUUUUUUUAAUAUCCUUGAUUUGUAAGGAUCUGGAGGCCUGAAAUCCUCUAGAUUUUUUUUAACACUGUCAAUGUCCUUUUUAUUCUGAAAAGGAAAUAAAAGGUUUUAUCUUUCAUACCCUAAUAGUAGGCUGGCCUUGUCUUAACAUGGCUUCUUGAGGAUUUGCAAGAUUCAUAGUUCCCCCAACACACGCCCCCCAAAAAAAAAGAAGAAAAAGAAAGAAAAAAGAAAAAAGGAAGAUUUUGCAAGAUUCACCACCAGUUUUUUUUUUUAAUUUAUUAAUUGUGUGUACGUACUAGUUAUAUGUUGAAAGAAUAGGCAGAAGUAUUUCAACAUGAAUGACAUAAAACUUAUUGCUCAGUAAACAUAAUCUGCAUCAGUGGGAAAAUGUAUUUAUCGUUUGUAUUUUUUAUGGUUUUGCUUAAGAAAUGAUAUGUGAAAUAAUGCUACAUUGUAUCAGGAAUAAAUUGAAGAGAUUUAUGAUAUUUAUGUGUUAUUCAAAUUUCAGAUUCAAUUUUAAACUUUUGAUACGUGCAUUGAAAGCUUAGACUUGUUUAAGAAAUUAUUAAUAGACACAUGUUGUAUUAGUGUCAUCUUUGGAUGAUAGUGAGGAUCAUAUGUCUAUUAAUAAUUCUUGAAUUGUCCAGGCUUGGACAGUUUGGGAAUGCAUAGUUCUCUCUGGUAGCUAGUAGCUGAAGUUUUCUUCCCACGUAAAAAUGGCUUUUUCGGUAGCUGCUCCUCGUGUUCUCUGGGUACGUACUAGGUGAAUGGGUGUCAUGUGUUGUUUUGGCAUAACGCAUAAACACUUAUAUAGCUUUGUCGUGAGCUUGGAGAAUUAUAGGGAGAUGGUGCUGAAAUUUUUAUAAACGUAGAAGAAAACUUUAGGUACUUGAGAUUGAAAAAACAUAUGCAUUCUUGAGUGGGAUAUGUAGGAUUUAUCACUUACCUUUGGUAAAUAUGAAGGGAAUGUUGACUCCUUGAAAUAUGCCCAAACCCAUGGAGUAUCUAAAUAAGUCUGAAAACCAAACACUGUUACCUACUAGACGACAAAGCAGAAAAAUUUUCUUGACUCGCUCACCUUUUAAAUAAUUGAAACUCAGCUCAAUACUUGAAUAAGUUUCUGCAGGCACAUCUUCGAAGUUUACCAUUGAAGGCGUUCGGAGCUCUCGCAAGGCAUUCUUCCAUUCAUGGAGACUCUAGUUUCUCAGUGCCCUCAACGCAAUGGGCAAACCUCCAUAUGCCUUAACUACAUUAAUUGCUGUAGACUUGAACUUACAAUUUUCAACAUCAUCACCAUUCAUUAUCUUAAACAAUCUCCAGGCUUCUUGUUCAGUUAGAUUGCCAAUCAAAAAGUUAUCUUUGGAGUCCAUACUUAAAAGCACAUUAUUAUCUCUUGCUGUCAGCAAUAGUCUACAUCCUUUAUGAUUAUUUCCAAAAGGAAUUCCAACCGUCUCCAAAUCAAGAUGUUUCCAGAUAUUAUCUAGAAUCACAAGAAUCUUAUUCUCACUCUUCAAUCGUUCAUACAGCCUACUAGCUCUUCUAUAUUCAGCUUCAUCGGACAACUCCAGACCUAACUUCUCUGCAAUUUCCCCUUGAAUCUUUUUUAUCUCUGGAGUUUAUGAAACCUCUGAUAAAACCACCCCAUAAAACAGCUUUUUUCCCUGGCUUGCCUAGCAAACUCUUUCACCAGUGUGGUCUUUCCAAUGCCGCCUAUGCCGUACACCCCAAUAAUGCUGACAUUCGCCUCCGUCAAUGCAUUUUUAAUAGACUGCAAAGUAGAAAGUCUUGAUUCGAAGGCCUCGUAACCACUGCUAGACUUAAGCCAUAUCUCCUCCGGAAUGGUACGGUGGGAAACAGUAUCAAACUUCUUAACUUCUUCUCCAAGUUCAAUAAUGGCCUUCACCUCCGUCUCUGCUUUCUUGCUAAGCUGAUAGCGACUCUUCCAAUGAGGACUCAAGCCCUUGACACAGCGCUUAUUCGUUGACUCCUCAUCUUCAAUGAAUUUGGCUGCCCGGUCAAUGAUGCCGUUCGCACUUCGCAGUAACCAGCCACUUUUCAACCUUCUCUUCAAUCUCUUCCCCUUUUUCUUUCGCCUCUGAAACCCUGCGCUGAAUGCUCGUAUGUUCAACCUUCAACUUCUCCAUUUCCGCCUUGAUAUUCUCAAAGUUGGCAUUGUAGUUCCAAAUAAACAAGUUGGCGUGCAGUUGGAGGAGCCAAGCAUUUUACAAGUUCCAAGACGAUAGUCACAAUGAUUUCCAGCAUCUCGAAUCCUGACAAAAACGUAGAAGCGAAGAAAGCCAAAGGAAAGUAAAAACAAAGAGACAGCGAUAGGACAAGCAAUUGUGUUUUUCAGAUGAGAUGAAGGAAACAAGAAAAGGGUUUCUAUCACGACGUAAAGAGCUAAAAGAGCUGAUGGGUACAGAAUAAGAAAUGAGACUGAGGAGUGAGCAAAGCUAAAUAAUAACAGAACAAGAACAAUGACGAAUAGAAGAAACAGUAGCAAAGAGCCGUUUAGAUGAUUAGAAUGAAACUAAGCGACUGGAAAUAGUAGAUGGUAGACUAAAGAGAAAGUGAUUGAUUAUUUUAGGAGGCCAAUUAACGUAAUGACAGAUCCGGUUUCGAUGUUUGUAAUUUGAGUAUGAGGUAAAUCGAUUCUUUGUCGAGCCAGUCAAAUACAAAGGCAAAUUAGUAAAACACGAGCCAGCAACUUUUACUCACACAAAAGCCAAUAAUAUAUUGAGAUCACGCAACAUUGCAAUAAAGUUAUCAUCAAGUUGUAGCCUUCUUAUUCAAUCAAUUAUGGCAUUAUCUCUAGCUCUGUAUUUUUCAAAAAAAAAAUUAUUAUUCAAAAGAUGUCUGUCAUUAAUUUUUCAAUGAUUAAAAUUAUAAUUUUUGUUUAAUAUAUAUAACGUAAAAUUUUAAAAGAAUCAGACAUGCAUUAGGGUUAAAAUAAAAAAUAUGGAGGUAGCUUUUAACUAGGUAAUUGGCUCAACUAUGGAUCAGUGUGAGAUCACUAUUUUUCUUAUUAAAAAAAAUUCCAGCCAAACAAUUGUCGCAAAAUCUUAAUAUAAAUUACAAAAAAAGACAAUAUUUUCUAAAAUCAUAGCAAUAAUUUAUAUUUUGAAUACCUGUAAAUAAACCACUUAGAAAGCUUUCGAAACACGAAUAUUGUUGUCGUUUUUAAAGACUUGACAUUUUGGGUAAUCUGAAUUAACAAUGCACAUCACUUGUUUGUCACAAUGUCCAAAUAAAUAAUUUUAAAAAAAAGUUAUUUUCAUUCUUUCUUUUCAGGUAUCCUAAUUCCUUUUGCAGUUUGAUUCCUCUUUUCCUGAAUUUCACACAGCGCACCCACAUUUUUUGACCAUGUGCACCUCCCCCUAUUUCUAUUAAAAAAUCAACUAAUCUAACUGUUUAGGCUGUUAUAAAUUUAAAAGACUAUACUACCCUUAUUUUGAAUGAAUUGGGUAUAUAAGUACUAAAAUACCCUUACAACUAAUAAAAUUUAAAUCAAAAAGUAAAAAUUUAUUAUAAUAUUUUUAAAUUUAUAUGUAUACGAUUUUUUCCCGGAUUACAAACCCAAGAUUAUAAACCUAGUAAAUUACAAAAUCAGAGGCAAAGCAUGAUUCCAAUGUGAAAGAAAAAAAUCAAACACACAUUCAUCAGUACAUUACAAAAUAAAUCCGAUAAUCCCACCAAAACAAAUAAAACCCAAUAGAAAGAAACCCUAAACUAAUGAUACCAAAAUCCCUGAGAGCAAAUUUCAUUGUAAAAUUCUAUUACAAAAUAAAUUCAUACUAAGAAAAUUCAAUAAAAAGAAACCCAAUAAUCAAAAAUCUUAAAACUAAAGAUAUCAAACCCAAAAUUAAAUUAUAGAGGUGGCGAAAGAAAAAGGGUUUUUUUAAUUAUAUAUAUUAUUUUAAUCUUGUGUUAAUUACCAUUCUACCCUUCUUUCCGUUAACAUUAGAUUUGAAAGAAAUGAGGGUGGUGGACAUGGUCUGUAGAUUGGGGGCACAAUGCAAAAUGUCAAAACAAUUGGGGCUAAUGCUAAAUUACACAUUAUUUAAAUUAAAUUAUCCUAAUUGUAUUUUUAUUAAUUAAUUAACAAUUAGUUUCAUUACUAUGAUAGUUUUGUCACUAUGUUUGUUACCAUCUCUCAAAAAAAAAAAAAAUUACUUUUACAUGUCGAAUUGUGUAACAACGAUUUAAUGAAAAAUUAGAAAACAGCACGACAUCUCGUGGCUUAACAUGGUCAUCAUGAAUAUCCCUUAUUAUUAAAAAAUGAACAAACAAACUCUUUUUUAAUACAUGUAGUCCUUUUUUUUAUAUUUCAAAAUAGUUAAACAGAUCCUGAAUUUGUGUGUUCCUCAAUAAAUUUUCAUGAUCAUUUUUUAAAAUAAGGGAUUUUUGUGAUUAUUUUGCCACGUCCAAGGAUGCCGCUGUUCUUGUCACCAAAAAUUAUUCUCAUAAGAGUCAUGAUUAAUUGGACGUCAGCAAUGAGGGCAUGUAAUGAAAAAAAUUUGUUUUGCAUGGGAUCCAAUAAUUUUAAUUACAAUGGUGGUGACAGACCCAGCUGGAAAAUCAACUGAUUUUAGAAUUCUGUUGAAAAUUCUUUAAAUGAUCACUAUAUCUCUAGUUCGAUUAUAUCCUUAAGCUCAUUGAUUCUUUUGUAUUGAUUUUGUUACUUCUUUUCUAAGAAAUAUUAUAAGAACUGCUCAGGCUGUAAGAUUGAUAAGCUUAAAGAGUCGGAACGAGGCUUACCAGUUCGUAAGCUUUUAAUUAUUUGGAUUGCUGUGCUUGCAACUGGUAAAUUUUUCAACUUCAACUCGAUAUAAUGAUUUUGGAGAGAACCAUUUACAGUGAUUUUCAAUUCUUUUGUGAUUUUUUUUUUCAGUUCUGCCAGUCUCAUCUCUCUUUCCCUUCCUUUAUUUUAUGGUGAGUGGAUUAUUAUUGCCUUCAGCGCAGUGGUUAUUAGUGAGAAAAUUUAUAUUUUCCUAUCAAGCUUGGUGAUUUUCUGAGAAAUAUAAGAAAAGACAAGUUUUAUAUGUCAAAUAAUUCAUUGCUUUUUCACAGCAGUCAUUUAUGAUUUCUUUUCAGAUUAGGGAUUUUCACAUUGCAAAAAGGGAGGAAGAUAUUGGAUUCUAUGCUGGUUACGUGGGUGAGUUAUUCUAUGUUUUUUUUUAUCGUAUUUAAUAAAUGACACACAGUAUGGAGUCCGUCUUGGGUACGAAUGUCCACACCUUAUAAAGUGCUGACUCACGCCUUUACAACUCUGGGAAGACAUUCUACCGAGACUUUACAUCACUGUAAACGCACUGUACAAGAGCUUUACAAUACGGACCCGCGUCUUUACAACUUUAAAGGGCCAAGUCUAUGCUUUAAAAAGUACAUAUGUUCGCACCUGGAAACGAUUUACAUAUGUAUGUAUAUAUGUAUAUAUGUAUGUAUGUGUGUGUAUAUAUAUGUAUGUAUGUAUGUGUGUGUGUGUGUGUGUAUGUAUGUACGACCAAUAAAACAGUUCAAAUUCCUCGAGAAGUUAUCCUAACAAGCAUCUUAAUACCUUGAUGAAAUUGAAGGGUCUUAAUACAUGCUUGGCAGAGCUCUAACAUCUGUUUUGUGGGGAAUGGUGGCUGACCGCUGUGGUCGAAAGCCUGUAAUAAUAAUAGGAAGCAUCACAGUGUUAGUGACUUCUAUUUUCAUAUGAUCAAGCUUGAAAUUGAUGAUACUUCGGCAAUUUCUGGAUUUCUUGUCUGUCUUAAAAUGCUCACAGGGUUAUUUUUAACACUCUUUUUGGGCUUAGUGUGAAUUUCUGGAUGGCCAUAGCUACAAGGUUUCUCCUUGGGGCUUUGAAUGGUUUACUUGGACCAAUAAAGGUAUUGAUUGGGGGUAUUUGUUGAUAAUUCCAAUUUAAUUCCUGCAAAUAUUUGUGCUCAAACUUCUCUUACACCACGAGGCAUAUGCAUGUGAAAUAUUGCGCGAUCAGCACCAAACUUAUUACGAAACCAAAAAUGUUACUUGUUUUCUGUACUUGCUUUCGCAUGCAUCACCCCCACAAAACUGCUUGACGAUUGUCCUCAUUUUGAACUUACUAUAGGUUUCAUUCUCCUUGUUUUUCAACUUACUCUGUACCCUUACGUCGAGAGGAUUAUUGGGCCAAUAAUCAUAACACGAAUUGCAGGGGGUAAUAUUUUGAACACCUCAUGCGGCAUUUGGACCAUUUGAUAGUUUGUUUCAAACAUAUCUGUUUAUAAAAUACUUUUCUUCAUGGUUUUGGUCCCAUAACUUUCUAUGUAUGUACAGGUUUUAUCGAUACCGCUUUUGACAAGUUACACUUACAUAGCAAUGCUAUCUGGGUUCAGCCUUGCCUUUUUGAUAAACUGUGCUUCUGUGAUGAAGAAUGUUUUAUCUGUAAGUGGAUAUCCUAAUCAUUGAUCCAUAUACUAAGGUUAUAUUAUCCAUCAGCAAGUAUGUAUAAAAUUAUUUUGUCUUUUUUAUUAGAAUUUUUGUAAUUCUUUUUUACUUUUCCUGAAUUGUAGCAUCAGGUGUCUAUAAUAACUGGAUCGUUCCUUCUGCAAAUCAGAGCAGUGGUAAAUAUAUUUUCUUUUGUUUGUUUAGUACAUUUCCAUGCUUUCAGCUUUUUCAAAUUUUGUAUGUGCCAAAGUUUAAAUUAAUUGGUUGGUUUAUGGUAUAAUAACAGGUAUGAUAAUUUACUAAUGAAAUUUCUCACUAGUUUGUGAAUUACUUGGUGCUAAUUAGCUUAAUCAGCUGCUUAAACUAAAGUGCAGGUAACCAGAUGAUUUUUUUCAUUCUGAAUUCGGUGGAGGCACUUGGAGUAAUAUUGACAUUCAAACCGUUUCUAACUCAACGUGCCCCGUGAGUGGAGAAAAGAUGCAUCUGUUGAAAUAUUCAAAUAUAUAUCAAGCAAAUUAAAGCUUUCAAAAUCUUUCAACAAUUUGAUUGUUUGAUGUGGUUGCCACUUGCCAUAUUUUGUGUUACUUUUCUAAAGGCUUAAAUAUGAAAAUGGUUGUUGGUGCUCACGCCAAUUGAUUGCUGGUAACAUUAAUUGUGCAGUACUUGUCAGAACUACCACAAUUUAUCUUCACAAUGAUGCUAGCUAGAAAGAAAAUUUCAUGUUAAGUAAAAUAUUGAAGCCAUAAAGAGUCUUAUUCCAGAGCCUCAUUAAGUACUAAGUUUUCUGCCAUGCUUUCAAAGUUUACAAAUUCGAAGCUUGGGGAUUCUGUAACAAUGGAGGAUAAAAAUUAUAUAAGAAUAUUUUUUGUACAAUUUUCAUACGACCAGACAGAAGCGAGCAUAAUUUUUUGAUCAUAACUCAGAUCAAAAGACCUUCAAUGAUGUAUAAUAUGCACAUAAAGCUAGCUCAGAACCAGACAUUAAAACUUAUGAUGAAAGGGAAACAUAGAUGUUGAGAUUGAAAACAUAGAGAAAUUUUUUUAAAAAAUCUGAAAUUUUAUUAAUAGAAGUUUGAAUAACAAAAUUAGGGUAUUGGACCCUUUUUAUACAAAUUCUAAAUAUUAUGUAUUUAUCAAAAUAGGCAAACUUGAAAUAUUAUUACAUAAUAACGUUCUCCUAACUGAAAUAAAAAAAAUAAAACAAAUCAUACUUAAAAUCUUAUAUUUAGAGAAAAAAUAUAAAAAUAUUGAAAAUAAUAAGAAAAAUAAGAAAAUAACUUAAACUUUGUAAAAUAACUACGAAAUAAACAGAAUUUCUUGCCGAAUAGAUACCCGCUCAAGUUAUGAUCUAGGAGUGAUAUCCUACUCAUCCUAUGCAACCAUCAGCUGCAUCAACUUCAUUCCAAAAUUAACAAAUAAACCAACUGACGCAUUGCAAAUAAUAAGAUGAAACGAUAAAAUAAACCUAGAGAUCAAACAACACAAGGUAAUAUAUUAAAAAGCCUAUGGGAUCAAAACACAUCGUACUAUGUCGAGAGAGAUGACGACUCCUCCAACAGCAGAAAAUAAAUUCUUUCAUUCAUUAAUUUAAAGUAAAUUUGGUGCUCCAUCUUCUUCUCCGUCACCUAUUACCACCUCUGUCAUUGCCCUGCAUCCAGCUACCUUCAUUGAUACGAGCCGCACUAGACUUUCUGCUGUAGUGGACGGAUGUUACAAUUCCUUGCAAUGGAAAAUCAACAGUUCUGUUAGAUUCCCAAAAGAUAUAGAUGAUCAUGGGAAUAGACUUAAAUGCUUGUAAAAUAGUCGUAGAAUGUCAAGAUAUUUAAAAUGGAGUCCAGUUUGGAGUUGCUUCAAUGAUUAAGUCUGGACAGGAUUAACCAUUUUAUCAGUGCCUACUUCCCCACUUGUUUUUAGCAGUAUCCGGCUUGAUUUAAGAAUCUCUUUGUAUGAACUAUAUUACCCAAAAAAAAAAAAAAUCUUAUUUCAAAUGAUGCACAGGAGAAGAGUUACUUGAAUCUUCAUCAGUAUCCAGACAUUCUACAAUCACAGAGUAAAGAGUUCUAGCAGGAAAAACUGAGAAAACAACGUACUUCUAUAGUUUUUCACAAUAUUUCCAACGUUUUCAAACAAUAUUUCCACAAUAUAGUUUUUCAUAGCGAAGAGUUUUGCUUUGGUGGUCUAAGGAUUUGUUCUAGGCAUAAUGCUCUGAUUAGAUUUUGUUUAUUUUUAAUUUUUUAUCCGAUGAAUGAUUUUCAGCUGGUCUUAAUUAUGUGUUCAUAGGGAAGAGCAUUUGGAAAGAUCAUCAAAAAAAAAAAAAAAAAAAGUUUCCAAAGAAAGAUAGGUGUGAAGCAAACCAAACUAAAUGAACAAACUAAAAUAACAGAACAGCAAUGAUGUUUUCAAGGAAUUAUAAAAUAUGAAGGCUUUUAAUGAAAUUUUAUCAUACAAAGUAUGCAAGGAAUUAUAAAAUUUUAGAAAACAAGGGGAACUCUCAAAAAAAGAAAAAAAGAAAAAAAUACUCAAAUUAAACUAGACUAGAAGACAUUCAAUGAUGCAAAAUCUGUCCACAAAAGUCUGAACGAAUCAUUAAAAUUGCAUUCCAAAUUUAACAGUAAGCCGAUUGACCCAUUCUAAAUAAUUCAUAUGAAAUUGCGAAACAAGCCAUGAGAUCAAAUAAAUGAAAUAAAAAAUAAUUACCAGCUGAGGCUUUCUUCUAAAAUUCACAACUCCCAAGUCAUAAGAAGCCUAUGAAAUUAGUACUGGGUAGAGAUCGCCGACUGCACCGCCAACAGCUGAAAAUAAAAUUCUUAUUCAUCAAUUUAAACUUUUACUUUAUAACAAAUAUCUUAUCUAUAUUUUAUUAAAAAAAAAAAUUGUAAAAUGUUUCCAUGGGAGAUAGAGAGUACUAUGUAUAUCCGUACCUUUUCAGCAUGUAAUUGUUGUAUGGUUGUGUUUAGAUCAUUAUUGGUCCAAAGCAAUCGAUCCUCUGUCUCUCCAUAGCAGACGUUUACUCUUGGAGGCGUGAUUGAUUCUCCUGUAGUGAAAAUCUUCAUCUUGGGACAACCAAUCACCCACAAAUCUUGCAAAGAUGGGAAUUUGAAGGUGUAGUUGGCAGAGCUGAAACUUGUGAAGCUAUCUAAAUCAAACAGUUCCAACGUCUUCAAUUUGCUAAAAACAAUCUCUUCUUUUUCAACUCCAUCUUUGUCAUUUAUUACCACCUCUGUCAUUGCUCUGCAUCCACAUACUUGCACUUUGACGAGUUGCACUAGAGUUUUUGCUGUGGAGGAUGUUACCAAGUGUAUCAAUCCCUUGCAACCGAAAGCCACCAGAGCUGUUAGGUUCUGAAAAGAUACCGAUGAUGAUGGCAAUAGAAUUAACAGACUUUGACAAUGAUGUACUUUUAGAAUUUCAAGAUACUGAAAAAUGGGGCCAAGUUUGGAGUCUUGUUUGCACAGCUGCUUCAGAUGAUAGUGCCGGUUCAGCUGUAAUUUUUUUAUCAUUGCCAACUUCCCCACAUGUUUCUCUAAGCUUCCUUCCUCCGAAAAUACCUCUUCGUUGAAUGAAAAAAAACACAGUAUGAGCAUUUCCAGAUUGUGAAAUCUCUCCAGUACGUUCCAGACUGGAAAACAAGCUGAGUCAUCUCCAGCAAUCUCUAGUUGUUUAAGACUGCCAAAAAGGUGUUGUGGGAAAUCGGCCUGCAAAAUCAUCUUCACAUCUUUUCCACUUAGUGAUAGUUCCUUCAAGUUGGGUACGAUCUGAUCAUCAUCAAUCAUAAUAACUAAUGAGGUCAAUUGAUGAUCUACGGUCACACGCAGUGACUUUAUAGUAUUUGUUUUAUAUUAUAUUUUUUUAAAAAAAUUGAAUUAUUGAUAAAAUUUAUUUUAUAUGUUAAUUUUAGAGGUAAAAAAGAAAUUAGGGAAAAAAGGUUGAUUUAUACUGGCUCGAAAUUAUUUUAUUGCACAAUAAUAAAUUACUAAUUUAUUUUGUAAGUUCUUCUAUAUGGAAAGACUAAGGAUUCUUUUAUAAAUGCUAUACCUAAAACAGUUCAUAUAAUUAUUAAUCUACCACAUUGAUCUCUUAGGUAAUGUUUAUAUAAUUAUGGCAAGGCAUGAUUAAAUUGAUCAUUUGUUUGGUAACAACUUUAUUAAUCGGGUUCUGGCAGAUUUUCUUGGUCACAAAAGCGUCAAGAUGCUGGUUUCCUCCCAGGUAUGAUGAUAUACUAAUGAAAAUUCCCACUAGUUUGUGAGUUGCUUUGUGCUAAUUAGCUUAAUUAGCUGCUUAAAUUAAAGUGCAGAUAACCAGGUGAUUUUUUUCAUUCUGAAUUUGGUGGAGGCACUUGGAGUAAUAUUGACAUUCAAACCGUUUCUAACUCAACGUGCCCCGUGAGUAGAAAAGAUGCUCUGUUGAAAUAUUCAAAUAUCUAUCAAGCAAAUUAAAGCUUUCUAAAUCUAUCAACAAUUUGAUUAUUUGAUGUGGUUGCCACUUGCCAUAUUUUGUGCUACUGUUCUAAAGGCUUAAAUAUGAACAUGGUUUUUGGUGCCCACGCCAAUUGAUUGCUGGUAACAUUAAUUUAUCUUCACAAUGAUGCUAUCUACAAAGAAAUUUUCAUAUCAAGUAAAAUAUUGAAGCCACAAAGAGUCUUAUUCCGGAGCCUUAUUAAGUACUAUGUUUUCUGCCAUGCUUUCAAAGUUUACACAUUCGAAGCUUGGGGAUUCUGUAAUAAUAGAGGACAAAAAUUUUAUAAGAAUAUUAUUUUGUACAAUUUUCAUACAACUGACAAAAGCAAGCAUAAUUUUUUUAUCUUAACUCAGACCAAAAGACCUUCAAUGAUGUAAAAUAUGCACAUAAAGCUAGCUCAGAACCAGACAAUAGAACUUAUGAUGAAACGGAAACAUAAACGUUGAGAUUAAAAACAUCGAGAAACACCCUUUCAAAAAAAAAAAAAAAAAAUCGAGAAACACAGCUUUUGAAAAGUCUGAAAUUUUAUUAAUAGAAGUCUGAAUAACAAAAUUAAGGUUUUGAACCCUUUUUAUACUAAUCCUAAAUAUUACGAAUUUAUUAAAAUAAGCAAACCUGAAAUAUUAUUACAUAAUAAGGUUCUCCUAACUGGAAUAAGAAAAAUAAAAUAAAUCGUAUUUAAAAUCUUAUAUCUAAAAAUAAAAUAUAUAAAAAUCUUGAAAAUAAUAUGGAAAAAUAAGAAAAUAUCUUAAACUUGUAAAAUAACUAUGAAAUAAACAAAAUUUCUGGUUGGACCAUGAGGCCAAUAGGGUGUCAUAGUAUUAGAUUAAUGGUAUAUUAUACGCCCUAGAUAGAUACUAUAGCUCAAUUUAUGAUCUCGGAGUGAUAUCCUACUCAUCCUAUGCAACCAUCGUCUGCAUCAACUUCAUUCCAAAAUAAACAAUAAACGAAUUGACGCAUUGCAAAUAAUUUAGAUGAAACGAUAAAAUAAACCUAGAGAUCAAAUAAAAUGAAAUGAAAAUGAUAGUUACCUCGGACUUUCUUCUUCAAAUUUCGCAGCACUAUGUAAUAAAUUAAAAAGCCUAUGGCAUCAGAACAUAUCGUACUGCGUCAAGAGAGACGACGACUCCUCCAACAGCUGAAAAUAAAUUCUCUCAUUCGUUAAUUUAAAGUAAAAUUUGUAAAUUUAGGUACUUGCUGAAGAAACGUGUUUUCAUUUCUUAAAUAAAGCAUUAUACAUUGAGAGUUAUUUAUAGAUGCAGAGGCUACAUUUUUUCAAAGAUUACAUAUGUGAAUACGGAAGGAAAUGUGUCAAUCCGUUCGGCGCGAAUCAUCCGUUCGGCGCGAAUCUUGUCUUUGACAAGUGCAGAUUACCCCUUUGACAAGUGCAGAUUCUGUCUUUGAAAGCUUCAUUCAAUGUCGUUUUAUUUGAUUUUCAACACUCCCCCUCAAGCUGGUGCAUAGAUGUCUUUCAUACCCAACUUGUCUAGGAAUUUUGUAAAUGCCCUGCUUGAAAUGGCCUUCGUUAAAAUAUCUGCAAGUUGAUCUUCUGAUCGAAUUUUCGGCAGUUCUAAGAUUUUUUCAUCUAAUUUCUCCUUGAUGAAAAAUCUAUCUACCUCCACAUGUUUUGUUCGAUCGUGUUGAACUGGGUUAUGAGCAAUAUCUCGUGCAGCUUUGUUGUCACAGUAUAGUUGUAUUGGUUGUUGUGAUGGAUAGCCCAUAUCGUUUAAGAUAAAACUUAUCCAUAGCCCUUCACAUAUCCCAAGGGCCAUGCCUCGAUAUUCUGCUUCAGCGCUCGAACGGGCAACGACAUGUUGUUUCUUGCUUCUCCAUGUGAUAAGGUUUCCUCCCACAAAGGUAAAGUAUCCUGAAGUAGAGCGUCUAUCACUAACUGACACGGCCCAAUCUGCAUCAGUAUAAACUUCUAUGUUGCUGUAAUCUUCAUUUUUGGAAAGUAAGAUUCCUUUUCCUGGAUUUGUCUUCAGGUACCUCAGGAUCCGCAUUACUGCUUUCAUGUGUUGUUCUCCGGGAUUAUGCAUAAACUGGCUUACAACACUCAAUGCAUAAGCAAGAUCUGGCCUUGUGUGGGACAAGUACAUCAAUCUUCCAAUCAGCCUUUGAUAUCUUCCUUUGUCUACUGGAACUUGGUCUGAAGUAAUACAAAACUUCAGUCCUUCUUCUAUUGGGGUGUCAAUAGGCUGACAAGCUGUCAUUCCCGUUUCGUGCAAUAGAUCUAAGGCAUAUUUCCUUUGAGACAGAAAGAUUCCUCCCUUAGAUCGAGAAACCUCAAUUCCAAGAAAGUAUUUUAAGGCACCUAAAUCCUUCAUCUCAAACUCUCUUGACAAGUACUUAUGAAGAGCCUCUGUUUCUUCCUCGUCGUUGCCUGUAACUACCAUAUCAUCCACAUAGACAAUAAGGGCAGUGAUUUUACCUUGUCGUUUUUUAAUGAAUAAGGUAUGAUCUGAAUUGCUUUGGUUAUAUCCAAAACGAACCAUAGCCUUUGUGAAUUUCCCGAACCAUGCUCUUGGGGAUUGCUUCAACCCAUACAAUGAUUUCUUCAAUUUGCAUACUUUCUGAUUGAGUCGUUCUGGUCCACUGCAUCCUGGUGGCAGAUCCAUAUAAAUUUCUUCAGACAGGUCUCCAUGGAGGAAAGCAUUCUUUACAUCGAACUGUUGCACUGGCCAAUCCAAGUUGACUGCUAAUGAUAAUAAGAUACGAAUAGUAUUAAUUUUUGCUACCGGUGCAAACGUAUCAGUAUAAUCAAUCUCGUAGGUUUGGGUGUAACCCUUAGCUACGAGUCUUGCUUUGUAUCGUUCAAUAGAGCCAUCUGCUUUGUAUUUUAUAGUGUAGAUCCAUCGACAACCCACUAGUUUCUUUCCUGGUGGAAGAUCAACUAGUUCCCAUGUUUGAUUUUUCUGAAGAGAUCUCAUUUCAUCAUUCAUAGCCGCUUUCCACUUUGGAUCUUUUAAAGCUUCCUGCACACUGUUAGGAAUAGAUACAGCAGAUAAUUGAUUCACAAAUGACUGAUUUGAUUCUGACAAGCAAUGGUUAGACACAAAAUGACUUAUAGGGUAUUUGACUAUACUAGAGAAGUCAGGCUCAUAUGUGGGUUUAGGGAUACCUCUAUUUUGACGCUGGGGAAGAAUUCUUCUGAUUGGACUUGUGGUAGGAACAUCCUCUGCAGACGAUUGGUUAGGUAUUUCUUCAUGUGACUCAUUCUCGAUUGCAGUUGUGUCUGAGUUAUUGUGCUCCCCAAAUGUGUCUUCACAUAUCUUAGCCUGCGAAUUAUCACCAUUUGCUUUUCCAGUAUCUUGAAGGUUUACUAUCUCAAUGGAAGAUUGACUUUCUUCAGGUGGAAGAUAUGUAAGAGUAUGAAUUUCCUCUUCAUUAUACUCCCCCUGAAAUUCAGACUCUGACAAGUAGUACAUGAUAUCUUCAUGAAAAACGACAUCCAUGGUGAUGUAUAUUUUUCUUGAUGGUGGAUGAUAGCAUCGGUAUCCCUUUUGAUGUAAGGCAUACCCUACAAACACACAACGUAGUGCUCGAGGAGAUAAUUUUUCUUGUUGCGGCAAAUGAACGAAGGCAACACAGCCAAACACAUGUGGGGGCAGAUUCGGCACAUUUGGUGACAUAAUUGCAUCAUUCAGAACUUGGAAAGAAGUCUGGAAUCCAAGGGAGCUUGAAGGUGUUCGAUUGAUCAAGUAUGUUGCGGAUGCCAGUGCUUCUCCCCAAUAAGAUAAUGGCAUGUGGGCUUGGAUUAGUGAUGCUCGAACAACUUCUAGUAAAUGUCUGUUUUUUCGUUCAGCAACGCCAUUUUGUUGGGGUGUCCCCACACAAGUGGUUUGAUGGACAGAUCCUUGUGAUUUCAAAAACUGUUGAAUUGCUGUGCUCAUAUACUCGCCUCCAUUAUCAGUAUGUAGAACUCGAAUUUGUGUCUGAAAUUGAGUUGUCACCAUCUUAUGAAAUCUUUGAAAUAAAGAGUUUACUUCGUCUUUCGAUUUCAUCAGAAAAAUCCAUGUCAUUCUGCUACAAUCAUCAAUAAAUGUAACAAACCAACGAGCACCUCCAAUUGUAGAAACUUUAGAUGGCCCCCAUACAUCAGAAUGUACUACCAUAAAAGGAACUGGAUUUUUAUUUAAGGACAAUGGAAAAGUAGUUCGAUGGCUUUUUGAAAGUUCACAAACAUCACAUUUAAAGUUACAAACAUCAAAUUUCAGAAACAAACUAGGAAAUAAUUUUUUUAAGUAACCAAAUGACACAUGCCCUAAACGUCUAUGCCAUAACCAAAUUUCUGAUUUCCCUUUUUUUAUGGAACUAUCUGCGACUAGUGCAGGGCUUAGCUUUCCAGUGUUUGUUGAUGACAUCUCCAAGUAGUACAAGUUGCCUCGUCUAAUACCAUAACCAAUCGUUUGCUUCGUUUGGAUGUCCUUAAACACACAAUGAUCAGGCCAAAAAAUUACAACACAUGAUAAGUAAGUGGUUAAUUGAGACACAGAUAAAAGAUUAUAAUCUAAAGAUGGAACAAUUAACACAGCGUCUAAAUUUAAUUCAUUUGUGAGUCGUAAAGAUCCUUCCCCAAUAACUGAGGUUGUGGUUCCAUUUGCAGUGGAAAUAUGUUUUUGUGAAGAUGGUUUCAAUUGAGAAACUUGUCGAGAAUCAAAAGUCAUAUGAUCAGUUGCCCCAGAAUCAGUUAUCCAUGUACUAUUAAUAACAGGUGUAAGAGUUUUAAGGGCCUUACCUGGACUGACAGAGGUUGCGAUUUGCACUGAAGAUUCUUUUUUAAGAUCUGUAGUGGAUGUGGAUUCAGCUACUGCAGUUUUUGAUCCAUGCUUGGUGUUCUUCUUUCGAGUAUCCCACCAGUCAGGAUAUCCAAUGAUUUCAAAACAUUGUUCUUUCGUAUGACCCUUCUUUCUACAAUGAGUGCAAUGGAGUGAUGACUUGUCAACAAACUUCCUUUGAGGUUGCUGUCGUGCUAUCAUAGCAGACGUUUCUGAGUCGACCUUCUUGUUUAGUUUGCUUUGCCAUAUAUCUUCUCUUCGGAUCAGAGAAUAACAUUCUUCUAAGUCUGGAAUAAUGUCUUUUCGUAGAAUUUCUCCACGAACUUGGUCAAAUUCUUCAUCUAGCCCAGCAAGAAAAAUGUGCACUCUCAAUCUUUCAACAGACCUUCUGUAUAUUACAACAUCUUCUGGAUCCUUCAUGACCACUUUAUCUCGGUGAUCAAGUUCUCGAAAUAUUUCGACCAAUUCUCCAUAGAAUUUAGAGAGUGGUUGUCCAUUUUGCUUGGUAGAGAAUGCCUUUUGGUUUAGAGUGAAAACUUGUAAUUCAUCGCUUCCAUCAUAGAAGGCUUUUGAUAAUGCAUCACAGAUUUCGUAGGCUGUAGAAAUUCGUAAAUAUUGCUUCAUGAUCUCCGGAGACAUGGAUAUGAGUAACAAUCUUUUUACUUUUUGGUUCUCACUAUACCAUUUCUCAUAUUCCUUUUAAGAUUCCUCAAAUGGCUUUGUGCUGCUACGAAUAUAUGAGAGUUUUUCUCUUUCUGCAAGAUGCAUUUCCAUUAUUUGAGACCAAACAUCGUAGUUUGUCUCAGUGAGGAUAAUUCCAGCAUUAAAUACUCCAUCAGAUUGAACAGAUUGAAUGACAACAGGACUAGAUUCAGUUGGAGUUUUCUCCAUUUUUUUUGUUUUUGUUUUUUUUUUCUUUUUCUUUUUUCUCUUUUUUUUCUUUUUUUUUGUUUUCUUUUUUUUUUUGUUUUUUUUCCCGUCUAGAUUGAAAGAAGAAAAAAAAAAUAACCUUUUUAGGUAACAAAACGACAGGUCGUUUAGCCACUGCUUACCAAACCGACAUGUCGGUUAUGGUGGAAUAUAAACGACAUGUCGUUUUACUCCUGCUGCACUUCUGGAAACUAAGCGUCACGUCGUUUUAUCUCUAAUUUAGAAAAGACAUAUCGGUUUUAAUAUAACACAAAACGACACGUCGGUUUUUGACUGCUGCACUUCUGAGAUAAAAAUGACAUGUCGGCUGACGUCUUCUUCAACCUCUGGAGCGCGUGAGGGCGCGUGAAUGAUGACAGAGGUGCGUGGUUGACUGGCCGUGGCUUCGGUUGGCGCGUGGGAGCGCGUGGGAAUGUGUUUAAAUGCGAAAGUUUUACAGUUUCCUCACUAAAAACUGAGAAAUUUUAUGGUGUUCUUGGUUUUGGACGAACACACUCUCGGAAAAUUGAUGGGAUUGUUGAUAAAUUUGUAAACUCAAGUUUUUUACGUAUUGGUGGCUUGUUUCUUGAUCGGCAUGGAUAUCUGUAAUGGUAGGAAUGGGUUUAAGAAAGAAAAUGGUGGGAAAAAUGGUUGUGGGAGGAAUUUGGUUUCCUCUGUUUUUGUUACAAACAGAGCAACGGAACUUGAAGAAACUUGAGCGUAUUCAUGGCUCUGAUACCAUGAAGAAACGUGUUUUCAUUUCUUAAAUAAAGCAUUAUACAUUGAGAGUUAUUUAUAGAUGCAGAGGCUACAUUUUUUCAAAGAUUACAUAUGUGAAUACGGAAGGAAAUGUGUCAAUCCGUUCGGCGCGAAUCUUGUCUUUGACAAGUGCAGAUUAACCCUUUGACAAGUGCAGAUUCUGUCUUUAAAAGCUUCAUUCAAUGUUGUUUUAUUUGAUUCUCAACACUUGCACAUAGAGAUUUGCAAGGGGAGCGAGAGAUUCAAUAGCAGCAAUUUAAUUUGACGGGACUUUCAUUGAAUAAUGAAAUUAAAAACUAACGAUUAUUGAAUUUUUUAUAUUCUCUUAACUCUUGUGGAAAUGUCAGCUCUAAAUAGGACAGCUUCAAGAAUCUUUAUCUGAAAGUGUAAUUGGCAGAGCAGAAACUUGUGACACUAUCUAAAUCACAAAGACUCAACGUCUUCAAUUUGCUGAAAACAAUCUCUCGUUUUGAAUUUACAUUUGGAGCUCCAUCUUCUUCUUCGUCACCUAUUACCAUAUCUGUCAUUGCCCUGCAUCCAGCCACCUUCACUGAUACGAGCCGCACUAGACUUUUAGCUGCAGUGGAUUUUACAAUUCUUUGCAAUGGAAAACCACCAGUUCUGUUAGAUUCCCACAAGAUAUAGAUGAUCAUGGCAAUAGACUUAAAAGAUUUUUACAUGCAGUAAUAUACUCUUAAGUGGUGUUUGGUUGGGAGGAGAGAAUAGAAGAAAGGAAAGUAAUUUAAAUGCUCUUUUUAUUUCCAUUAUUUGGUUUGACAAAAUAGAUAAGAAUUUAAUUUCCAUUAGAAUUUGAAUUCCACACCAAGUAGUGAAAAAUUUAAAUUCCUCUUAUGUUAAAAACUAAAGUUUCCAAAAUUAUCCUUCAAAUUUUUAACUUGUUUAAUGUCAUUAAUAAUUAUUAUUUAUAAUUUUAUUUUAUUGAUUUAAUAUUAUAAAUAGACCUCCACCGGUAAGUCGCCGGACCACUGUCGGACUUCACCGGACCACCGCUGAACUUUCGCCAGACCAUUGCCGAACUUCCACCGGAAAGUCGCCGGACUUCCACCGGAAUAUAGUUUUUCAUAGCGAAGAGCUUUACUUUGAUGGCUUAAGGAUUUGUUCUAGGCAUACUGCUGUGAUUAGAUUUCGUUUAUUUUUAACUUUUUUUAAUCUUUUAUCCGAUGAAUGAUUUUCAGCUGUUCUUAAUUAUUUGUUCAUAGGGAAGAGCAUUUUCUAAGUACUUCCUUGCCUUCUAAGUUUCCGAAGAAAGAUAGGUGUGAAGCAAAGCAAACCAAACCAAAUGAACAAACAGAGCACAAACUAAAAUAACAGAACAGCAAUGAUGACAAUAAAUAAUUGGCAAAAAAAGAAAAGAAAAAAGCAUGCACAUUUUCAAGGAAAUAUAAAAUAUAAAGCUUUUAAUGAAAUUUUAUCAUAAAAAGUAUGCAAGUAUUUAACAAGAUGUUUGGAACGAUAGAAAAUGAAAGAAAAUUGAUUAAGAAGAUUCUGGAACAAUCAUAAUUCUUAUUGAUGAAACUGAUCAAAAUCGUACAUUGUGAACGAGCUCAGCACUAUUUAUAGUUACACACAUGCUGAUUAGAAAGUGUAGAGCUCAAAACUGCAAUAUUAACAAACUAAUUAACCUUCCAAUCAUAUUAAGCCAGCUGGACAGUUAGUUACAACCAAUCAGUACAAAUAACAACCUAAUCCAGCUUGGCAACUUUGUUACACAUCAUCAGCCAGCUCAGCUUAGCAAACUUACACUCUUAACAGCAAGGAAUUAUAAAAUUUUAGAAAACAAGGGGAACCCUAAAAAAAAAACUCAAAUUAAACUAGGCUAAAAGACAUUCAAUGAUGCAAAAUCUGUCCAUAAAAUUCUGAACGAAUCAUUAAAAUAGCAUUCCAAAUUUAACAGUAAACCGAGUGACCCAUUCUAAAUAAUUCAGAUGAAAUUGUGAAACAAGCCAUGAGAUCAAAUAAAUGAAAUAAAAAUUCGCAACUCCAAGUCAUAAGAAGCCUAUGAAAUUAGUCGUAAUGCGUAGACAACGACGACGGCACCGCCAACAGCUGAAAAUAAGAUUCUUAUUCAUCAAUUUAAACUUUUACUUUAUAACAAACAUCUUAUCUAUAUUUUAUUUAAAAAAAGCAAAUUUUGUAAAAUUUUUCCAUGGGAGAUAGAGAGUAAUAUGUAUAUACGUACCUUCUCAGCAUGUAAUUGUUGUAUGGUUGUGUUCAGAUCAUUAUUAGCCCAGCGCCGUUGAUCCGCUGUCUCUCCAUAGCAGACGUUUACUCUUGGAGGCGUGAUUGAUUCUCCUGUAGUGAAAAUCUUCAUCUUGGGACAACCAAUCACCCACAAAUCUUGCAAAGAUGGGAAUUUGAAGGUGUAGUUGGCAGAGCUGAAACUUGUGAAGCUAUCUAAAUCAAACAGUUCCAACGUCUUCAAUUUGCUAAAAACAAUCUCUUCUUUUUCAACUCCAUCUUUGUCAUUUAUUACCACCUCUGUCAUUGCUCUGCAUCCACAUACUUGCACUUUGACGAGUUGCACUAGAGUUUUUGCUGUGGAGGAUGUUACCAAGUGUAUCAAUCCCUUGCAACCGAAAGCCACCAGAGCUGUUAGGUUCUGAAAAGAUACCGAUGAUGAUGGCAAUAGAAUUAACAGACUUUGACAAUGAUGUACUUUUAGAAUUUCAAGAUACUGAAAAAUGGGGCCAAGUUUGGAGUCUUGUUUGCACAGGUGCUUCAGAUGAUAGUGCCGUUUUAGCUCUAAUGUUUUUAUCAUUGCCAACUUCCCCACAUGUUUCUCUAAGCUUCCUUCCUCCGAAAAUACCUCUUCGUUGAAUGAAAAAAAACACAGUAUGAGCAUUUCCAGAUUGUGAAAUCUCUCCAGUACGUUCCAGACUGGAAAACAAGCUGAGUCAUCUCCAGCAAUCUCUAGUUGUUUAAGACUGCCAAAAAGGUGUUGUGGGAAAUCGGCCUGCAAAAUCAUCUUCACAUCUUUUCCACUUAGUGAUAGUUCCUUCAAGUUGGGUACGAUCUGAUCAUCAUCAAUCAUAAUAACUAAUGAGGUCAAUUGAUGAUCUACGGUCACAUGCAGUGACUUUAUAGUAUUUGUUUUAUAUUAUAUUUUAAAAAAAAUUGAAUUAUUGAUAAAAUUUAUUUUAUAUGUUAAUUUUAGAGGUAAAAAAGAAAUUAGGGAAAAAAGGUUGAUUUAUACUGACUCGAAAUUAUUUUAUUGCACAAUAAUAAAUUACUAAUUUAUUUAGUAAGUUCUUCUAUAUGGAAAGAUUAAGGAUUCUUUUAUAAAUGCUAUACCUAAAACAGUUCAUAUAAUUAUUAAUCUACCACAUUGAUCCCUUAGUCUAGACUAGCAAAGAUUAUUGUAUAAUAAAAAUUUUUAAUUUAUUGAGUAUUAAUUUAUCGAUGCUUUGUCAUAUUUUUCAAAGUUAAAAAUAAGCUAUUGAUAAAAAAUCUAGAAAAUGACUUCAUACCUUUUCCAACGGCAAUAGGAGCUGUUGUGCAGGAAUACCAAGUUGAUCAUUCUCAUUAUUCUGCGAUAAAUCAGCGAAUAUCUUUAAUUUGUCACAACGAUACACUAAAAGACUUUCUAGCGCGGGCCAUUCCAAAGUAUGCAUUCCAGGGUACAAACAUCUAAGUUUUGGUAGAUGUUGGAGUCUCAGAGUGGUGAGCUGUGGAAAGACAAAAUAAGGGAUCACUUGAUCUGCUCUGUUUUCAGAAAUGAUCUCCUGUAAAUCCUCACAGAAGCGUAUAUCUAGGUGUUGGAGCUGCUUAAGGCUUCCGAUCAUAGACGCUGAAAAUAGGUAUUUUAAUUUGUGACAAUGCCGCACAGUCAAUCGUGUUAAAUUUUGAAAGCGAGGAAACAUGACCGGAAGAUGAUUGUAGUGCCAAAUCUUGUCGACAUUAAUUUCAGAUAUCUCCAAAGCCUCCAAGUUAGGCAACGCAACCUAAAAAAAAGAAGAAUUUCUCGUUACAUCCAAUAUGCAUAUGAGAAGCACUUGUUGAAAUUUUCGUCUUCGAUUACAAAUUAAUGCAAGUCAAAACCAAUUUCUAACUGACAGAUAAGUAUGCAUUCUAAUUCAUACUACUUGUUAAGAGCUCAAUUAGUGAGCGCGUGAGAUUCUUUUUAUCCUUUUUUUUCCAUUUUCUUUCAAUUCUUUAAAUGAUUUAAUUAUUUUCCACGUAUGACAACAAAACAGAACGCAUGAUAGAAUAAAGUCUGUUAUAUAUAUAUAUAUAUAUAAAGAAAAUGUUAGCCUACGCACCUUCUCGUUGAAAAGCAGAGUUGAAGUAUCCAAAGUGAUUUCGCUGGAGCUAUACGUAGUCGUCGAUUCCUCUUGCGACGCUGGUCUGUUUGGUGAUGCUGAAGGAGUCUUUACUUCACGGCAAAAACUUGUAACCUCUGGAAGAUUCCCCAGACUCAAAGAUCUUAAUUGAGCAAACUCUAUCUUCUCAAUUGCAUUAUCAACUUCUUCCCCAAUUGCAAAAAUCUCUUUCAUCUUGCUGCAAUUAAUAACUGCAAUUCUCUCAAGUCUUGGAAGGCAUUUUGUUGUAGAGAGCCAAAAGAUAUUACUCAAUUUUUCACAAUUAUAUGUUUGUAUGAUUUUGAGUUCGUUGAAGGACUCUACUUUGAGCCGAUCAAUACAUAUCCUCUCCAUGUUGAUCAAAUUGUGAAGGCCAAGUGACUCCAAAAGAGGAAAGGCAUCACAAGCGACCAUCGCCCUUGAAUCGACGAUGCAAAAGAAGUCAGGAUUAUUUUGAACCCAGACAAGCUUCAAUUGUGAAAAGCCCUCCGUGUCCAAAUUGAAAAGAACGUUCUUGAUCCCUCGCAGCUUGUCCAACAAUAAGUAUUCAACGUUAUUGACGCCCUGCAAUUUCAUGGAGCAAAUGUCCGUAAAAGCAAGCUUGAGCUUCAAUGCUCUUAAACUCUUGCGAUCACUGUCGAUCAAAAAGUGCUGCCAACUUUCAAACCAAUUUUGUCCAGCAAUCAUGGGAUGUGUGAAUAACACAUUUCCAAUAUUUAUUUUGAACCUUUCGAGCUUUCUGGCCAAAAAGCCUUCUGGUAACAUACUCUCAUUUUUAACAUCAAUUUCUAGAGUGGUUAGCCGAGGUAAAUGCAUCAAUUCAUCAAGGCUAGCAUUACUUCUUUUGCUGUUGGCUCUUUCAACCUCCCAUUCAAUGGAGCAAUUACCCAUAUACAAUUCUUCUAAUCGGAUUAAGCUUGAUAUGACAUUUGGGGCAAUAACUUUCAGACGGAAACAGUCUGUUAAAUCUAACAGCCUUAGCUUAGUCAGUUGACCCAGUGCUUUAGGCAACUCUACAAUAUCAGACCGCACGAAGCUGAGGAUUUCUAGGUUUUCCAACUUUCCAAUAAUGGCUACGUCUAUGCCUCUGAAAAUGCUUUGAUCAAGACAAAGUGUCUGAAGAUUUACUAGAAGACCAAUUGAAGAUGGCAAUGACAAUAACCGCAUUCUAGUCAAAUCCAAAACCCGAAGCUUUUUCGUCCUUUUGAAGAAGUUCUCAGGAAUAUUAGGCACAGCAAAAGAGUUCUUGGGAGACAUGAGUAGAAGUUCAAGUUGUAGAGAUUCGGACCCUUCAGGAAUGUCAUUAAUAACACUAUCUUUUAAAGAAAUUGCAAGAUAUUUUUUUAAUUCAUCUGCAUUUGGCCAUUUCCAAUCAUCCUCAUUUCUCACCACAAAUCCAAUUUUGUCACGACAUGCAAUUGAAAUGGCAACAUCGCGAACAACGUCGUGCAUAGAAAAGUAUUUACUGCCACCAUCCUCAAGCAACAAACAAGAGUCUCUUAGUUGAUGGACCCAUGCAUCUAAUUUGUUAUGUGCAUCUUCUAGCUUGUGGACACUUUUAAAUACACCCCAGAGCAUGCUAUAUUUGAACAAGUCCAUAAUUGGUGCUGGCGUAAUAAGACUACACAGUAAAAAAGUUUUCUUGAGUUGCUCACCUCUUAAGUACUUGUAACUCAGCUCAAUUGUUGAGUAUGCCUCUGCUGGUACUCCUUCGUCGAAGCUUGCCUCUGAAGGCGUUUGGAGUUCUUGCAAGACAUUCUUCCACACAGGCAGCUCUUUUUUUCUCAGUGCCUUUGCUACUGUGGUUAGGGCAAUAGGCAAACCUCCGCAUGCCUUGGCUACACUUGUUGCUGUAGAUUUUAACUCACGAUUUUCCACAUAAUCACCUGCCAUUAUCUUGAACAAUUUCCAGGCUUCUUGUUCAUUUAAAAUGCCAAUCGAGAAGUUUUUUUCAGAUUCCAUCCUUAACAGCACAUCAAGAUCUCUUGUUGUGAAUAAUAAUUUGCAUCCUCUGUGCUCAACUCCAAAAGGAAUUCCAAUAGUCCCCAAAUCAAGAGGUUUCCAGAUGUUAUCCAGAAUCACAAGGAUCUUCUUCUCAUUCUUCAAUCUUUCAUAUAGUCUACUAGCUCUUCUAGACUCAGCUUCCUCGGACAACUGUAGGCCUAACGUUACCGCAAUUUCCUCUUGGAUCUUUUUUAUGUCUGGACUUUGGGUAACCUCCGAAAAAGCCACCAUAUCGUAAAGCUUGUCUUCAAUUGCUCGCCUUGCAAACUCCCGCACCAGUGUCGUCUUUCCAAUGCCGCCCAUGCCGUAGACGCCAAUGAUGCUGACAUCAACAUCGAUCAAUGCAUUUUGUAUGGCCUUCAAAGUAGAAAGUCUUGAUUCGAAGGCCUCGUAGCCUUUGUGAGACUUGAGCCAAAUCUCCUCCGGAAUGGUACGGUAGGAAAUUCUAUCAUCAAAUCUCCCAGCUUCUUCUCGGAGUUUAAAAAGGGCCUCCUUCUCUGUUUCUGCUUUCUUUCCAUGCUGAUAGCGAGUAAUCCAAUUAGGAAACAGCCCCAUGAGACAUCGUUCAUUUGCUUUCUCUUCGUCUUGAAUGAAUUUGGCUGCCUCCUCAAUGCUCUUGUUCGCAUUAACCAGCCAUUUCUCAACCUUCUCUUCAAUCUUUUCACUUUUUCUUUCAGCCUCAGAAACUCUGCGCUGAAUGCUUUCUCUUUCAUCCUUGAGCCCAUCGAGUUCUUCCUUGAGAUUCUCAAAGUUGGCAGCGGAGUUAUACCAAUAACUAAAUUCGCGUUGUGCGUGAGGAGACAAGCAGUUUACAAUGCUUUUCAAAAUGUCCAUUUUUUUUUUUUGGUUGGGGGGGGGGGGGGGGACGAAAUAGAAAUAGAACAGGGUCAACGACCGCGCAAUUGAUAAUCAAGUAGAAGCAAAACUAGGCAAAAUUGGAAAAAUAAAUUAUAUUUGUACAAAACAAGGGGAAAAUCAGUGUAACAGAAGAGAAUCAAAGUGUUUUUGAGAUCAGAAAAUUGAACCAAGAAAAGGGUUGCUUGAUCCAAUGAAAAAGCAAAGAGCUGAUGGCAAAAGGGAACAAAGAUAAAUAAGAAAACGGCUAGUACGAGCAGCGACCACGAUGAACAGAAGCAAAGUGUUUAUGAGAUCAAAAGACGAAAAUCAGGAGAGGUUUUCUUGACUGAGAAUUGAAGGCAAAGAGUAGGAGCUGACGAAUACGGGGAUCAAGAGGGAAAAACUGCUUGCUCGUAAAACUACUUUCAAGCGAAUCUGAUAAAAUUAUUUCAAUACUCAUGGGCGACUCCUUUUUAAACUGCAGAAGGAAAAAAAAAAAAAAAAGAGUUCUGAAUUUCAAUAUAUUAAUUUUUAUCCUAAUUUAUGUUGAGAUUCGUAAUCUCGUCUCAAUGAUUAAUUAGUAGAUAAUCUUUCUAACAAAUAUGUGUUGAAUAGAUAUAUUUCUUGACUAUUAGUAAGUUAGAUAUAUUUUAGCAUAGGAAUGAAAGUACCAAGUUGUGUCAUAUUAGAAUAAAAAUGUGAGCUAAAAAUAAUUUUCUAUGACCUUUUAAUUAUUUGUCAGCAAAUAAUUAAGUCAUAUAAAAAAAUUAAUAAUCUGAAUUAGUCUUUAAGUAUUAUAAAUAUUUUUUUUUAUUUUUAAUUAUAAUAUCAUUAUUUAAAAAUAAUUGCUUGACUUAUAUUAGUAACAUUACGAUUGUCAUAAAACAUGUGAUCCUCAUCCAAUAUCCAUUAUUUGUGAUCCUUAAUCAAUAAAAUAUCUAACAAUAUCUUCACCUAAAGUUUGAGACAUGUGAUCCUUAUUCCACUGCGUCAAAACAAGGAGAAAAUCAGUGUAACUGAAGAGAAUCAAAGUGCUUUUGAGAUCAGAAAUUGAAGCAAGAAAAGGGUCGCUUGAUCCAAUGAAAAUGCUAAGAGCUGAUGGUAAAAGGGAACAAAGUUAAAUAAGAAAACAGCUAGUGCUAGCAUCGACCACAAUAAACAGAAAAUUUGAGAUGGAUUUACAAUAUUUCUGCCUUUCUUUAUGCUUUAACAAAUAUUGCUCUAUCAAAAAAAAUAUUUAGCAUUUUAUUAUUGGAGUCACAAAAGACCUACACAAUAUAGCAAGUGCUAGGAAUAAAUAAGAAUAUAUAACUCUCUCUCUAAUUCUCACUCUAGCUUUUAAUUGUCACUCAAAACCCAGAAUUCAUCCUUAAAGUGUAAGCAAAUCAGAGAUGACAGCGUCUGGUUGUCAUACGUGCCUUUUAGUUUUCGGAUGACAUGGCGUACACUUCUUCUGUAAAUCGAACAUGACAUGUCGUACUCUUUGUUUUGAGAUCAUAUUUCAAACUCUUCAUGCUAUGAAUGAAAGAUAAACUACAAUCAUCAAAAUAUUUAGUGUUUAUUUGGUAAUGUAACAUCAUAGUUGUUGUGAAUUGAAAUUAUUUAUGUAAGAUAAAAGGAUUUGGGUCAUCGUUUGUUAUUCUCUAGCAAUAUUGUUUGGCCGUGACUAUUUGUUAAAUAUUAAAAAAAUAAAUUUAUAUUUAUUAAGUACAAAAAAUAAAUAAACAAACAAAAAUAAAAGGAAAAGUUUAUGCAUUACAUAAAAUAAUAAGAACAAUAUCAAUAUUUCACACUCUAUAAUUGACUGAUGAGUUGUCCAACUACCAUACAUUGGUCCCAGAGACUUAAAUAUUAAAGUCCAAAGUUAUUGUGAUGAUGACUUAUAAUUGCCAAACUUGACAUACGGGUAAUCAUGCAUUAUAUAAGGUGCUGAUUUCUUCCGAUCGGAACUUUAUUUUUCAUUUACAAAUAAAUAAAUGAUGUGACUUAACGGGUGGCGGGGUCCUUUGUGCCAUUUGUGUAUUUCACUGAAUAGUUGAUUCAACUUGAUUGCAGCAGAAAGAUUCCUGGAAGUUGCCAUUUGCCAAUGCUACUAACAUUUUCAAACUUGGAAAACCCUUCAAUCAAUCUUUUAGUGGUAGGCUCUGGUAGCUUGCUUUGAUUAUGACAUAUGAUUAUUUGAUAAUAAAGCUAGAGGAUGUAUUAAUAUAAAAUUUGUUUAUUGGUGUUGAAGUUAAUUAUCUCAUUAAUAAUAAUAUAAAAAGUUAAUUACUAAGAAACACAUAGCAGUAUUCUAGGAUAUAAUUUUAUAUCAUAACUUUGUAAGUGUAUAAUUCCUCAUUAAAUUAACAAAAUUAUUUUAAAAUAUUUAGUUAGAAAAAAUAAAAUAUUUUACAAUACCUCCCUUCAGAUUGCACAAAUUACAUAAAAAAAAAAAAUUGCUUUAUGUAUAAAACUUUCAAACAAAUUGGGCCAAAAUCUAACUUUACCAAGUUUAGAGUAAUUUUGGGCUCUACAUUCCAUUUCCGACAAACGAAUUUUCUUUAUCACCAAGGUAUGAUACUUUUCAUAUUUAUCCAACGGCUCGUCAAUGACAAUACCUUUGUAAAAAGUACUUAUUUUCAAUAGUAUAUUGUGGAAAUGUCUGGUCGGUAAUACAACUAUUUCUUAUAGUGUAAAAAUGAUACACUAAGCGUUCACAUUUUGAUGAGUAAAUUAAGGAUUUCAAGAUGAAGUACAUAAUUAGAUUAAUGCUAAGAAACUGAAGUUUGAUCGAUUGAAAACGAAAAUAAUAAUAAAGGUAAUUAAGAAAAUGAACAAUAUAUGCAGAAGCGGCUCCUUAUUAGGACUUCUAGAUUUUCUCUUGGGCUUUCCUUAUUAUUGUUAAAAAAUGACACGAAGAACUUUGAGUUUAAAAAUCUGGCCCUGAUGCCUGGUAGCCCUCCAACAUAUGAAGCACCAGAUGUUUUGAUGAGAAUAUGACAAGACCAUUUAUCAAAUUUCUUGUGGAUAUAAAUACGUACACAUGGACGAGACCAACCUCCUCAAAUGAGAAUCAGAGUGAUUACAAGACCUUGCAAUGAGACAAUGAUACACCUUCAAAUGUCAAAAUACAAUAGAAAUUCACGACAUAUAUAUAAUAAAAGACCUCUCAUUGAGUCAUAUAUAUUGAGAAUAAAAAUGUUAUAAUACAUACACAAAGCUUAGCUAGAAUAAAAUGUCUUUGAACUUGCGAUGAUCAAAUAAAGAAAACAGACAGGUUGUAACUCACACUAUCACAAGAAGAUCACGAAGAUGGAAAUAGGAACCCGACAGAAUGGAAAUUUUGAAUAGAGGAAAAAAGAAAAACGACCUUAUUCACAUAAGAAGAGUGACUCAAAUCUUCUUCAGUAUCCAGACAUUCUGCAAUCAUAGAGUAGAGAAAUUUUAACAGGAACAGCAGAGAAAAUAUUAUGAAUAUGCUAUAGACCAAUAUACUUGUUCAUAGCUAACGUUUGAUGGUUUAAAGAUUUGUUCUAGGAAUAAUGGGCUGAUUACUUUUUUUUUAUUUUAAUUUUUUUUUAAUCCAAUGAAUGAUAUUCAGCUGUUAAUUAUGUGUUCAUAGGGAAGAACAUUUUCUAAGUACUUUCCUUGCCUUCUAACUUUCCGAAAAGCAAACCCAAUGAACAAACAGAGCACAAACUAAAAUAAAAGAACAGCAAUGAUGACAAUAAAUAAUUGGCAAAGAAAAAAGGAAAAAGUAUGCACGUUUUCAAGGAAUUAUAAAAUAUGAAGGCUUUUAAUGAAAUUUUAUCAUAAAAAGUAUGCAAGGAAUUAUAAAAAUUUAGAAUUUUUGGAAUUUUUAAUGCACCAAAGUUCAUUUUUAGCUUUUAAGGUUUUUAUGUGUGAGCCUCUCAGCAUGUUCCCCAACCUCCUCACGUGAAAAUAUUUCUAUGCACGGUUACAAGCUUUUCCAGAUUGUGAGUAUUCCGAAGCAAUCCAACUUGAAAAACAGCUGGUUCGUAGAAAAUGACAGUUUACGAAGCUGGCCCUGCUGCCAUACAUAUGAUGAUGAAGACCAUUUUGCUUUAUGUCAAUUCCUCCAAGUUGAAAUCUUUCUCGGUCUGGGACACUUCCAACACAUAAUGUACUACUAGGCCAGAUGAUUUUAAAAAAUGUCAAGGUCCUUUAUCAAAUUUCAUUUGCAUUCAAGACCAAUCCCCUUUGAUGAAAAUCAAUAAUUAAAGGCUUUCCAAUGAGAAAUUAUUACGUCUUCAAAUCUCAAAAAACGCCAGAAUAUUAAUUCGCUACAUAUAAUCAAGAUAUCUCAUUGAGACGCAUUAAUAAAAAAUGUCAAAAUGCAUAGAAAGAGCAGACACACGGAUGAUGAAUUUACUCAUCUUUAUUAGUAUUUGAACUUGAGAGACAGAAUGAAGUACAUGUCAAGAAUAUCAUAAAGAUGGAAACCGGAAGUCCUCCGCACAUAAACUUUGAAGAAACUGGAAAACGACUUUAUUCCAGAUAAUGCACACCAGAGUGACCAAAAUUCUCUUCAGUAACUAUAGAGAAAAUAUUAUUUUGCAUGCAUUUCACGUAACUGGAUCAAACUACUCUCCUGUUGGUUUAUCAGACCACAUUUUUAUGGUGCAAUAUAAACCAUCUUUUCAAAACGCUUUUACCAUGUGAGAAAUAUACGCAUUAAAUUUCAUAAACUAAAAACUCCAAUUGUCAAAAAAAAAAAAAAGGGUGAGAAACUCAGUAGAAUUUACAACUUCUCAGACUCACGAAAAGGUGAGAAACAAAUGAUUUUUAUAUAGUUGUUCAUAGCUAACUUUUGAUGGUUUAAUGAUCUGUAGAUUUUGUUUUAUGCUAUUCAAGGAAUGAUAUCCAAUUGUUCCUAAGAGUUCAUAGGCAGGGGCAUAUAUGCAUGAUUUGAUAUAAUUCUUGCAAUUUCUAAGUACUUGCUCUUUCCAUCCCUUCUAAGUUUUGAAAGAAAGGUCGAAAUAAACAGAGAAACAGGACAAACAGAAGAAGACUGAAUUAACAGAUCAACAAAGAUGGCAACUAACAAAUGGAAAGUUCUCUUGUAAUCAAACUAUAGCAAACAGAUGACACCAUUACAAUAUAUCUUAAUGAGUAGAUUGAUUCUAAACAUAUAUGUUAGGAUACAUUUGGUUGUUUAAUAGUUUGAAAUAAGGAGGAUGGGAUGGUUUCCACAUAAAAGUGCUGUCCCUUUCAAUGACAUUUUCAAAGAAUUAUAAAAUUCAAAAUAAAAAAAAAAUUAGCAAAUUAUAAAGCCACACCGUCAAAAAAAUAAAUAAAUAGAUAAGUUAAGACCUUUAAUGAUAUAAAAAUAAAUAAAUAGAGAAGUCACUAGGACCUUUAAUGAUAUAAAAUAAGCAUAUAAAUCUCAGAACAAAACAUUAAAAUUCAUUCUAAAAAUAAACUAGUGGUGUAUUCCAAACAAUUUAGAUGAAGCGAUAAAACAAGCCAAGAGAUCGAAUAAAAUGAAAUGAAAUUGAAUUAACUGGGACUUUGUUUUCCAAAUUCACAACUCGCUUGUAAUUAAAGUAAAAUGCCAAUGCCAUUAGGACAUAUACAUCAUUGAAUAAGAUGAGGACCCCUCCAACAGCUGAAAGUAAAAUUUUCAUUCAUUAGUUUCAAUUAAAAGUAAAGCACACAGAGAUUUGCAGGGAAGCAAGAGAUUUAAUAAAUUUAACAGCAGCAAUUUAAUUUGACAGGACUUCCAUACAGUAAUGAAGUUAAAAACUAAUGAUUAACGAAUUUAGUUUGGUCCCAAAGCUGUUGAUCAUCUCUCUCUCCAUAGUAGAAGUUUACUCUCAGAGGCGCGUUUAAUUCUCCUUUAGUGAAAAUCUUCAUCUUGGGACAACCAAUUAUAGAUAAAUCUUCCAAAGAUGGGAAUUUGAAGGUGUAAUUGGCAGAGCAUACAAAAUCUUCAAUUUGGCGAAAACAACUCUUCUUUUAAAUUUGCUGCUCCAUCUUCGUCAUUUAUCACCACCUCUCUCAUUUCUCUGCAUCCACAUACCACCAUUGAUAAUAGUCGCUCUAGACUUUUUGCUGUGGAGGAGGUUGCUAAGCUCAUCAAAUUCCUUGCAACGAAGAACUAGAAGUUCUUUUAGGUUCCCAAAAGAUACCGAUGAUGAUGGCCAUAGAUAUAACAGAUUUUGACAAUAAUGUACAUUUAGAAUUUCAAGGCAUUGAACAAAGGAGUCCAAUUUGGAGUCUUGUUUCCACAAUUGCUUCAGAUGAUUAAAUUUGUGCAGAUCUAAAUGUUUUAUCAUUGUAAACUUCCUCACAUGUUUCUUCAAGUAUCCUCCAUUCGAAAAUACAUCUUCGCAUGAACAACGACGCCGUAUGAGAGUUUCCAGAUUAUGAAAUCUCUCAAGUAAAUCAAGUGGAAAACAAGUUGAGUCAUCAUCCACUGUUUGUAGUAGUUUAAGACUCCCAAAAAGGUGUUGUGGGAAAUCGCUCUGCAAAGUCAUCCUCGAGUCUUUUCCACUUAAUGCCCGUUCCUCCUAAGUUGGGUAAGCUCUGAUCAUCAUCAAUCACGUAAUAACUUAUUAAGUCAAUUCAUAUUCUCUCAAAUGACUUUUAAUAAUCCAAUCAUACACAGUGACUUUAAUAUAAAUGCAUAAUAUUUUACAAAAAAGAAGAAAAAAUCGAAUUAGAGGUAAAAGUUAUUCUACGAUUUUAUUUUUUAUAUAUAUCUUGCAUGCUAUUCCCAAAAGCAAUCCCAAACGGCCCUUAAAGCAAUUUUACAAAAGUGGCCGGUACAUAUAUUGCCAACUUUGUUAGGAAUGGCAAUGGGAAGGGGAGGGGAAGAGACCGACCUCCCCGUACCCAUUCCCGAUAUUCUGCAUAUAUCCCCAUCCUCUCCCCAUUCCAGACAAAAUUGCUUUAGGGAAUCCCUCUCCCCUCCCCAAAUAAUAAUAGGGGAUCCCUGAAGGUCCUCGAUCCUCGAAUAACUAAUACGUUUUUAGUUUUAAAUUUUAAUUUAAUCAUAUUAAAAUAAAAAAUUUAAAUAAAAAUAAAGUUUGACGAUAUAUCUUACAUUAACAUUAAUCUAUUAAAAAAGUCACAUUACAAAGUAUAAAUCACCAUAAUAAUUAUCUUCGGCAAUCUUCAAAAUCAUAUAAUAAAAAAAAAGAAAUUACUUUUAUAUCAACAAUAAGAUAAAUGAAAUGAAUAUAGAUACUUAAUCAAUAUUUCUAAUAAAAGUAUUCACCUCAUGCGUCUCCUACUCUUCUUGUUCUUCCUCGAGGAAUGUGACAAAUUGAGAGAUAGCCUUAGAUUUCAAGUUUAAAACAAUAAAAAUAAUAUAAGUAAUGUAAAUUCUAAGUGAAAAUAUUAAUAAUUAUAUAAUAUAAUUACAAUGUAAAAUAAACUCAUACUACCAUUGUAAGCUUGUAGUCAACUUUGACAACUUAUUAAAGCCUCCAAUGUGCUUGAAUAAAGCGUGUUACGAUACUCUACCACAGGUGCUAAAAGCUAAUUCAGAAGCAACAUUUGUAAUUAGAAUUGCCAAAAUAUCUCUAGCAAUUCGUGCCAAUAUAGGAUAUCUAUAGACAUUUGUUUUACACCAACUCAAAAUAUUAAAAUCUUUCAUCCGUGGCAUAACUUUUUCAUCCAAAUAUUAAUGUAGUCAAUUAGGCCUAAAGUUUAAUAAUAUAAUUAUUUUAAUUUUUUUAUUUAUACUAAUAUUUAAUAUUUUAUUAUUUAUAUUUUAUUAUUUAUUUACAAAUAAUUUUAAAAAAAUUAAAAUUAAAAUUAAAAAAUUGGAAGGGGAUAGGGAUUCCGCUGCAUCCCCGUCCUUUUUUUGAAUAAGAAAUUGGGUAAAAAAACUAUUUCCGUCGCUUUUCUAAAUAAAAAAUUAAGUAAAAAAUUAUGUACCCUCCUGAAUUGGGAAAAUCUCGAGGGUCAUGUCCCCGCGGGAAUAUCUGCCAUUCCAAAACUUUGUAACAGCCACUUGCUUUUGUGACCGUUUAUGUGACGGCUAGACUGCUCUCACUUAUGUUACUAACCACGUGACGGUAGAGAGCCAAUUGGCAUACUAUUAUUUUGACGGUAGAGUUAUAAAUUUGUUUCUAAAUAGAAAACUAUUUGCUGGAGUCAAUAUUUUGAAGACCAAAGUCCCAAAUUCUCUCUCGUGCCUGGCCAGCAUCCUAAACCUUACUGGUAGCCGGAGAAUGGCGUAAAACGGCGGCGAUCUUCUUCUUCAUCUUAUUCUCUCUCUCAUCGUUUCAGGUAAGCUUGUGAUUAUGAGUUUCUUCGCUUUCUUAGCUUGUAAUUAUAGGUUUUGAUUUCUUUAAUUCGUUUUGUAGCCAUUAAUGUCAAUUUUUGUCCCACCGGCAAUGUUUUUUGUUCCUAGAAGUUGAAGCCCUUCUGUUCUUGUGCCAUUGGUGAGUUUGCUCACUCAAAUUAAUUUUGUUCUGCGGAGUUUACAAAGUUCAAAUGGACUCAUUUGGAUUACUAUUGAAUUUAGCUUUAAUUCCAACAUCCAUUCUAAUGUUUUGCCAUUAGAUUUACUUUAAUUUUAUCUUUAAAGCUUCUACAAUGAAUAGCGGAGCUUGGGUUUUAGUUUCAAUUUCUAAUUAACUUGUUUUAGUUUAUCUUAUAUGCUCGCCAAGUGCUUGUUAUAUUGUCUGAUAAGUUAUAUAACAUUGCUGAUUCUAUAUUAGUAAUGUCAUGUUCCAUUUUCGGAAAUUAUAACACAAAAGUUUUUACAAUGGCUUGCAUCUACAAACUGAAUUGACUUGUAGAGUAAGAGCUUGGAUUAGUGUUAUGUUCUUGAAUAAAUGAAAGUUCAUAUUGUGUAAGAGCAUGUAGAUGUAAAGCAUCACUACCAUUUCUACAAACUGCUUUCAUUCUGUUCAGAUGCUCCUCUUGAACUUUGAAAGGUGCCUCAUUCAAGUCCUAGCUGUAACUACUAGCUCUGAUUGCUUAAGUUCCUGUGCUAGCUGAAACAGAUUUAUUUAAUUAAUUAAUUGUGUAUGUACUAAUUAUAUUGAACGUAUAUGAAGAAAUUGUUUAACAUGAAUGACUUCUAAAUGACUUAAAAGCCUAAAGGAUAUGUGAAAUAAUGCUCAUUUCACUUGAACGAGCCUAUUAAUACUUGUAUGUCUGAUGGUUGUCGAAGCCAACAAAAAUAAAUUCAUACUCUAAAUAAAUUGUGUAUAGUGAUUGAGCAAGGUCAUGUCCACAGAGAUCGGUAAUUAUUUAAAUCCUUUUGAAACGUAAAACGUAAAAUGGGGGAAUUGUUGACAAUAAUAAAAAUCAAAUUAAAAUAACAAGAAUGCAAAUUAAAGUUGUAAUUCAAAUUAGAGAAAGCUCUGGUUGAAGGAAUUAAUUCAGCUUGAUUCGACUACUGAUCAUUGAUUCAAAUAUAGAUUAUUAUUACUUAUGAAUAGACCGGUUAUAGCUACUGAGACCCUCUAAUAGCCAAUCUCUCCUUAACUAGUCGAUAACCAAGGUACGACUGUUGGUUAUUUCCCUAAUCAAUAGACAACCCUAGAUACGAUCAUAGGAUUUAAUCAAUUGACAGCCUGAAAAACCAGAGAGACCCAAAUCCUAAUCAACACAUACGAUGAUUCAUUUAAAUUAGAUUGUUUAUUCUCACAACACAACUCUCUGCUAUGUUAUUUGUCACAAACAUUAAAUUCUUCAUACGAUGAAUCCUUUAAUUGACAAUAGAUUAAGUUGAUAAUUAAAUAGUGGCCAAUUACCUAAUUAACAAACAUAAUCAUGAAAAUAAUUCAGAGAAUAAACAAAUACCCAAAAAGUAAUAAAACAAUUAAAGCAUAAAAUAGAUCUCACAAUAGUGAUGAAUCAAAGCUUCAUUAUCCUUCAACCAGAAAAAUAUAUUUAGUUCUUCAUAGAGAGAAGAGAAAAGUUUAGAUCUAGGGUUUCUUUCUCUUCUCUUCAAAAGUCCCAUUUUUCACAAUAGAUUCCUCUCUUAAAUACUCUCUCUCUCUUCUCCUCUAGAAUUCUAUUUAAAAUAAAAUACUAAUAUAUGAAAUAUUAAAUUCGUAAUUACAAAAAUAACCAAAAAUACAAAACACGUUAAACUAAAAACUGUAGGUCCGUAGUUGCAGCACGCGCCCACGCGUUAUCAACAAAGUUCUUCUGACGCUCAUAAUUUCUCCAAGAAAGCAAUCAUCUUUAAACAUCAUCUUAUAGCUCAAUUUUAUCACAAAUCAAUAGAAUUGCACCUACAAAAGUAAAACACAAGUAAAUUAUCAUUAUUAAGUGCAAAACAUCAAUAUUAAGGGAAGUAAACAAUGCAAAACUAGUGCAUAAAUUGCACUCUAACAAAUUCCCCCACACAAAGAUGAUGCUUGUCCUCAAGCAUAUAACUCAAGACUAAUCCCAAAUCUCCACUCAAUUCUCAUCUCAACUCAUCCAAAAACAAUUUUAAGCAAGUAUACCUCAAGAAAUUAAGUCGAUCAACAUUCGAGAGACAAGGAUUUUAAAGCAUAGAAUCUCAUAAGAUAGAAUAAGAACAUUCAACCACCAAGAAGAUCCAUUCAAAAUUCAAGUGCAACAAGAUUUAAUAGCCCUCUCAUUGACCUCACUCCAUGCACUCAAAGUGUUUAGGGUGUCAUUUAUUCACUCAAAUCAAAUCAAAGAAUGUUAUUACCAUAAACUUGCUUAUAUAUCACAUCUCAAUCCACAAAACAUGAAUUAAAUGCAAAAAUCUAAGGGUCUUAAAAGGUUGUAACGGGGUUAAAUGGGUUAAAUGAAAAAGAAAAGUUUAUGAAAGAAAAAGAGAUCAAAAUGAGAAGAAUGAACUCAUUGAACGAACUUUAUGAUAUCGAAACGCUUAUUUCUACACAAGUCACCAAGAAUGUAAACAUUUUUUUUUCUUUUUCUUUUUUUUUUUCAAUUUUUUUUUUCGAUUUUUCUUUUUCUUUUUCUUUUUUUUUUUGAAUCAAACAAAAGAAACGAACCUUGCACAAUUUAAUUCAGGCAUAAUGCUUGUUGAUCUAAUUGAGAAACUUUAAUACAAGGUAGAAAAAGCAACAAAAUAUAUACAAAAUAUAUCCACACAAUGAGUCCAAAAAUCUCCUUAAAUUGAGGCUCAAAAAGAAGAAAAAUGGUUAAGUAGACGGAGAGAAUUAGAUGGGUAAUGGUUAAGGCUCAAACAAAGAUAGUAAAUCAAGGUCUUCGGGUAGAGAAAAAAAAAUGCGAGAAUAGAAAAAUGGUAAAUGGUUUGCCCUUAUCAUUUUAAUGCAAAAAAUCCGUAAUGUGGCUUCAACAUGCAUAACAAAGCAAGUUCUAGAAUAAACAAACUAAGAUUGAUAUUCACAUAACAAAAAUAAUAGAGCAAAGUGGUUGCUCAUAGGCUCAAAUCCUCACAAAGUUGGUAAAUUUGCCAUCAAAUCAUGUGCACUCUUCAAAUGAAUCAACCAUCAAUAGUGGUGUAGAAUGAGAAGAAGGUAUGAUUGAGAUAUGAAAGGAAAGGUAAAAAGGAUAAUAAGCGAGAAAGAUGUAUGUAGUAAAAAAAAUGAAUGAUAAAAUGUGAGUGAUGAAAGAGUAUGAUAGAAUAAAAAUAUAUGUAAAUAAUUUGAGGUAGAUGGGAAAAGAGUAGUGAGAGAGAAAGGAAAAGAAAAUUAAUAAUAUAUGAAGCAUACUAACUCCAAAAUCAUUUAAGGAUGAGUAGAGUGAAAAUAAUAAUUCCAAACAUCAAUAAUGUAAAAAAAUCCCUCCCCCACACCAAGAACUUACAUUGUCCUCAAUGUAAGAUAAUCAAAGCUCACAUAAAAAUUAAAGCGUAAGGAUAAAAGAUUAAAGACAAAAAAAAAAAAAAACUUCCCUGAAUUAUGAGCUUUGAUCCACAUAACGUCUAUGGGCUUGGCAGAAAUGGUGGGGUAAAUCCCACACUCUCGAAGUAUGCGGCCAAAUUCUGCUCCAUCUUGUUCAGCUUGUGCUCCAUUUUCUCUAACUGAAUGCUCAAAGGUGGUGCGGAUGUAGAAGGAAUAGUUGGCGGGGCAGCAGUGUCGUCGUCAAACUCGUCAUCAGAGGUAGCACCACUCCUAGCAUAAAGCUUCUUCGGAGGUUGAGUGGGUCCUGGUUCAGUAAAAUGAAAUCUCCCCUCCUUGAAUUCGACCAUACCUGUUCUUUCAAACACAGACAUAUCCAAAAAUUCCUUUUUGCAAGCAGGAUGCAAAUCAUUAUUGUCAGGAUCAAGCACACAUAGGUUUAUAGCUAACAGAGUAAUGUAUGGACCAAGAAAUAAAGUUCUAUACCGUUUAAGCACACUUUGAAAUUGAUCCGCUAACCAAAAACCUAAAUUAGGCCUCACAUCAUUUAACAUGCACCAGAUAAAAUAACAUUCAGUUUUAGAGAAAACUCCUGAGUGAUCUUUCUUACCGAAAAAAUUAUAUGCUAAGAAUCGAUGCACACAUUUCAAAACAGGAUCACGUAAGAAAGAACUCUUUGAUUUACUCGGGUCAUAGGCAUUGUGAUCAAUAGAUAAAUUACGCCAAAGACCAUAAGGCUCAAAAUUUUCGCUAAAGUCACAAGUUGUUCCUAAAUAUGCAUCACUAGAAGAAUAAUCAUCAUCAAUGAAUCCUAAAGCUAGGUUAAAAUCCGUGAUAGAGUGUAAAAAAUUUCGUCCCAUUAACCUAAACUUAAUGACAUCCGGGGUAUGCAAAGUAAAAUCAUUCGGCAUAUUAAAUUGAAAAGUAGCAUAAAACUUCCUAAUCAACUCAACAUAACCCAAACAAUCAACAUCAACAAACUUAUGUGACCCAAUCUUAUCUAUCAAAGAAUCAAAAUUAUCCUUAACAUUCAAUUUUUCAAGAGUCGGGUAAUGAAUAUACUUAGCUGGAAGUAUUUUGCGCGUGGAAAUAUCUUUGUACCUCUCUUUCUCUUGUUGAGUCGCGAAUGCGAGGCACUCUUUGAGAUUGGAUUCCGCAAGUGGCAAAACACUCAUGCCUUUUCCAUGUUUCGAUCUUUGUCUCACGGCUUGGCGUGAAUAUGAAAUUGUGUUCCAUGGAACCGUAGUGGGAGCGGCAAUCUUAGAUUUCUUUGCGACGAGUGUCUUUUUAGAUGACUUGGAAGUAGAUGCUUUCCUCUUCGGCAUUGUUACAAUAAUUGCACUCACGGAUUUCGAUUUACCUGGCUGGAAUACAGGGCGUAGGUUGGAUCUGCGUUGCGUUGCUGCUUGGCUGGAGCUUGCUGCGCAGGUUGGGGCUGGUUGCGCGCUGCUGCUGGUUGUGUUGCGCGCUGCUGCUGGUUGUGUUGCGUGAUGCUGCGCGCUGCGGGUGGAAUUGGUUGCGCGCUGCUGGGGCUGGAUUCGGGUUGCGCGCGGGGGCUGGGGAUGCUGGUGCGCGCUGCGGGUGGGACUAAUGCGCUGCGCUGAGGCUAAUUCGCGUUGCUGGGGCUGCGUUGUGGGAUGCUGGUGCUGUGUUGCGUUGCGCGCGGCUGCUGCUGCUGCAUGGCUGCGGCUGCUGCUGCUGCGGGUGAAAACGAUAAUCAACAGUGAAUUUUUAUUUUAUUUUUUUGAAUUAGGGAUUUAUGAACAGUGAUUUGUGAUUUUUGUUUUUUUUUUGUUUUUUUUAAAUAAAAAAAAUAUGUAUAUAUAAAAGAAAGAAAAGAAGGAAAAAAAAUAAUAUUUUUUUUUUUGUGAUGAAUCACUUUGAGACACUAAAAAUUUCAGAAGUACUUUUCUAAUAAGCACGUGGGCACGCCUUAAAACCAUUUUAUUUUAAAAAUCACAGAAGUACUUAUUAGUUAAGACGUGGGCACGCCUUAUCAAAAAUUUUCUUCUGACCAAAAUAAGCAAACACAUUAAAAAAAAAUGAAUCAAAAUUAAAAGAAGAUAUAACAAAAACCAAAAUAAAUAAAUCAUUUGGGUUGCCUCCCAAAAAGCGUCUUUGUUUUAUGUCUUUGGCUAGACACAUUUAUGCAUCAAUCUCCAUAAUUGGGACUCUCGAGAGCCACAUCCUCCACAAUAUUCACAAAAAAACCUUCAUAAAAAGGUUUUAAGCGAUGACCAUUAACCUUAAAAAUUUUGUCAGAGGUCGGACUUCGAAUCUCAACUGCACCAUGAGGGAAAACAUUAGUAACAAUAAAAGGUCCAACCCAGCAAGAACGUAAUUUACCCGGAAAAAGUUUAAGCUUAGAAUGAAAAAGAAGAACUUUUUGACCAACAGAGAACUCCUUUCUCAAAAUCAUUCUAUCAUGAAAUGUCUUCGUUUUUUCCUUGUAAAUAACUUCCUGCACUAUAGGGUUAAUAACAUCCACAGAAAAUACCGAAUGUUCCUCACUAGGAUAUUUCAUGGCAUCAUUCAUAUUGAAUUCUAUAACCUCUCCAUCAAACUCCAUAGUGAGAGUCCCUUUAUGUACAUCCAUUUUAGUCCUAGCAGUCUUAAGAAAAGGUCUUCCUAGCAAAAUUGGGACAAAAUUGGAGGAGUUAUCCUCUUCCAUAUCAAGUGCAUAAAAAUCAGCAGGAAAAACCAACUCAUUAACUUGUACUAAGACAUCUUCUAAUACCCCAUCAGGAUAUGCAUUAGACCUAUCAACUAGUUGAAUUAUCACGCCAGUUUCUUUUAAUGGACCAACAUUCAAAGAUGAAUAAAUGGAACGAGGCAUGACAUUAAUAGAAGCUCCUAGAUCUAACAAAGCCUUUUCAAUUCUAACACUACCAAUUUUACAAGGGAUAGUAAACAUACCUGGAUCCUUGCACUUAGAGGUAGUUUCUUUUGGAGAACUGCUGAAACAUUCUCCCCCAUGUGAACUUUUUCAUCUCCUCUUAAUUUUCUCUUAGAGGUGCACAGUUCCUUAAGGACUUUAGCAUAUCGAGGUAUUUGUUUUAUAGCAUCUAAUAAAGGAAUAUUUACCUCAACCUUGCGAAAUGUCUCAAGGAUGUCUUUCUCUUGUUCCUCCUUCUUGGAUAUUGCAAACCGGCUUGGAAAAGGAGGAGGUAUCACAAUAGGUAGGGGUUUCGCUCUGGUGGGUUGCGCAUCUUGAGAUUUAGGCAUCAAUUCAUUCUUCUCAAGCUCAUCUUCUACAUGCUUUGUCACUUUCUUACUAGGCUCUUGCAACUCCUUCCCACUUCUAAGGAUGACAGCACUAACGUUUUUCUUUGGAUUCACCUCAGAUUGUGAAGGCAAUCUCCCUAAUACUUGAGACUCCAGAAGGCUCACUGUAGUCGCCAAUUGACUCAUUUGGUUCUCCAAAUUCUGAAUGCUUGUUGUAGUUGCCUGCUGAAAUUGUUGAGUGUUAGUCGCAAGUGAUUUAACAAUUUCUUCAAGAGAUAUACCUGACUUAGAGUUUGAUUGUGGAGGUGCUGGUUGUCUUGGUGGAUACUAUUGUGGGAAUCCUGACGGCCUAACUCCAUAGCUGAAGUUGGGGUGAUCCUUCCAUCCCGGAUUGUAUGUUUAUGCAUAAGGAUCAUACCUCCUCUGAGGCAUGCCUGGAAAUCCUCCAACUGCAUUGGUUUGUUCAACGGGUUCUUCUUGAAGUGUAGGACACAUAUCAGUUGAAUGACCCAUAUUGUAACAAAUGCCACAAGUCUUCACCUGUUGCACAUUACCUACAACAAACUUUUCCACAAGAGAAGUAAGUUUAUCUAAACUUUGUCCAAUAGAAGAAAUAUUUACCUCAUUUACCUUCCUUGAAGUGAGAUCUUGCCUGCUGCCAAAUUGUUGUGCGUUGGCAGCCAUAUUUGAUAUCAGCUCCUUUGCUUGAGUAGGGGUCUUGUUCACCAACACGCCUCCACUAGCAGCAUCUAUCAUACUCCUAUCCAUCAAUGACAGUCCUUCGUAAAAAUAUUGAAUAAGAUGUUGAUCAGAAAUCUGAUGCUGAGGACAGCUGGCACACAAUUGUUUGAAUCGCUCCCAAUACUCAUACAAAGUCUCCCCAGGAAGUUGUCUGAUCCCACAAAUGUCUUUUCUGAUGUUAGCAGCUCUUGAAGCAGGAAAGUAAUUCUCGAGGAAUUGCUUGUUCAAACCAUUCCACGUUGUAAUUGAUCCAGGAGGCAAGUAGUACAACCAGUCUUUAGCUAGUCCAUCUAAAGAGAAAGGAAAAACACGCAGCUUAAUCUGCUCUUCAGUCACGCCUUGUGGUCUCAUACUUGAACACACAACAUGAAACUCCUUAAGAUGUUUAUGAGGAUCUGCACCUGCAAAACCAUGAAACUUGGGUAAUAAAUGAAUAAGACCAGACUUUAAUUCAAAAUUUACCUCCAAGUCUACAUAUUGAAUGCAGAGUGGUUGUUGACUCAAGUCUGGUUCAGCUAACUCUCUAAGAGUUCUUUCUACAGGUGCAGGUCUAUCUAUCAUUUGUUCUUCUGAAUCGCUAGAUGAUUCAACUAAAUCAGGCACUGUAUCUAUUUCAGAAAGCAAAGGCGACGAGGAUCGUUACUUAGCUCGCUUCGUCUGCUGUCUCAGCUGGCGAGCUGUCUUCUCAAUUUCAGGAUCAAACGAAAGUGUACCUGUACGAGAAGAACGAACCAUACACCAAGUAAAACGUAAAAAGGAUUAAAUAAAUGACACCAAUCCCCGACAACGGCGCCAAAAUUUGAUGGUUGUCGAAGCCAACAAAAAUAAAUUCCUACUCUAAAUAAAUUGUGUAUAGUGAUUGAGCAGGGUCGUGUCCACAGAGAUCGGUAUUUAAAUCCUUUUGAAACGUAAAACGUAAAAUGGAAGAAUUGUUGAUAAUAAUAAAAAUCAAAUUAAAAUAACAAGAAUGAAAAUUAAAGUUGUAAUUCAAAUUAGAGAAAGCUCUGGUUGAAGGAAUUAAGUCAGCUUGAUUCGACUACUGAUCAUUGAUUCAAAUAUAGAUUAUUAUUACUUAUGAAUAGACCGGUUAUAGCUACUGAGACCCUCUAAUAGCCAAUCUCACCUUAACUAGUCGAUAACCAAGGUACGACCGUUGGUUAUUUCCCUAAUCAAUAGACAACCCUAGAUACGAUCAUAGGAUUUAAUCAAUUGACAGCCUGAAAAACCAGAGAGACCCAAAUUCUAAUCAACACAUACGAUGAUUAAUUUAAAUUAGAUUGUUUAUUAUCACAACACAACUCUCUGCUAUGUUAUUUGUCACAAACAUUAAAUUUUUCAUACGAUGAAUCCUUUAAUUGACAAUAGAUUAAGUUGAUAAUUAAAUAGUGGCCAAUUACCUAAUUAACAAACAUAAUCAUGAAAAUAAUUCAGAGAAUAAACAAAUACCCAAAAAGCAAUAAAACAAUUAAAGCAUAAAAUAGAUCUCACAGAAGUGAUGAAUCAAAGCUUCAUUAUCCUUCAACCAGAAAAAUAGGUUUAGUUCUUCAUAGAGAGAAGAGAAAAGUUUAGAUCUAGGGUUUCUUUCUCUUCUCUCCAAAAGUCCCCUUUUUCACAAUAGAUUCCUCUCUUAAAUACUCUCUCUCUCUUCUCCUCUAGAAUUCUAUUUAAAAUAAAAUACUAAUAUCUGAAAUAUUAAAUUCGUAAUUACAAAAAUAACCAAAAAUACAAAACACGUUAAACUAAAAACUGUAGGUCCGUAGUUGACAGCACGCGCCCACGCCUUAUCAACAAAGUUCUUCUGACGCUCAUAAUUUCUCCAAGAGAACAAUCAUCUUUAAACAUCAUCUUAUAGCUCAAUUUUAUCACAAAUCAAUAGAAUUGCAUCUACAAAAGUAAAACACAAGUAAAUCAUCAUUAUUAAGUGCAAAACAUCGAUAUUAAGGGAAGUAAACAAUGCAAAACUAGUGCAUAAAUUGCACUCUAACAAUGUCUAUGAUUGUCAAUCUUGCUUUAAGUGUUUCAGUUAAGUGGUUUACCUAACAGGGAAAAAAAUUUAAUGGAAAACUUUAGAGUUCUAACAGAAAUAUAGUUGACUGCAGAUAUAGCUAUUUUGCAGUACAUAAAUUAUGUUGUCCUAUUCUCAAUGUCCUACGACCUAUUUUAUUUUAUAUGGUCAUUCAUUUUUGCGAUGGUUUUUUGUGCUUAUGAGUAUGGAAAUAGUGGGAUUUGGUGUGGCAAACAAAAAUAUACAUAUAAUCAAGUUUCUUAAUCAUGUAUAUUGGUUUUGGGUAUGAAUGUUUUCCUAUUCUAGUUCUAGGCAAAGUUUCUUCAUUUUGGUCUUCAGAUUUCCAGUAGGUUAAGUUAAGCAACUAUCAUAACUAGCUAGCUAGUUAUUGCCUGCCUUGUCGCCAUUACAUUGCAUGGCAUAAGGAAUAGUAACUAGGUGAUUAUUGGUGAUUCGUUGAGUUUAUUAUUGGCCAAACUAACAUAUUCGCCUUUACCCACAACUUAGUUUGAUUAGAUAUUAGAUAAUAAAGAGCCUUAAUCUAUGCAUUGCUUUAUUAUUUUUAUUUGGUUUUUCUUUCAACAAUAUUGUUGAUUUCUUAUAAAAAAUAUUCAUUGGUUUUUAAACACCUAAUCAUUGGCUAUGAUGAAGCUAAUUAAAACGAAGGCUUUGGAUCAAUUUCUUCUAACAACAUACAAAUGAGCAUAACCACCCCCUCCCCCCGAACCCAAAAAAAAAAAAAAAAAAAGGAAGACUUUGCAAGAUUCACAACCAGGUUACAUUUAAUUUAUUAAUUGUGUGUACGUACUAGUUAUUUGUUGAUAGAAUAGGAAGAAGUAUUUUAAUAUGAAUGACUUAAAACUUGUUGCUCAGUAAACAUAAUGUGCAUCAGUGCUAGAAAAUGUAUUUAUUGUUUGUAAUUUUUUAUGGUUUUGCUUAAGAAAUGAAAUGUGAAAAAAUGCUACAUUGUAUUAGGAAUAAAUUGAAGAGAUUUAUGAUUUUUAUGUGUUAUUCAAGUUUCAGAUUCAAUUUUAAACUUUUGAUACAUGCAUUGAAAGCUUAAACUCCUUUAAGAAAUUAUUAAUAGACACAUGUUUUAUUAGUGUCAUCUUUUGGAUGAUAGUGAGGAUCUUAUGUCUAUUAAUAAUUCUUGAAUUAUCUAGGCUUGGACAGUUUGGUAAUGCAUAGUUUUCUAUGGUAGCUAGUGCCUGAAAUUUUUUUCCCACGUAAAAAUGGGUUUUUCAGCAGCUGCUCCUCAUGUUCUCUGGGUGCAUACUAGACAAAUGGGUGUCAUGUGUUGUUUUGGCAUAACACAUAAACACUCAUAUAUCUAUGUCGCGUACUUGAAGAACUAUAGGGAGAUGCUUCCGAAGUUUCUAUAAACGUAGAGGAAAACUUUAGAUACUUAAGAUUGAAGAAACUUAUGCAUUCUUGAGUGGGAUAUAUAGGACCACUUACCUUUUGUAAAUAUGAAGGGAAUGUUGGAUAUAUUGAUGGGAGUGGAGGAGCUGAGUGGGAUGAAUGUAAUCGGUUAUGAUUUUGCUGAGUCGACUUGGUUUUGAGUCUUGUAAUUUUGUUUAUAAAUGGAGUACUAUCUCCAAUGUUGGUUUAUAAAUAUGUUUCAGCUGGCUGACCUAAUUUUUUGUUUCUAGGUAACAGGCUUUAUAUAUCUGUAAUUGAUAGCCAAGUGAAGUUCUCAGCAGUGGGUAACAGGCUUUACAGAAGAAUACUAUAAAUAAUUCUUGAAUUAUCUAUGCUUAUUGACCAUAGAUCAAAACAAUCUCUUCCUUUUCAACCCCAUCUCUGUCAUUGCUCUGCAUCCGUAUACAUAAAGUGAUAUGAGUCGCACUAGAGUUUUUGCUGUGGAGGAUGUUACUAAGUGUAUCAAUUUCUUGCAACCGAAAGCUACAAGUUUUGUUAGGUUCCCAAAAGAUACCGAUGAUGAUGGCAAUAGAAUUAACAGACUUUGACAAUAAUAUACUCUUAGAAUUUCAAGAUACUGAAAAAUGGGGGCAAGUUUGGAGUCUUGUUUGCACAGCUGCCUCAGAUGAUAGUGCCGGUGCAGCUUUAAUUCUUUUAUCAUUGCCAACUUCCCCACAUGUUUCUCUCAGCAUCCUUCCUUCGAAAAUUCCUCUUCGUUGAAUGAAAAAUAAACCAGUGCGAGUAUUUCGAGAUUGUGAAAUCUCUCCAGUACGUUCCAGAUUGGAAAACAAGCUGAGUCAUCUCCGGCAAUCUCUAGUUGUUUAAGACUGCCAAAAAGGUGUUGUGGGAAAUCGGCCUGCAAAAUCAUCUUCACAUCUUUUCCACUUAGUGAUAGUUCCUUCAAGUUGGG
rnacentral:lncRNA from 1 species